ACCUGGGGGGUGGGGAGACUUCAAGGGGUUCCAAUACUUUUCUCUAUCAUUUUUAAGAAAAAAAAUGAGUUAUUUGGUAGGUAAAGCAAGGUUUGAGCUUGACCUGGAAUUUUCUUUGGAAUUGGGUUUAGGCCUAACUUGACUCAGCCGAUGAGCACCUCUAUCAUAAACAAGUUUAUUUAGUUCAAAUGAAUGAACAUGAAUGCAUGUAAUUUUAAAUAAACAAACAUGAAUUAAACACAAAUAAGAUUAAAAAUUUAAAUAAAAACAUAAAUUUGUUUAUAAACAUAGAGGAUUAAAAUUUUAAAUAAACUAAUCUUAAAUAAACUAAUUUAUGUUUCUAUUUAUUCAUUUGAGUAAACCUUGACCAUUCACGGUUGGACCUAAUACACGAACCUUAGAAAAAAAAAUUGUUUAUAGAUGUCAAGAGUGAAGCUUUACCUAAAUGUCAAAAGUUUUAAAAGUCUCUCAAAUAAAUGUUUGAAAACAAUUCUAGUUAUAAAGAUAUUAAUGGUUUGUUAAAAAGAAUUAUGUUAUGGAUAAUGGUGAUAAUGAACAAAAGUUCAUUACGUUUAUGAAAGGAAAAGGGAAUCAUUCAAUAUUAUAGGAAAAUGUUAAGAGAGAACCCCAUAACUACUUGUAUAUAUGUUCCACCAACGUAUGCUUUCUAAAAUAUCCAAACAGUGAAGCUCCAUGAACCUUGUCAUAAUUUUGGAUUAAUUUCACUUUUUCUACUUUGCUAAAGUAAUAUCGAGUGAAACAUUUGCUACGGAAUACUUCUUGGAGAUGACACUUUACAUGGCAAUCUUGUUCUAUAAGUGAGUUAUUUCAUGAUAGUAUUAUUCUUAGAUGAAGUUGCUCUAAACAAUUAUUAUUCUUGAGCAAACAACUAUUUAGAAGAAGACUUGUUUUGGAAAAAAUUGUUCUAAACAUAGUUGUUCUUGGUAGAGGUUCUAAACAUCAACUAUUUUAAAUAUAAUAGGUUUUUGGUUGAGGCUUCUAUCAUGUUCAUCAAUUCUUGAAUAAAGGUAAGAAUAAGAGUAUUUUGAUUUUUAGUAGAUUAUCCAUGUCUUCUAAUAAGUUUAGCGUUGAAGAUUUUAGUCAUCUAAUGCUAUCACUCCUUCAGAACAAAAUUGUCAAAAUGUAAAGGGUUUUUGGUUUAGAGAGAAAAAGUUGCAAACAAGGAAAACAUAAUGUACCAAGACAUCACAAAGAAAGAUUGAAGCAAACCAACAACUAGUGGUUCGUAAGGUGGAGAAUUGUUGAAGUAGACUACUUGUGGAUAAGAAUAAACUUGAGAAAAGGAACAUGUUGAUAGAACUUUAAAAAGUUUUUAAUGGAAUAUGAAUUGCUAAAAUGCUAAAAUCCCCUUACAAGUUGUGAAGGGCUUUUAAUUAUAGAUGUAAAAAUAAUAGUUAUAUAGUUAUACAUUAAAUAAGAUAAAGAGAAAGAUUUUCAAUUACAAAAGACAUUAAUAUGUUUUAUUAAUAAAGUUUAACCACCUUUUGAUAAUAACUGCAUAGUAAACAAAAGUUCACCACAAUUCCAAAGACAAGGAAAAUCACUUGAUGCUACAUGAAGGGAAAUCACUUGGUUCACACUAAUCUCUAAACUUGAUAAAAUUUUCUAUUUUUGGUCUAUAUGAUGAUGUGGCACUUUGAGAUUGUGUCAUGUCAUUAGUUAUAUUUUAGAAAAAAUAUAAAUUUUGAUGUAAUGAUGUGACAUAAUAUAAGUGUAACACCCUACGCUUGAACUGGUUGUCGGAUUCGGGUAUGGAUCAUUAUAGGUUGACCGGAUUCGAAAAACACACCUAUGUACUUUUCUUUAAAGAAAAGCUCAUUAUCCUUAUGGUGGGUACCUCCUUCAUCAGAGUGGUAUUCCUUUAGUUCAAGACCAUUUUUGUAACAACCCUAACCCGUAUCUGUCUCCAGAAUAAGGUUAUGAAGCAUUAUCAAACUUUUCACAUAAACAAUCAUACAUUUUCAUAUUCAUUUCUCAUAUCCAAGCAAUAGUCAUUCAAAUUCAAUCAUAUAGUCCCUAACACAAGCCCUCAAGGCCCAAAAAAAGCAUUAAAAACAAAUUGAGACUAAAUUGAAAACUCAUAGAAGUUUUGGAAAAACAUUGAAAAUUUACAAAGUGCUGGGGACACAUGCCCGUGUGGCCAGGUCAUGUGUCUCACACAGUCAAGAGACACGUCCAUGACUCAGUCCAUGUGGGCAUUCGAAAUGGGAUCGCAUGGCCGUAUCCUAGCUAGUGUCCAACCCCAUGUAACUCACUGACUUGGGUCACACGGCCAACCACACGCCUGUUUGACUAGCCCGUGUAGCUCAUUGACUUACUUUCAUUAGAAAUUUUAGGGGACACACGGUCGUGUCUCCUGACCGUGUGUCACACAGGCCUGCGUUUCUGCCCGUGUGGACAAAAAUAAGCUAUUUUCUAAGCCAGAUUUCUCACCCAAAUAGGUACCAACCUAAGCUCAAUAAUGCAUAUACAACCAUGGCAUAAAUAAGCAUUCAAAACUAACCAAUACCAAGUUUAUAACAUGUAAUAUCCACACAUACAACAUGAUAUCCAUAAGCACAUUCAUUUGACCACUUUAAAGCAUACCAAAUAUACUUCCAAAGUCUAGUUAAAUGGUUAAUUACAUAUAUGAGACAUUGAACCUAAAACUUAGAAUGCAAGCUUAUCUCAAUUCCAACCAUUUGGUUCCAAAACACAAUUUCACAAGCAAGGCAUUCAUAUAGCAACUAUACACCACAUAUCACAAGGCCAUUUAUACAUAUAUACAUAUCAAAAUAUAUGACCACUUUUCAAGCCAAUUCAAAUGGCCUAAACUCAUCAAGACAUAUAGGCUAAAUUAGCCAAAAUACCUAUACAUGUCAUUUAACCAAAAUAUAGAGAUUCAAAAGUACCAAAACGAGAGCUUGAUAGUGAGACACAAUCUCCGAUAACUUUCAAUUCGAAUGAGCUUCCGAUUCAGUAUUAAAACACGAAAAAUUAAACAGAGUAAGCAAUUAAGCUGUAACAUAAAACUCAGCUUACCAUUUAAUCAUAAUUUAAGUAAUUAAACAUAGCAUAAUGCAACUCAAUUUGAUCCAUAAGCCUAACACAUGUUCAUCCACAAGAUUAGACAUGAAAUAACAAACCUCAUAGAUUCAAUUCUCACAUGAUUGACAUACAUACCUAUACUAGUUCAUAUCGAACUCAUACACUUUCGUAAUAACACUGUGCCCGUUGAACUAUUUGGAAUAAUAUCGGAUACUCAGGUAUCUCGCACACUUAGUGCUAAUACAUGGUCGAAACCAUCUCUAUCUCAUAUAGAUGCUCACUCUCGAGCCAUCACUAGGUCUGCUCACACAAGCUGACGGUCAAGACGUAGCUACACGGUGCUACUCACACAAGCUAUCGGGUAACCGCAACACAUGCUAGAAAACUUAGCCAUCGGUAGAACGUAUGGGAUCAACACCCAAAACACGAUUAUUCCUAAUGACAUGUCAUUUGUACCUAUCUAUUCCUAACGUUCGAUCGGGAUCCAUACACUUGCCGAUAUCUUGUCGAGAAUUUAUGUAGUAUCGUAUCAACUAAUAUUUCAAUUAAUCAUGUAAACAUAUAUAUAAUUUAAAGCUUAUUAAUAUAUGAACUUACCUUGAUCUCGUACGAUGAAAAUUUAUCGUUUAAUCGAUAACUUUAUCUUUCCCUCGAUCUAAUUCCGUACUUCGCUUUUCUUGAUCUAUGUAAUCAAAUUUAACUCAUUUAAUCAUUAAUCUAUUAAAUUCAAUCCAAAGUUCAUGUUAUGACAAAAUUACUAUUUUGGCCCUAAACUUUUGGCUUCUUUAUAAUUUAGUCCUAAACUCAUAAAAAUGCAAAUUCAUGCAAUUCAAUUUCAGCCCAUGCUAGCUGAAUAUCAUAUAGGUCCCUAGCAAGCCUUAUAUUUCAUUUAUUUCACAAUUUCACCAUGUAUAUUACAUAUUUUAAUUAAAUCCCUAUUUGACAAUUUUACUAAAAAUCACUUAACAAAUGUUGUUUAACUAACAACAAAGAUUCAUUUUCUUCCAUCAAACAUCAAAACACAUACACAUUCGUCAAUGGUGAAACCCUAACUCUUUAACACUUUUGCAAAUUAGUCCCUGGGCUAGCUAGAUUAAGCUACAACGACUUCAAAACCAUAAAAAUCAUUAAAAACCGAGCAAAAUUGCACUUACAUGCAAGGGAGAAAGAUGGUUGAAUGUUCAAUCUCCUUCCAUGGAGUUUCCUAGGUCUAAUUUCAGUGGUGGAUGAUGGAAAAAGAUGAUAGCCAUAUUUUAUUUUACUUAAUUUAUCAUUAUUUACCUAUUUACUAAUUUAACCUUUAAAAACAUUAAAAUUUAUACAAAUGCCAAGCCAUUAUCAUCCACUAAAAUUUUAAUUGUAUAAUUGCCAUAUAAGGACCUCUACAUUAAAGUUCAAUAGCUAUUAAACACUUUUAGCUAUUAGAACCUAACUUUUACACUUUACGCGAUUUAGUCCUUUUCAUCAAAUAAAACAUGUAAAUGAUAACAUUUCUUAACGAAAUUUUCAUAUGACUCUAAUAACAUUGUGUAACCAUUAAAAUAAUAAUAAAAUAAAUAUUUUCACUUCGGAUUUGUGGUCCCAAAACCACUGUUCCAAUUUCACUAAAAACGAGCUGUUAUAAUUUUAGUUUGGAAGCGCAAUUUAAAUAAAAACUCACUGCGUUAAGGAUGCAUGGAAUAACCCUUUGGUGGCCACUUAAUUAACAUUAAUAAGUCAUAAUAGCAUUUGAUCAUCAAAGCUUCCAUUCAACAUUCAACGUUUUCAAAGUAUUGUUCAAUAAAUAUUAAAAUUUCAAAUUGGCGGUUUCUAAGAAUUGGCCUAAUAGCCCCAGUAAAUGCAUGUUAACUUUGAAAUUAAGAAGGCUCAUAAAUGGUCGUAGAUCUAGCUGUAUCCCUUCGAUCACCUCGCUUAACCUAAGAACUUGAAAGGAAGAAGAAACUGGGUAAGUUCGUAAGAACUUAGUGAGUUCUUGGGAAAAAAAAUCCCACCUUAGUUAGUAUCAGACAUUAAGACAAAAAGACUUGACUAGAUCACCCUAUUUGGCAGAUACAUUACCUUGUCUUGUAGAUCAACUGGCGAAUGAUACCGCAAAUCAACUCAGCUUAUUGGUGAACAACACUGGUUUCUAUAAUCAUAUAUGAUAAUCACGGGCACAUAUUUUCCGCGAAUUUGCCACUUGUGUGGACUACCAUUUUUGAUAGAUAAGCUUACUGUUCAUGCUUUCAUGCAACAUGCAAUACCACAUACACUGUUUUUCUACGUCCUCUCUUUUUUAUGCUAGGUUCUGAUCCCUAUUCCUGAAGAACCAAAAUUUUCCUGUAUCUUCAAAUUCACUUGUUUGAGCCCUAACUUUUUUCCUUGUAUGAACACAUAAGUAUUCUACCGCAAGGUCGAGUUUUCACCAAUCAUGAUUUGUAUCUAAGUGUCAUCCAAAGGCAAAACAUAAUUUCAUGUAUCUUCGUUAUCAUUAUAUACAACAUUCCUCCGAUACCUUCUUACACCCAUCUAGAUGCGAAGCUUGUGCACCAAGGAAUGAGUACUUAUACUGUGUAUAUACCAGGUUUUUUGGGCCUGUUUAACCAUGCAUGCAUUGACUCUUUGAAUGAUACUCUUCAGACAUGAACUUCAAAAAUAAAUAACUAAGUCACUUACCUAGCUUAAUGAAGUUUAGAGGUAAAUAAACUAAUGCAGAUACCAGACAUAAAGUGCAAAGGAACUCACCAGAAUACUUUAUUCAGAGCUUUAUCUACUUUACUAGUUCUUUUCCUUUAGCACACAUGAACUUCAGAAAUAAAUAACUAAGUCACUUACCUGGCUUAAUAAAGUUUAGAGGUAAAUGAACUAAUGCAAAUACCAGACACAAAGUACAAAGGAACUCACCAAAAUACUUUUCUCAGAACAUUAUCUACUUUACUGGUUCUUUUCCUUUAGCACUGGGACCUUUUCCCGUUUCUUUAUCUAAACAAUAAAACAACUUUUUUAACUAUCAAAUAUAACCAAAAACUUAUGAUACAACAAAAGUCUAUAGACAUGCAAACGAUUUUUGGAUAAGAGUUUCCUUCCUACCCUAGAUUCAAAGAAAUCCUAUCAAUCAUUUCUCAAGUUAGUUUCUACCUAUUUGGUAAAACUUCAAGGAAGGUUUAAGAAUUUACCAGCAAACAACUAGCAUAGAAGUUCUCCUAAACUUUUACAAUUAACACCCUUGUUAGCAAAGAAGAACUCUUCUGGUUUCUUCGAUGAUAACAAAUUCUAUGUUCGAUCUGGUGCCUUGAGUACAAUAUAUUUGUCUAAUGAAAUUUGUAAUGUCACACCCCAAAUUUGACAGACCUAGUUAGAAGACAUGUAGAUGUGAAGUUAUCUGUUUGGCGUAGUGUAGUUUGCACAUUUGUAAUCUUUUGGUGAAUAACUGUAACAGCCCGGUUUUCAGUGGUGAUAGAAAUAGUGGUUUUGAGACCAUAAAUUUCACUGUGCCGACUUGUAAAUAUUAUUUUUAGAAUAUUUAUAGUCAUUAUAGUCAUAUUAAAAUUUGGUUAAGAAAUAUUAAUGUUUAGUUAGUUAAUUAAGAUAAAAGUAACAAAUUGAAAAAGGUGCAAAACUUGUUAAUUAAUACAUUUAGGUGAUUAGAUGGUUUAAUUAAUAAAUGAGGAAGGGAUUAAGUGAUAAUUAAGCUAUAAAUAAUGAGUGGGACGACAAUUAAAGUUAAAAAUGAAAGAAAAUUUAAUGAUAAUGGCAUAAUUGUAAAUUUCUUGAAAGUAAAACAAAAUUAAAAGAAGAAAAAGACAUUUUCUCUUCAUCUUUCUAUUUUUCAUUGUCAAAACACCAUGGGAGCUUAACUUGGAGGUUCGUCCACUUUAUACUCUUGCAUGUGAGUUUAAUUCCUAUCUGUUUCUUGUAAUUUUUAUGUUUUUGAGAUCGUUGCAACUAGGUCCAGCUAACCCGUACCUUUGAUUUUUAAACUGUUAAAGAUUUUGAAUGUUGCCAUUGAUAAAUAUACUAAUUUUUUAUGUUAAGUUGGUAUUUAAAAGUAUUUUGUUAAGGGAUUUUUGAUAAAUUUUUUAUUAGGGACUAAAUUGUUGAAAUAGUAAAAAUACAAGGGUUUGUUGUGAAAUUAUUGAAAAAAUGGGCUGUAAUGAAUGCCAUGAAUAUUUGGUUAGCAUGGGUUUGCAUUAAAAAUGGUUAAUUUGCAUGUUUUAGGCUCAAGGACGAAAUUGAAUAAAAGUAAAAUGUUAGGGGCAAAUUUGUAAAAAUGUAAAAAAUAAAUUCCAUAAAAUAAAUUUUUUUAUUUUCUAAAUUAAUAAAUUUAAUGAAAUUGUUAAUUUAAAUCAAGAUCGAGGGGAAGAUCGAGGAGAAUGGAAAAUUACCAAAAUGCCCUUAUACUUUUACAUUUCUACAAUUUAGCCAGGUAAGUUCGUACGGUUAAAAUUUAACAUUUGUGUAAACUGAUGAUUGAUAUUAUAUAUAUGUUCUAUUGUUGGAAUUGAAUUAUUGCUAGAAAUAUAUUAUCAAAUUUAAUACUUUGUUUGGAUUGAACGCGAGAUUUGAGUACAUUUGUGAUUUGGUGUAUGAUGGGGGUUUGGAGUGGAGAUGUUAUUGGAGGGUGUUAAGUUCAAUUUUUAGCUUAACUUAUUCCAUUAAUUACCUAAAUUAUUGACAAAUUCUUGAUCAAUUAGUUUCAAUUAGCUCAAUUUGCAUUAAGAAUAUACUAUGCUUUGUUAAUUUAUUUUUGCUCCAAUCCGAUGAUUUAAUGGUAUUUUAAGACAUGUUGCAAGGUAGGUACAUUGGGAAGGUUCGAAUGAACCCAAAUGUGGAAUUCACUUGCCCCGAAUAGAGUUGAUGGAAGGGGCUGGGCGAAUGCUGAAUUCUUUAAAGUCGGCGAAGUCAAAAUACAAAUUUGAAGUAAUUGAGUCGACCGCAAAAGACCUUGACAGCAAAAGCAAGAUUCGGUCCAACUUGAAGGUGCCAUAGACCGACAUUGUGUGACCAGCCAGCAAGGGAAUCAAAUUUAAAUUCGAAUUCCCCUCUUUCCAGCUAUGACCGAUUCUAGUGUACAAUGAACAAACCAACUCAGACUUGAGAAGUUAAGUUGGAGUGAAAGUCUAAUUGGUUUGAGCUAACCUUAUGCGAUAGGCGAGGAAAAAAUCAACGGAGAGAUCAGAUUUUUAUUUUCUAUAUUUAGAGGCUGAGUUUUAUUUUUGAAAAAGGGGAGAGGAGAAGAAAUUGAAAAACAAGAAUGAGGGACUCAGGAAGAACACCGUCUCCAAUCGACCUAGUAGGUGCGAAUCAAGGAGCUAGAACCGGUCUUAGAGUCCAGCAACUUCAGGAGGAGGGAAGCUCGAUGACCUUAGCAGUGUUGUUAAGCAAGAGUGAUUCUAAACUCGACUUGAUUUUAAUUAAUUGUUGUUUAGCCAUGAGGAGCUAAAGUCCCUUUGCUUAGUUAGGCAUUAUUGAAGCCGAACACAAGUUGAAGUAAAGACUCAUUUUAUCUGGAAUUAAAACUCGGUAAUUUGUAGUUGAUUGUUUUUCUCAAAGGGGUUUAUUUUCUAAGUCAAGCUAAAAUGAUCACCUAAUUAAUUUAGGAAUUCUCCUAUCAUCACCUAAGUAAAUUUAAGAAAUCCUAUUUCCUAAGUAGACUUAGAAUCGAUGAACACUAUUAAACAGCUACGGGUUUAAUUUAAUGGGAGCCGUUAGAGGUUUUCCAUGGUUAAUGCAAGGCAAAGCCUCUUUAGCACCUUACGCAUGUUUAAUCGAUUAAACAAAGAGGGAUUAAAUAUAAUUUUCAAUUAAGAACGUUUCAUAAUUGAACUAACAUUGGAAGAGGUAGGGAGUCACUUCGUAAGGGAUUUUCCAGCCUUACUAUCGAGUAGAUUUCCUAGGAUAAGUUGAGUCUCAGUUAGUUGUGUUUGGUGGAUUAGUCGAUAACUAAGCAUCUUUUUCCAUUUGAUUCUAGAAUAUAAGCAUUUUCAUCUCAAACUACUUUCUUUCGUUUUUAGAAGCAACAUUCAUAUAAAACCCCCCACACGCGUAUGUGUGUGUAUUUCAUUUAAUUCUUUUCAAAUAGAUUUAAUACGAGCUUCCUCGUGGGAUCGAUACCCCAUUUUCCCUAUAUUACUAGUUAAUAUUGGUUGAAUAGUGGAUUUAAUUCGGUGAACGUAACGACUUCUCACCAGAGGGAUAUAUCGACAUUUUACCCAAGUAAAUUGGGGUUCAACAUUUAUUGUGAACUCUCGGCUUUUACUUUCUCUUUGGCAUGAUUCGGGUGGAUUAGCUCUUACGAGCUUCUGUUCAGCUCUUUUGAGUUUCUAUUAAGCUCUUAUGAGCUUCUGUUGACGAUGUACUCUUACUCGUAAGUCGUUCUUCAUAUGAAAAAUCUCGAUAAGGUAAUUUGUUUAAUGAAUUUGAAAGUUUUGUUAUUUAUUGAAUAUUGACCUGAACAUAAAUGAAUUCAUCAGUUGAGAUUGUGGAUAAUGCUUAGGUUUGUGCUAAGCUGUUGGUUGCAUUAUAUCAUGUUGAAUAUUAAUUAUAUGAAUUGACAUGGUAAUUGGUUAAAUGGAAAUAUGCUUAUGUUUAUAAGAAGGUGGUAAGAUUCAAAAUGUGUAAUUUCUUAUAAAAUGGUUUAUCAUGUGAUUGACCCCGAAUGAGUUAUAUACAUAAAUGCACUAACUUGUUUAUUGAUGAUGGUGAUUAGGCUUAUGUCAAGCUUCAGAUUAUGAUUGAUGUAUAUGCUUAUGUUUGGUAUUAUACAAAUGAAACGGUAAGUUCAUAAUUGAAAUGUGAUAUGAUGAAAAAGGGAUUGAUGAGUUGAAUAAUGUACUUAUAUAUGAGAAAUUACGUGUGUUAUGGUUGAAAUUACCUAUGUUAUGAAUAAAUAUACUAAUUAGUUAAUUGAUGUUGUUAUUUAAGUUUAUGUUUAGUAAAUGGAAUGGAAAGUAGGUAAAGAAAGUUAUUCGUAGUUUUAUGAAAAUGUUAAUGAUGGUGUAAAAUGUUUUAUAAAAUCUUAUUAUGUUAGGAAUGAAUAUAUAUAUGAUGUUGAUAGACUUACUCAUUUAUGAGUUAGUGGUUAUGUAGUUGAUAAAUCUUGAGGCAUUGGUAUAGCUUUAUAUUUAUCAUAUAAAGUUUAUGAUUAAAUUAGAAUAUUAUGUUUAAAGUUUGUAUGAGCUUGCUAAGCAUUCAUUGCUUAGGUAGUUGUUGAUCCCUUACUUUAUAGAUUAUUAGAAGCUUGAUCGGGUUGGAAGCUUGUCAGAGAUCUAUCAAACUAUCCAACGAUUAUAUCAGUAGAUUUUGAUGUCUUGGUUAAAGUUAUAAUGGCAUGUAUAGUUGGAUUAUGUCUAAUGCUUAAUUGAUGAGUUUGGUAUAUAUAUGUCAUUUUGGUUGAUAAUUAUGGCAUGAAAUGUUGCCUUGAAUUUGAGGUACUUAAGGUACUAUUGAUAUCUUGUUGGUUAUGGUUAAUAUGGUUAAUUUGAUGCAUGUUUAGAAAUAACCAAAUUUGGUAUAUGUUGUAUCAAUCUCAAUAUGGCCAAGACAUGGUAUGUUUUGGACAAGUCUUGAAUAUAUGUGCAUGAUUGAAAUAUGGUAUGCCUAAUAUGGUAAGGUUAGUAUGUGUCAAUUGUGUUAUGCAUUGGUAUGGAAACAAGUCAGUUGGUAAAUGGUAUCAAUGUGGUCAAAUGUGGUGAGAUUAUUUUUGAUAUAGCAUGGAAAUAGUAUUGAGAUUAUUUAGGUAUGUAUGGUUAAGGUUUGUACAAAUAUGCUUAUGUAUAUAUAUAAGUUUGAUGCUUGAUGAUUAAGGUGCCUUUUGGCAUAUUGGUUAAAGUUGUAUGAGCAUUUGGUAUGGAGAUUAGUCAUUUUUUGCAUAAUUUGAGUAUUUUUAAAGGCCUUGUAUACAUGUACAAAUUUUUUGUAGGUUUAUGCUUGAAAGAGGUGAAAGAAAUGGCUUGGAAAUGGUCAUUUUCUUGUUACACUACCUAAGACACGGGCGUGUGUCUCAGCUGUGUGAGUCACAAGGCUUGGCCACACGACUGUAUGAACCCUAUAGUUUGAAAAAAAUUCUAUCUUUUUUUUAUGAAAUUAUAAAUGUUUCUGAUUUUGUCCCGAAUUGUUUCUAAAGUGAUUCGAAGGCCCCGAGGGCUCGAAUAAGGGACGUUAUGCAUGUGUUUGAAUGAAUUAUGCUAUGAUAUAUGAAAUGUUUAAGAAUGAAAGUUUUUAAGUUAUGAUUUCCCGGUAAUGCUCAGUAACCCUAUUCUGACGACGGAUACAGGUUAGGGGUGUUACAAUAAUAGUUGGCUUAGAGUAUCUACCGUGUAAGUAAUUAAAGAUUUUAUCUUAUGUUAUUCUGCUAUUUAAGAAAAGAAUAUGACAAGGGAACAGUAAUACUAGUGAGAGUUAGCGCCAAAAGUAUAGUACCUCCAGUUUGCCUAAGCACUGUGGUUAUUAGGUUUUGUAACAUGAUCUAGUUAAAAUCCAACUGAAUUGGCUGGUCAAAUAAUAUUUGUACAGGAUCCUCAUUUAUAUUUAUCUCAGAUUUUGUAGGCAAUUUAUUAGGAAAAAUUCUGGAUACAAUUGACACUUGUCAAGUUCCACUAAGGGAACUAGAGAGAUAUAUAUGGUGAGAAGGGUUCGCAUGAAGGGUUUUCUUCUUUUAAUACUAUUAUCUAGUUCUUCUACUUAAACUUAUUUGUUUUUUUCUCCUUUAUUAAGUUAGAAGCUAAGGUUCUUGAAUUAAUGAGCGGAUGUUCUAUCUCAUGGUAAGUUUGAUAGCUCUGCAUGCUAAGUUUUUGAAAGAAGGGUAUUAAGAAACAUAUGAAUAGUGAGUUGUGAAUAAGAGACCCCGUAUAGGGGUCGUCUGUGAUUGAGAUAUUAUCCAUUUGUCUAUGAAUGGGUUUUAAUGGUGGUUCCAUGUUCUUUAAGAAAUUGCUGCUGCUGGUUCGAGAGGGAUGUUCAAGUUUCGAACUCCAAGCUAUAGUUUAGGUGAGUAUCAUGUGAGUUUCUAUCUUAGCUCCUGUAUGUGCACUGUUCAAAUAGGGUUAUAUAUAAUGAUAACGUCUCAAAAAACUGGUAAGUGUGUUUUGCAGUAAUGUAAAGAUUUUACUUGGUUUAGGAUGAUAUGUGUGAGGUAUUGUGUGCGUAAUAAGUAAAAUGGUAAGUAUGCCUCUGAUAUCGGAUAUGAGUAAAUAAGAAUCAAUCAGGUAUGUGAAUAAUCUAGGUAACUAACUUCUGUGUAAACAUCUAUUGUGAUGCCUUUGGUUGGGCAAUUAUAGUUCUAACCAGACUGGAAUAUCAUGAUAUGAUGAAACAUGUAAGUUCAUGUGGUAGAGACCCGUGUCAUUAUAUGAUAAGUAAGACAUUCAUGGUGGUGCCUCUAGUGAAAUGAAGAAUGGACUGGAAAAUCACGACAUGAAUAUGUGUAAGUCCAUGAGUCUGAGAAUCAUGACGUAAUAUGAUAAUAAGAAUGUUCAUGGUGAUGCCUUCGGUAAGAUGUAAAUCAGACUGACAGAUCCCAACAUGGAGAUAUGAAUAAGUCUAUGAGAGAGAAACCCAUGAUACCUUUUGUGGAAGUCCGUCGGGCCAGUAAAUAUGUGAUUCAGUGUGUUGCCUGUGUGGCGUGAUCUGCUAAGCCUUGGUGGUGUAUUCUAUGUUGCCAUUGUAGCGAAUUAUAGAAUGCCUAUGUGGCGUAUUCAGGGGUGCUUAUGUGGCAGAAUUUGAUUAUCCACCUUUGUGGUAAGUUCUAAGAUCUCUUUGAUAAAUGAUUCUAUGAUAAUGGUCUGAUACGUCUGAAGUUAGCUUGGUUUGGUUAGGCUUGUGAGGAAAUUGGUUGAGUUUUAAAGAAAGAAUCAGCCAUAGUAGUCUACUAGUAUAGGAUAUGGGCGUAUUCAUAAUUAUGAAGGGUAGAAGUGUUCGUUGGUAAGAAUUCAUCUACACUAUGAAGGGCUGAAAUAUAAAUAAUCAGGUAUCUGCCAUAUCUGAAUGGUAUCAUGUCUCGUUCUGGGGUUAUUUGGAAUCUGAACCAUUUGUCAAUUUUGACAUUCUUGUGUUAUGUAAUAUAGACGUAUGGAAUUCUUCUGAAUGAUCCAGAAUGUUUCAUCAUUAGUAUGAGUUUGUUUUGGGUUUAAUUCAAGAUACGAUCUGAUUGGUGGACUGGCAGCUGCUAAACACAGUAUGGGAAUCUGCCAAGUGUAAGGUUAAUUAGUAAUUAUCCACUAAAGAAUAGUGUCUAUGAAUAACCAUUUUGGGAAAAAUGUGAAGUGUUGUUUGAAGAGGAAAUUCGAUGAAAGUGAGUUCUGUAUAGAUAUUCUUCUUAGAAGUAUCUUGUGUUCUAUGAAUGAUUAAGAUCUAUAGUGACUGGUACAAUUUGGAAUCGGUCUAGGAGUGAAAUGAGAGUGACACAUUAAGUAUAGAAGCUGACAUAUAGGUAUAUAUAUGAUAUUAUGAAUGUAUUAGCCAAAGAUAGAGUGAUAAUCCAAAAUCUUCAAUAUGAAGAAUUCAACUAUAAAGGCUCCAAGGUAUUUUGUAUUUAAACUGACUAGGUUCGCAUGAACUUACAAACAUUUUGUUCGUGUUUCAAGAGUUCACUAGGAGAGACCAAGCCAGGGAUGCACUAGAGAAAUUGGUGAGGGGAUAUUAUGCGCACAAAUGAGAUCUUAGUAGUAUGACAUAUAGUUCUCUAUGCCAAUGAGAGUAUGUCUUUAAUGAACUUCUGUGUUUAAUGUAUUAUAUUGUUUUUAAGGGUCUGUUUGUAUUCUUGAACGUUUUCUUUAUCUCUUUUAUUUAGAAGACCUUUAUUAAAAUAAUAUGAAGUAAGUUGAAAAAGGAUUAUACACAGAUGGUUUAAAAUUUAUGCUAAGUGUUCGUAUGUGUAAACAUCCGUUAUCCAGAUCUGGUGAUUCGGGUUUGGUAAAAGGUGUUACAUAUAAUUUUUUUGAGAAAAUUAGUUAAUAAAAUUAUUAAUUAAUUACAUUAAUACUUUGUAUAUUGUCCUCACCUGGUUUUUGCACGCAAAGAAAAAUAGAAGAAAAUGUUGCUCAUUGGUUGUCUAAUGUUUAAAUAAUACUAAGCGGUAUUACGUGGUCGGAUCAUAGUAUGGAAAGAAAACUAUCAGUAGAAGAACCUAAAAAUGUCCGUAGUGUAAUUGGGGAUGAGCAAACCGAUUGAAAGACUAAUAUGUCGUCUAUCAAGUCUAAUUAGGGAGAUAUCUUAUCAUGGGCAUCGGAGCAGAUUACUUUCAGAAGAUAGAGACAUAUAUGUGACUGACAUGACUGACAGUACAUUAGAUAGGACCCAAGAAUAAUAGAUCCUAAAUCUGUUUAUGGAUUUAUUCACUUGUGAUGUUCAUAGGGUAGCAUACCUAAAUCCUGAGUGGAUGGCAGAUUAUGUAUGCGUGACUCGUACACUUUGAUGUAAUUAAAAGCCCGAGUUCAAAUAGAUACAGAACCGAAAGCUGGUGCGUUGGGUGUACGACUUUUGUAGUAUGUAAUGUCAUUGAAAAUAGUGGAUUUCAUAGCCCAAAACAUGGGUAAAUGAUAUCUUCUCAUUAGCAUUACUUGAUCACUAUUUGAUGGUGAUUGAAUUUUCAUGAAGAAAGAUGUAAUGAUUAUCGUAAGAUAAAAUAGGAUCAUAUUGGGAGAACAAAUAUUAUCCCAAAGAGAUCAAGGAUUUCCUAUGAGGGUAACACACUAAUGACAAGGUCAUUAGACGAUUACUGAGUAGUUGCUUUCGUAAUGGUAUGUCGUCGGAGAGAGUUCAACCAUGAUACUAUAGUGGAUUGACUUUAUGACUAAAUGAGCCUAUAAUUAAUAGGCAAAAAGUCAAAGCUUAAUUAUAAAACAUUUGAGCGUCAACUACAUAUGUCCAAUCAGUCCCUCCGCUAGCUCGUUGAAAUAAAAAAAUAAUUUCAUGUUUGAAUAGAAAUGAAUGAAAUGAAUAGAAGAAGUGAAAUUGGGAACAUUCGAGAAUGAUUAUGGUUUUCUUUAAAAUGGAGAAAUGGAAUCAUUUGAAAAUGAAUGUAGGUUUCCAAAAAUGGAAAUGAAAAUGGAAAUUUGCAAUCCUAUAUGGAUUACUUAAAAAAUGAUGGGAAUAAUGAGUUCAUGUUUUUAGACUAUUUUGAAGCCCGAAAAGGAGAACAAACUAUUCAACAAAAAAAUAUACACUAUUUUGAUCUCCUACUCUAUUUAGACUGAAUAGUUUGUUUUCAUUUUCUAUUUGAAAUGUCAACCGCUCUCCUACUCUAAGUAGGAAGUGAUUUUUCUAUUUGAAAUAAACCACUACAACCCAAGAAGGGUUCUAUAUUCUCUUCCUAUAAAUAGAUGACACUGAUAGAGCUAUUUACAUAAUUGUUAUUCUGCCAAAAAUAGAGAGAAUUUAUUCUCAACUAUUACAUAUAUUUAUCCGGAGUAAUAAUUCUAACAAUUACUAUUAAAUAAUAGAGAAUUUUUGUUUUCACCCCAAAAAGAAAAGAAAGCUUUUUCUAGUUCCGUGUUUUGUUUCAAUUGGUUCAAGCCUAUACUUGAAGUAGUUUGUGGUACGAGAAUAGUGAAGAAUAUCUUUUCAUUGAAAGCCAGAAAAUAUCAAGAAUUUGCUUAUCUGAAAAGACAUGUAUGAUUGUUCAAGGUUUAAUGCUAUAAAUACCACAUAUAUAGUCAGUUUUCAAAAUUUUAAUUUUCUGCUAUGCAAGAAAACUGUUUUCAAAAUAAGUUUUUUUCCAACAGUUUUGUGGAGAAGGUGAAUCAUAAAUCUUCUCUCCACUAUCGUUCUAUCCUAUUUAUAGAUAACCAAUGUACAAAUCCCAAUUAGGAUUAUCUCUAAUCAUUACUUAUUCUCGCAUGCUUCCACUAAUUAAUAACAUCUGACGAGGCUCUAUAAGUGUCCUAAUUAUUGACUCGUUCCCUCCACUAGGAUGUCAGAUGACUUAAACAUGUCUUACAAGCCAUAGGACUUACUUAAGGAAUGAUAUUGAAACACGAGUGAUUAUCUUAUUAGUCGGAAAGUCUACCUAAUAAGGUGUUCGUCCUAACUAUAUCCUCAUUUAUUGCUCAAAUUGACACUCCGCAGCGUUGGCGAAGUUCUUUGUAGUGCUCCACCACAAAGUUACCAACCUUAUCCGAUCUAAGUCUUGCAACUUAGGUGGCCUCCGCUAGUGUAGUCUCCCAAACCAAACCGAUUUGCCAAACCAGGAUUUGACAAAAAAAUUCAAGUACUAAGUUAAUAAAAAUUGACCAAUUCGAAGACUAAAUGUUACCUUAUAAUAAAACAAUAAAGAGGUUUAAUUAGAAAUGUUUAAGGUAAAUUACUCAGUUGGCAACCCAACUUUUAGGGCGCUUUCAUAUUAGUUACCCAAGUGUCAAAUCCGUAAUAAUGACAAACUGUAUACGCCGAAUCAUGUCCACAUCGUGUUUACACUUUCAUUUUGAUCACCCAAGUUCUAGGUCACUUUCAUUUUGGUCAUUGAAUUUUUUUAAAAUUUUUGAUCUAGGUAAAACCAUUAAGGAUUAAAGUGAAAAAGUGGUAGAAACUAAAAUGAUUGAUUAAAAAUUUGUCAAAUUGUACAAUUAAAUAAAUUGUUGAAACUUUUAUCCCUUGAAAAUGUCAACCGAUUUGUUACCAUAACAUUGAAAUUAAUUUAAUUAAUUAAUUUAAUCUCCUAAAUUUUAAAAUUUUGUUUUAUGUUUCCAAAUUAUCCUUAAUGAAAUCAACUCCAAUAAAUCAUAUUUAUUAAUUUUCUAUGAAACUUAAAUCUAUUUUGAUUAUAUAAUAUCGAAUCUUCCAUGUUAAACUAAAAGAUAAGGAAAAAAAUCAUUGCAAUUAAUUAAGUUAAUUGUUUGUUCUUCGUUUGGGUAAAGAAAUGAAAAUAAUUUUGGAUUUGUUUGGCAUGUAAGAAAGUUAGUUAAUAUAAGAGAAAAAAAUUAUUUAUUUUUUUUCUUAACAUUGAAUAUUCAAGAUCAUAUAAAAAAAAUUAAGUUCGGUAGACAAUUAUUAAAAAUAAGUGAUUUUAUUUGAUUUUAAUUUGGAAACAUAAAAUAAAAUUUUAAAAUUUAAAAUGAGGCUAAAUUAGUUAAUUUCAAAAUUAUAGUACCAAAUCGACUGACACUAUCAAGGGAAGACAAAAUUUCAGUAAUUUAUUUAAUUGAUUGUAAUGUUUUAAAAUUUAAAAUUUAAAAUUUCAGUAUUGAAAAAAAAAUUAGAACUUUGGGCAAGGGGGUAAACAAAGAUAAUAUGACAGUUUUUUAACUCAUUAUUUUAGUUGUUAUCGCUUUUUUACUUUAAUGUUUAAUGUUUUUACCCCCAUAAAUAUUUUAAAAAAUAUUUUUUGUGGUGACGAAAAUAAAAGCGGCCUAGAAGUUGAGUGACUAAAAUAAAAGUUUAAACAUGAUGUGGUAUGUACAGUCAACCAUUGUUAGAGAUUUAACGUUUGGAUGACUAAAAUGAAAACGCUUUAAAAGUUGAGUGACUACCACAAUAGUUUAUCCAAAAAUUUAAGAAUAAAGCUAAAAGUUGCAUUGAAAGAUUUAGUUGAAUUGCCCUUUUUCAGGGAAAAGUUAAGUAUGUUAUGGGGUACUUUGAUUUGACACUACUUUAAAGGCCUGAUUGAACUUUGAGACGACGAAACUGUCAUGUAUGGUGAAUCAGCUAGUUAUAAAAUCAAUUUUUUUACUCAAUUAACCCCCACAAUUAAUAUUUACGAAAAUGAUCGAAGUUGAAAACUUAUAACGAAAAUGACUUAAAAUCUAUAGUGUCGAGUGGUGCCGACACUCCGAUGGCCGACACCAAAGUCAAUCAUCGUGUAUUGAUUGCUUGUUAAUUGGGUUGGGGUUUAAAAAACUAAUUUUUUGAUAUAAGUUUUUCAAAAAUACAAGUAUUUGCCAGUUAAAAAGUAUUUUUUAUUAGGUUACGGCAUCUAGGUGGCUGACACGCCGACACCAGGAAAAAUAAUCCAAAAUUUAUGUUUUGGCAUUUUUUAGUUUUGGCAUUGCGAUGGCUGGCACUCGUGUCGAAUGGAUUUUUUUUGGUGCUGCCACCGGUGUGGUUUUUAAUUUUUUUGCCGGCGUUCUCUGGUUUUUAGGAACGGUGACUGUUUGGUUUUUCUUCAUUAAGCUUUGGACAAUGCGACUCCUAAACUUUCAAUUGCAUGAGAAGUGAUAUUUGAAGAAAAUAACACAAUAUCAGUAGAGAAGAGCACUGGAUAUUUGAGAAGAAAAAUAAAAUGAUUUUGAGUCCAGUUUACUGAUGAUAGUACUUAGUAUGUAAAAUAAACAAGAGAACAAGAAGAUGAAAAGAAAAAUGGAGAGUUGUAUAAAAAAAAGAAGAGUGGAAGAGAAGAAAGCAAGACAAAUUUAAAUUUGACAUUUAUGGUUUUAAUAGAAAAAAAAAUUUGUAUAUGGAAUUACAUUCACAAAUUUAAGUAAUGGAAUUACAUUAAAAAAUUUGUUUAUGGUUUUGAUGAUGGACUUUUGUAAACUUGUCAGUCGGAGGCCCGGGUCACAAAAGAGAUGCAUUUUAAAGGAAAGGAGGGAGGUAAAGGCAUGGAUAUAGUGGUUGAUUCAUCACCAGUGAGGGCUCUUUCUUGGAAUGAAAAACUUUUGGGGAGAGGUGCUACUAGAUCUCGAGACUCAUCGGGUGUUCCUGAUAGGGACUUGAGGAGGACUUCGACUUUCUAGAAUGAGGUAUAUUAGAUCUAUAGUUAAUGGGAUUCUGUCGAUUGAAUUUUCCAAUAGGGUACAACAAAUGCUGGAAAAGUAAAUGGCAACUACGAUGGUAGUCAAGCUAUUGGGGAGAAAUAUUGGAUAUAAUACUUUUCAAAACAAGAAUUUCAACUUGUGGAAGCCGCCUAGGCCAUUUCAACUAAUGGACGUUGAACAUGGAUAUUAUUUGGUAAAAUUUCAAAGUAAUGACGACUUUGAAAAAGUGUAAACUCAAGGACCGUGGGUAGUGUUUGGACAGUACCUAACUGUUUAGCCAUAAACACUGGAUUUUAACCCUCUCCAACCAUACCCAAGCAUUGUAAUGACAUGGAUCAGAUUGUCAAGUUUGCCUGGUUUUUUAUACAAAAGGAAAAUAUCUGAGGAGAUCGACAAUUUGGUCGGCGGAGUAGCAAAACUCGACUACAAUAUUGACAGUAAAUCGAGAGGAAGAUUUUCCUGAAUGACGAUUUUCGUGAACCUUGACAAGCCAUUGAUCCCUCAAGUUUUGGUGAAUGGUAAGGCUCAACUCAUGGAAUAUGAGGCUUUGCCGUCGAUUUGCUUUGGAUGUGGUAGGUACGGCCAUACGAAAAAUCUAUGCCCUCACAUUUUUGGUAACUAUAAUUCCACCAUAUAGAAGGGCGAGACGACAGAUCCAUCAAUAGGAGAAAAUACGUCGACCAAGGUGGCGGGGGCAUUUGGGUCGUGGAUGGUGUUGGAGAGAAAAAUACGACAGAAUUUUAGGGAGAAUCAGAAUCAAAAUGCUAGAAAUCAAGAGGAUUUUUUUGGAUCAAGAUUCGAUAUCUUGAACCCUCUGGAAGAUGGAAACGACGCUAUUAAUGGAGAUUUAGCAGAUCUAUAGGGCAUCACUAUUUAGAAAGGUGAUUUUAUUAAGAGUAAUGUUAGGGUUGAGGGAUAUGAUGAUGUUAGAAGUGGGCCAGGUAAGAAAGGUGUAAAUUAGAUUUCUAUAGAUAGCCUGGUAGGUGAUCGUGAGCCAAAUGGAAAUGAAAACCUUUAUGGGUUAGUAAAGAAAGGGCCUAGACUAAAAAAAAUGGUGUUACAUGUGAUUUUAGGUAGAUUGGGGAAACUAGGCCAAUGGUAGAAAAAGCAAAUUUAAUUCGGGCUAGCAAAUUAUAAGGGUGGGCGAAAAUUGGAAAGUGUCAUAUCUUUGCAUAACUUUAAUAAUUCAAAAAAUAAUUAUGGUAUAGUGGAUGCUAAUUCUGGAAAUUCUCACGAUAAUGAUCUUUUAAUGAAGGAGAUGUAUAUUGAUAAUGGGGCGAAAUUAUCAUUUAGUCCCUGUUUGGCUACGACAUCGCACUUUAAUCCUACCUUUGAGGGACUAGUUGAAACCACAGUAUCACUUAGUGGUAGUGUUUUGGAUCUAGGAACGCAUUCUGUUGUUACCUUCAAAGAAAAUUCUAACCUAGUUACUAAUAAGCAAUAAGAUGAAGUUAGACUCAGUGAUUCUAGUAAAAGCAUUCUAGUUCCUAAAGGGCAUAGUCUUGGGACAAAAGAGGGAUAUGUCUGAUGUAACACCAUAAACCCGGCCUAGACGUCCAGCCCAAGUUUAUAGAGUUACCUCAUCGAUUAUAAAACGUCACGCAACAACACAAAUAAGCUAAACCAUGUUUCAUAUCACAUUUAUCAUAAAACAAAUUAAUUAUAUAAUCUUCUAAAUUUCAUACUGUUAUAGUUUACCGAAAUUCCUCAUACUACUUAUAGAAAGAUAACGCUUGACAGAGCAUCCGUUGCGCCGACCCAUUCAAGACUGGGAACCACAUGAAAUCCAAUAAAAAACAAAAUGAGUUGUAAACUCAGUUCGUAAAAGAAGUUUAUUCAGUUAAUGUCCACUUAUAAGGUAGUUCCAAAUUCAGAGAAUUAGUUCGAUACAAAAUUAAUUACAGUUUAGAUUCACGACAGAUCAGUUACCUAUAGAUAUGCAAUUUCAGUUCAUAUACAAUGCAGGUAAGAUUUAGAUGCAGAUAUUCCUAACCCUAUCUGCUACACACCAUCUUCAACCAUCCCAACACACCGUUAAGUGCAUCCAAUACCCAAUCAACCUUACACACCACAAAGUGUUUCUCUGACACAUUUAUAGAAACACAUAUUAGCUGCUGGAUCAUAAUGUGACGAAGUGCCAGAAUCAGAACUAUACACAUGGUGGCUUAACCACUGAUUCAGAGUGGAUUACUUCCUUCAUCAUACAUCCCAACCCAUACAAAUACAGAGUAUAAUUAUCUACAAUACACUUACAAUUAUGAUAUUCAUACGUCCGUUACAGAGUAUCAGAGAGUUCUCGUUCAGUUAAAUUCAAAUCAUUCAUACAAUAAGGAAUCAAUAUCAGCCAUAAACAACAUUUACGACCUCAAAAAGGGUUUCAGGCCCCUUUUACGAUGCCAUACGGCUUGGACACACGCUCAUAUCCUUGCCCGUGUGGCUCAAACGACUUGGACACAUGCCCAUGUCCUUUACCCGUGUGGUUCUAAAACGUAAACAGAGAGUUACACGACUCGGACACACGACCAUGUCCUUGCCUGUGUGACUCACACGGCCUGGGCACACAGCCGUGUGCUUGCCCAUAUGGUUCUAAGUCACAAAUAGUGAGUUACACGGACUAGACACACGCCCGUAUGCCAUGCUUGUGUGGCCUCAAAUCGAUGAAUAGUAAGUUACACGGCCACCCACACAUCCUAGCGAUCCACACGGCCUAGAAACACGCUCAUGUGCUUGGCCGUGUGGCGUCGACAGCCACCAUUUUCGGUGAACAAAACUUGCAAAAGCUAAGGAUUUUGAUACGCGCUUAGUUUCUCUUUGAUGGGAAAUAAGACAGAGAUUACUUGAAAACUAAUUGAUCAUUCAGUAAUCAAUCAAUUGACUAAAUGACCAAUUAACACAACAAUAAUACACAAUCAACUAUGCCGAAUAAAUUGACACGAGGGAACUUCAACGACUAACGCUUAUCGAUGAUUUAACUCGAAUUUUUUGCGAGUACAAUAGAGAAUUUAAGCUUGAUAUCGUGGGAUUGUUAAGGACUAGAGUAAAUGGAAGUAAAGCAGAUUGUAUCAUUGCUAAAUUAGGUUUUCAGUUCUCUUAUCGGAUAGAAGCUAUUGGUUUUUCUGUUGGUAUUUGGGUUGGUUGGAAGGAUUUUAUACAAGUUGAGAUUAUCCAGAAUCAUUCACAAUUUCUUUUGGUUUGGGUCAUUUCCAAUGUUGUGAAAUCUCCUGUUUUUAUCUCCUUCAUUUAUGUGAGUCUUGAUAGAUAGAAGAGAAGGCUUUUUUGAGAGGGUUUAAAAUUGACUGUGUCUGAUGUUUCUAUGCCCUAGAUGGUUUUUGCUAAUUUUAAUGUCAUUAUAUCUUUCUGUGAAAAGAAAUGUGGACAUAUUCAUGAAAGAAUAUUCAUGAAAGAAGGUGUCCUUAUUUUAGGGAUUUUAUGGAGUCACCUGACCUUCAUGAUUUGGGAUAUAAAGGUCCCUCAUUUACUUGGCAUAGAGGUGGGGUUCAUGAGCGCCUUGAUAAAGCCAUAGGUAAUAAUGCUUGGAUUGAAGCCUUUCUGCAUUAUUUGGUGUCCCACCUUCCGAGAAUUAAGCCUGAUCACAGGCCUCUACUCAUGUCUCUAAGAUCAGAUGUUAUCCCAUCUAGAGGUAGACCUUUCAGGUUUUUUACUAGAUAGACUGAACAUCCAGAAUUCUCAGAGUUGGCUAAUAAUAAUUGGAGUUAUAAUGGGGAUAUGACUACUUCUAUUGCUAAAUUAACUUCCGAUAUUAAAAAUUGGAAUAAGUCUGUCUACAGUCAUAUUUGAUAUCGUAAAAGAUAGUUGUUAUAGAAACUUACUGGCAUUCAAAAGGUUAUGUGAAGGUCAGAUUCUAAUUUGUUAAUUUAGCAAGAAAUAGAGGUGCAUGAACACUUGGAGAGUGUCCAGCAUGAGGAACUUCUUUGGAGCUAAAAAACAAGAUGUGAUUGGUUAGUCUUGAAGGAUCAAAACAUUAAUUUUUUCCAUAGACGAAUAAUUCAUAGGAGAAAGCAUAAUAGGAUUACUGCUCUGAGGAAUGAGAACGAAGAGUGGGUUUUCGAUAACGCUCUGUAGGUUGAGGUGAUUAAGUUUUUUCUGAGUUUAUAUGGAGAGGUUCUUGAACCUUUGAGUGGAAUUCCAUCUAGUGCGUUUCCUAAACUUGAGAAUGCGGAGGUUCAUUUUUGAGCAAUGAAGGUACAGAUGAGGAAAUUAGAACUACCCUAUUUGAUAUGGCUUUGCUUAAAGCUCCAAGAAGCGGAGGGUUUCAUGCCUUAUUCUUUCAGACUCAAUGGGACCACAUUAGUACAAUUAUUUGUAAUUGGGUUAGGUUAGUGUUUUUCGAGAAAGCUAUUAAUUCAGAUUUGAAAUAACACUUUAAUUAUUCUUAUUCCCAAGGUUCAUAAUCCUGAAAGCUUUUCUUAGUUUUGGCCAAUCAGUUUAUGUUCAGUCCUCUACAAACUGGUAAUAAAAAUCAUCGCUAAUCGAUUUAAAGUAAUUUUUCCUAAGAUUAUUGCAUAAGAACAAGCAUGAUUCAUUUCUGAAAGAAACAUCAUGAAUAAUAUUAUUAUAGAUUAAGAAGUUAUUCAUUCCAUGAAAAACAAGCAGAAGAACAGAAACUGGAUGGUUAUUAAAGUUGAUUUGGAAAAAGCUUAUGAUUGGUUGAGAUGAGAGUUUAUCGAUACUUCUCUCCAUGCUACAGAUAUCCUUGAUUUUCUUCGUAAUGUUAUUAUGUCUACUAUUACGAACUCUAAUUUGCAGAUCAUGAUAAAUAGAGUCCCAAUUGAGAAGGUUCGACCUAUUAGGGGCAUCCAAUAGGGGCGUUCGCUUCCUCUAUACCUCUUCAUUUUGAGCAUGGAUUGGUUAGGACAUGGUAUUAAGUUUUCCAUUACCAUGGAUCAGUGGAAGCCUACCAAGUUUUCGCGCAUAGGGCCUACCCUUUCUCACAUCUUUUUUGCAGAUGAUCUCAUUUUUUCGAGUGAGUGGAGGUGUAGCAAGCCAAAAUCAUAAAAGGUAUGAUGGAAAGUUUUUGUGGUUAUUCCAGCCACAAGUUAAUUCUCGAAAGACGAACAUCUUCUUUUCUAAGGUGUUAACAAGGAGUUGGGGGAGCAGAUCAGUAGUAUUUUUUGUUAUCAUAAGGUUCAAAACCUCGGUACGUAUUUAGGGUACCCCCUUUUGAUGAUAAAGUUACUAAUAGUACUUUAACGUUUGUUAUGGAUAGGGUUUGGAGUAAGCUGUAUAGUUUGGAUGUGAGACAUUUGUCUCUGGUAGGAAGGUUCAUUUUGGCUCAAUCUGUCUUAUUGUCGAUUCCAAGCUAUUUCAUAUAGUCCAUGAUGGUCCCUAAAGAUAUUUGUGUAGAAAUAGAAAUCAUAGUUAGACAAUUUAUCUAGUGAUCCUCAGUUGGGGGAAGGAAAAUAACAAUGGUUAGAUGAGAAGAUAUUUGCCAACCCCGAUCUUGUAAGGGGCUGGGCAUUAGGCAUCUGCAGGAUCAGAAGACUUCCUUUAUGGCUAAGAUUGGUGAUGAUGAAUGCAAAUUCUCUUUGGGUAAGUUUCCUGAAGUCGAAGUACAAAGUACAAAGUUCAAGAUGAGACUCCAAAGGAUAUAUUGAGGGGAAGAUGCUCGUUUCUUUGGAGGGCCCUUUCAAAGACCUGGCCUCUAAUCUGUGAAAACUUAAUAUGGUCUGUGGGAAAUGGUUGCAGUGUUAAAUGCUGGUUGGAUCCCUGGCUUCCAAAUGUUUGGCCGUUUGUAGAAAAAAUCCAUUCAAAUUCUAAUCUUGAGAGGGAUUGUUUACUUUUGGAUAUGGUUAUAGAAGAUGGCAGAUAGAAUUUGGAUCUCUUUCAUCUCUGGUUAUUGAAGGAUAUAUUUAGAAAGAUUGUGGGGAUCCCCUCCACAUCCUUCUGCACGUCAAUAUAGAAUUAUAUGGGCUAGGUCUACUAUUGGGGCCUUUUCUGUUAAAAAUGCUUAUAGGAAACUUCGUGAGAUGACGUGGAAUCCAAAAAAUGGAUUAUGGCAGAUUCCGUGGAAAUUUCAUGGUCUAUAAAGAGUUAGAUUCUUCAUUUGGAUGAUGAUUAAAGAACGUCUUCUAACUAAUAUCGAGCGUGUAAGGAGGGGGAGAAGGAGCAACAGUUUAUGUGGAUUUUAUGACCAUGACUCUGAGGAUGGCUUACAUGUUAUCAGAGAUUGUAGAGCAACUAAAGAUAUUUGGUUACAUGUGAUUCUUGAAGAUAAGUGCAAAUGGUUUUUCUUUGGGGACUUGAAAGCAUAGCUAGUGGCUAACUUGCAGAAUCAGCCACAAAUUUUGUUUGGGGAGGUGGAAUGGUCAUGCCUUUUUGGGUUAAUCGCUUGGCGUAUUUGGAAAAUUGAAAUUUACAUAUGUUUCAAAGAGUAUCGUGGAGUGUUGAUGAAGUGAUUAAAGAAUCAUAUAGUUGGGCUAAACAAUAUGCUUCUACAUGCAAGGUGUAUGUGUCCAAAAGGAAUACAACAAAUUCCUGUCUGAUAUUGACAGGUAAUUGGAUUAAGUUAAACACGAAUGGUGCCGUCUGGGUGGAUUCUAGUUUUACUACUGCAGGAGGGGUUAUGCAUGACAUGAAAGGGAAUUGGAUCUUAGGAUUCAAUAGGUGUUUGGAAGUAUGUAUGUUCAAUGCUGGAGGCUGAGUUAUGGGGUAUUUUUAAGGGUUGCGAUUUGACAGAGUGUUGAUUAAUAUAGAUAGCUUGGAAGCAGUUUAGGUUAUUCAAGACAACAACUUAAGGAACUCAAGUUCAACUUUGGCGAGGCGUAUACAUCAACUAUUGGGAAGGACAACUCAAUGGCAUAUCCAACAUGUAUCUAGAGAAGAUAAUAAAGAUGCGGAUUUUCUUGCAAAAUGAAUCGUAGUAAUGAAGACGUUUUACUUCUGUUUGAACAACCUCUUUUAGGUGUUUUAGCUUAAGUCCUUGUGAACACUUUGAUUUGUUUUAUAUUCACCAAAAAAAAAUAAUGGUUUUUUUAUGGUUUCAAAGUAAGAAAAAAUUUAAUGUCAUUUUAUGGUUUCAUUAUGAAAAAAAGUUCUGUAUAGAAAAAAAUUUCUUCCCUCUGUCUAUUAUCACCUUUCUUAAAGUGUAUUAAUUAACUUUUAAUCCCCAUGUACAACUUUUUUUCUCUUAAAAAAGUUAAUUAAUAACCUUAAAAAACUUUGUUUAAGAUUUUUAAACUUAAUAAAAAAUUGUAAUACAUUAUUUAGAAAAUUUCAAAUCAUAUCAUUUAAAAAUAAUAAUGCAGUUAUAUUAUAUAUGUUUAAAAGACAUUAUCAAAUUAUAAUCAUAUAUCCCGUUUAUGCUUGUGAAAUAAAAUAUUUGAGCCAUUUUAAAGGAUUUAUGCAGGGUUAAAAUAGUAAAAUUUUGUAUUUUAAGAGUUAUUAAAUCAUAAAAGGAUAUUAAUUAACUUUUUUAAGAGAGAAAAAGUUGCACAUGAUUAAAAGUUAAUUAAUGCACUCUAAGAAAGGUGAUAAUGAAGAGGGGGAAAUUUUCUUUCCAUCUACAACUUUUUUACUAUUGAAACCAUAGAAUUGCAUUAAAUUUUUUCUUGCCUUGAAAUCAUAAAAAAUUAUUAAUGUAAUUUCAUAUACAACUUUUUUUUUUCCGUUGAAACCAUAGAUGUCAAAUUUAAAUUUGUCUUGCCUUCUUCUCUUCCACUUUUUUUUUUUACAGCUCUCCAUUUUUUUUUCAUCUUCUUCUUUUGUUUCCUUUGCCUACUAAGUACUAUUAGGAGUGUUCAGUCGGUUAACUGACCCGAAAUUGUAAUAACCGAAUUAACCGACCUCCCAAAUUUUUUAAUCGUUAACCGAACCGAAUUUUUUUAAAAAUAAUUAAUCGAACCGAAAUUUUUUUCGGUUAAUAAGGUCGGUUAACCAAUUUAACCGAAAAAUAUGUGUUGGUCAUUUUUGGUUAAAAAUUACCCGAAUUACCUGAAUUACCCGAAAAUUAUCCAAAUUACCCGAAUUACCCGAAAAUUACCCAAAUUACCCGAAUUACCCGAAGAUUACCUAAAUUACCCGAAUUACCCGAAUUAAAUCACUACAUAAUUAAAAACAUUACAUAAAUAUUUGAAUCACUACAUAAUUAAAAAUAUUACAUAAGUCUUUGAAUCACUACAUAAUUAAAAACAUUACAUAAGUCUUGAAUUAACACAUAAUUGAAAUGUAAGUUUUUAAUAUUCUCGAUUUAUAUCCAUUUCAUCUCUCCAAAAUAUAUUCAUUUCAUCUCUCCAAAAUAUCUCCAUUUGCAUUAAACCUAAAAAAAAAAAACAUGAGCAAAAAUUUAGCAUAUAAUAGAAAUAUACGCAUUUAAAAAAACUUAAAUAAUAUAAACAAACGAAUAGAUUAUAAAUUAACAAGAAUAAGAUAGUAGUAAGCAUACCCUUCAACUCACGAAAGCUCAUGAAUCUAGGGUAGGCUCUAAUGCAUUCCAAGAAAUGUCUAAACAUUGAAUCAAUUAAAUAAAUAAGGGUGAUAUGGUAAAAAAAUUGAAACUAUUAAAAUAAAACAAUAAACAUACCAUUUUCAAUCUUGUCAAGCUCUUGGAUUUGUUCUUCAAUCUUUUUUAUGUCUUCUCGUGAUGAUGAUCUUCGAAUCCAAUCUUGAGUACACACAAGAGCUUGUACAAUUUUAGGAGUUAAAGAACUCUGAUAUUGAUCAAGCACACGUCCCCCGGUGCUAAAUGCAGACUCUGAAGCAAUCGUAGAAACCGGUAUAGCUAACACAUCUCUGGCAAUUUUUGAAAGAGUGGGAAAUCUAGGGCUGUUCACUUUCCACCACAAUAAAAUAUCAAAAUCUUCAACAAAUUCUUCAUUAGCCUCAGCUAGAUAUUUAUCCAACUCAGAUGUUUUAUCCUCACCACAAAUUUCCAACUCACGCUUUUUAUACAAAGCUUGCAUUCGCCUUUUCAUUUUUUGUUGUGGUUCACCAAUAGAAACAUGUGUUGACACACUCGAUUGGCUACAAGUACUAUGAAGUGGAGGCUUAUACUCAUCAAACAAUUCAUACAAAGAUUCCUUCAACUUUUGCAUCAUUUCACAAGCUUUUUCAAAACUAGACAUUUCACUAAGUGCAAAUUCAAGAUACUUUAGUUUUUGUCUAGGAUCUAAAACACAAGCAACAAACAUAAGCAAAUUCAUCUUAUCAAUACCACCCCAAUACUUAUCAUACUUCUCUUUCAUCUUGAUGGCCAUAACAUUGAAAUCAAUAUUACUAUUUAACUGAGCAUCUCGUAAAAGAAUAUCAAUUUCGGAAAGAUCAUCAAAAAAUUAUUGGACGUGACAUAUGAAGUGCCAGAUAUACGCAAAGUGACUUCAUAAAAGUGUUCCAAGAAAUCCCUCAAGUUUCUAACAUUAUCCCAAUCAUCCACACUAGGCCAACCCUCUCCCUUUUCAAGUUUAGCCCUAAAGUUUGUAUCUUGCUCCUGAAAUCUCUCAAAAGCUCUCUCAAAGUUCUGAGCAGUGUCUAACAUUAAGUAGGUCGAGUUCCACCUAGUACAAACAUCAAGACACAACAUCUUCUUGCACUCUAUCUUUUCCACCACAACACACUCCUUAAACUUUUGUAAUCUAGUUGGAGAUUGUCUCACAUAUCUAACAGCCCCCUAACACGUUCAACAGAUUUAUUCAUUUCCUUUAAGCCUGCAACAAUAAUCAAAUUCACAAUGUGUGCCAUGCAUCUCAUAUGAAGAUAUUUACCAUUUUGAACUAAACCCCCUCGAGGGUUAAAUUUCUUUCUCAAAUAACCAAUAGCAACAUCAUUUGAACUUGCAUUAUCAACAGUAAUAGUAAACAACUUAUCAAUCCCCCAAUUCAACAAGCAUUUCUUAAUCACCAUCCCAAUCGACUCACCCUUAUGACUAGAAAUUGGACAAAAGUUUAAAAUCUUUUUAUUCAAUUUCCAAUCAUUAUCAAUAAAGUGAGCAGUGAUACACAAAUAAUUAACUCUUUGCAAAGAUGUCCAUGUGUCAGUAGUUAAGCAAACUCUAGAACAAGAACUUCUCAAAAUUUGUUUUGGCUUGACCCUUUCAUCUAGAUACAAUUGAUAAACAUCCCUAGUCAUAGUAGUUCGUGAAGGAAUAUGAAACCUAGGACACGCCACAAACAUAAAUUUCUUAAAACCUUCACUUUCAAUAAACUUGAAAGGUAAUUCAUCAAUCAGAAUCAUUUGUGCUAAUCCUUUCCUACAUGCUUCUUGAUCAAAUCUCCAAGUUGAAAGAUUCCCUUCCCCCGCCCCCUUCAACUCCCUUGCUAGGUAAAACUAGUUGUCCUUGACUAGUGUCAACUACAUUACUAGGAUUUUUCUUACAUGAACCAAUAUGAUAUUUCAAUGACCUUGCACCUUUUUUUUCAUAUCACAACAAAAUUCCUUUUCACAAUAAUUACAUUUAGCCUUACUUGCACCCUCACUAUUAAUAAACUUAGUGAAGUGAGACCAAACUUCUGACCUUUGAGGAGGAGCUUUUCUUUUCCUGGACGUAGUCCCCUUCGUUUGGAUUGAAGCUCCAACCCUCGAAUUUUCAGAAUCUAUCGAAGUAGGAGGUGUAACACUACCCUCAAUAGAUGUUGGUUCGGUUGACAUUCUGCAAGAAAAAAAGUAUAUAAUAAAUUAAAAUAAUACGACAAACUUGGGGUCAACUGUCAAGGACAAUAUUAUUUACAAAAUCCAAAAACUUAAUAAAUUGAUGCAAUAUUAUUUAGAUCAUUUACAUUUUUUAAUUUCUCCAAUAAUUAUUCUAAAAUAUAGCAUUUUAAACCAAGUGAAAUCAUUAGAUAAACCACCAAAGAAAUAGUUUAACAGAUAAGAAUAAACCUUAUGGAAGAAGGCAUGACGAUCUUAUGGGUCCUUCAUUCAUCCAAAUUCGACCACAAUUAUUUGAUACGAAAUAAAAUAUGUUCUGAGACUUAUUUAUUUAUGGAAAAAACACUUAUGAAGUCCCAAGUUAAAAAAAACCUAAUAAAUGAAACUAACUAAAUUAUUCCAAAAUCUUGAUUGAUUAAGUGUUUAAAUAGGUGAAGAUAAUGAUUAGACAUCGAAUCUUUAAUGCUAAACAAUUUUAUUCUUAACAAAAAGAUCUGAAAUAAUUAAUUAACCAAAUAAUUAAAAAAAGAGAAAAGAAGGCCACAAAGAUUAUAAUAUGAUGAUAUAAAUAAAGAAAACAGUUGUACUGAUUAUGAUAAUAAUUCUAGUCUGAUUAUAUAUACUUUUUUAUGAAAUAAUCUGAUUAUCAUUAUUAACAAAUAAAUAAAGUCAUGACGGAUUUUAAAAAAAAAAUACAAAGAUAAAGAAAGAUGGCAAGAAAAGCAACGUUUAAGAUAAGAACAAAAGAAAUAAAUGUGUUUCCCCAAUUGAAUAUUAAAUCGUCAUAAAAUAGUAACACAAUUUCUUAGACGUAUAAAUAUAAUAUUCUACAUGUAUAAAAAAUGUAAAUUCUCCGGAUAGGAUUUGCUAUAGCCUUUGGCUUUAAUCUAUGGAAAGGAUUAAGUUUAGUAUGAAAAUUUGUUACUAUUUUUAGUGGUUUCUCCUUAUGUUUAGAUAAUUAGUUGUGGUGUAUUACUUGAAAUAACUUUUGGAGAAUAAUCAUGAAAAGAGGGUAAGCUUCCAAUUCCUUCCAAACAAAAACUUUAUUCCAUUUAAUACACUACAUAGUUACAACCUUGUGCCAAAUGUUAAAUGUAUUUCAUUUGAACUUAAUCAGCAUCAUGUAUCAAACAGACAAACACUCAGUAUUUUUUAAAAAUUAUAAAUUCCAACACUCAAUAUUUAAUAAGUAUCCAUGCAUCAUGCACGUUUAACCAAUCACUAAUUAUUAUAAUUAAGUAAUUAAUUCCUUUUAGAACCUAAUAAUGAUGCAGAAUACACUUAAAAGGGAUCUAUAUUGUAAUUCUCACAUCCCCCAUGAUAGUUUAAGUGCGCUUUCAGCCUAACCCAUUAUUUUUCAUCAAUAAAAAUAACUGAAAAUGUCAGGCUCUUCAACCCUUAGCCUAUCAACCUCCUCCGUCAAACCUGGAUAAAUUUUCCCUAUAAAUAACAGUUUUGCGUGGCCCUAAGGUUUAAACAAAUAAGCUACAUUACAUACAAUCUUUGCAAUGUCUUAUUCAAGAGUUGCCUAUUAGCCCUUACUUUCAUUGUCCAAACAGCUUUUGGAGCUGACCCUCUUUUCCAUUUUUUUCCAUUAGAAAAAAAAAACGAAUACUAUCUAUAUCAGUCAACUACAGAGUACAAACCCAUUCAAGAAAUUGGAAAAAAAAAAGAAAGGGAAAGUAGAAGAAAGCAAACCUAGCUAUUGGUGUGGUGGUCCGACACUCUGACUCGGCGACUCUGGCGGAAGAGAAAUAGUGUGUGAGUGAAAGUUUAAGUGUGUGAUUUAGGGUGGGAUUCGACUGAGAUUGAGAAUAUUAGGGUGGGAUUUAGGGCUAGAGGGGUUGGGUGUUAACUGUUAAGUGUGUGAGUGAAAAGUGAAAACUGAAAGUGAAAGGGAGGGGGUAGAGACGUAGUAGUCGGGCUGCUGCAGUGCUGCUGAGAAAUGGGCAUUGGACAGUAGGUUUAAAUUUGGGCUGGGUUUAAAUUUAAUUGGUGUAGGCCCAACCCUGUUAAUUUUGGUUUACCCGAAUUUUAUUGGUUAACCGGUCCGUUUCGAACCGAUUUAACCGUUAACCGAACAAACCAAAAAAAUUUAACUGACCCUCGACCGAAGUUUUUCGGUUCACCGACCGAUUAACUGAACUCGGUCGGUUAACCAAAAAAUUUCAAUUUUAACCGACUAAUGCACAGCCCUAAGUACUAUAGUCAGUAAAUUGAACUCAAAAUCUUUUUUUUUCUUCUCAAAUAUUCAGCGCUUCUUCUCUACUGAUAUUGUGUUAUUUUUUUUCAAAUCUCUCUUCUCAUGUAAUUGAAGGCUUAAGAGUCACAUUUCCAAAGCUUUAAAAAGAAUCAAACGGUCACCGAUCAUGGCAACCAGAGCAUGCCAUAAAAAAAAAACCACGCCGGCGCUAGUGGAGAGAAGGUCGGCACCAAAAAAAAUAAUUUAAUCUGACACGAGUGUUAGCACCAAAAAAUACUGAAAAGUAAAAUUUCAUUAUUUCCCGAUGCCGACUACCUAGAUGCUGACACCUAAUAAAAAAUAUUUUUUGAACCAGAAAAUACCCAUAUUUUUCAAAAAAGUACACAAAAAUACAUACGCGUGUUAGCCAUUGCAGUGUCAGCACCAAAAAAAUUAUUUUUUAAAACCCUGACCCAAUCAACAAGCAAUCAUUAUACGCUGAUUGACAUUGGUGACGACCAUCGGAGUGCCGACACUGCCCGACACUGUAGAUUUCAGGUAAUUUUCGUUAUAGUUUUUCAACCUGGGUCAAUGUCAUAAAUUUUUUUUUGGUUAGUUGGGUAAAAAAGCUUAUAAAAUCACUACAAAUAUAAUAUUUUAAAUGGUAAAAGUAUGAUAAAGGCUCUUAUUUUAAGAGUAGAUUACAUUUUUCUCUUUUUACUUAAAAAAUAAGUAAAUUAGUCUUUUUUAUAUUAAAGGUACACGUGACAUUCUAUAUGUAAUUGUCUGAUUAUUCUAUCAAUCAAGUCAAUUUUUAUCAAUAGAAAUAGAAACUUUUUAAUAGAAAGAACUAAUUUACUUUUUAAUCCAAUGUACAAGAAUUAAUUUAUUAAUUUAAUUUUGCUCUUAAUACACAGAUUUUUUAUUUUAUUUUAAGCAUGAUCCAAUAAAUUAACUAAACUAAAAUCUGGUGUUUUUUUUCAAAAUUGAUCCAAAAAAUAGAUUAUUUAUGAAAAUGACCCAGGUGAAAAAUCUUUGAUGGAAAUGACUUGGUUCUAUAGUGCAUGUUGGUGCCAGCCAUCUCACCGUCGGCACCACCCUCCAUGAUCUCUUAAUCAUUACCCGAUGAUUGCCCGGUCAAAUAAAAAAUAAUUUUUUUGUGUUGGCACUGUGUUUGUUGACACCAAUAUGUUUUUUUUCAAAUACACUUAAAAAAUACAGUAUUCUAAGAUUAAAAAAAAAGAAAAAAUAAUAAUAUUUUAAUAGGUGUCGGUGUUCACGUUGCCAACAUAGGUUCAAAUUUAAAAAACAAUGUUUUUUAGUGUUGGUACUAACGUUCUCAUUGUCAGCAUCAGUGUGGUUUUGAUUUUUUUUUGUCGGUGUGCUCUAAUUACUAGGACCGGUGACUGCUUUUUAAAAAAAAAAGCCAAAGGCAUUUUAUCAUUGACAAAAGACUACGGCGUUGUCAUAUUUGUUGCCGUUAACUGCAUGUCCUCCACCGCCAAUGUCUUCUUCCUCUAUUUGCUGCUAUCAUCACACGACACUCUCCUCCGCCUGCUUCUUGUUCUUGAAGCGACCAUCAUCGACUUAUUCAACAUUAUGACUUUUUAUUGAUUGGGCAAUCAUCAGAUAAUAAUUAAAGGAUGAUGGAGGAUGGUACCGACGAUGAGAUAACCGACACCAACAUGUACUAUAAAAAAAUAGUUCAUUUUCAUUGUCGAAACCAUUUUUAUUUUGAAAAAUGGGGUCGACUUUUAAAACGAAAAUGGAGUCGCCACCAAUCUUUUUUCGAGGUGUGAUCUGAGAUUAAUUAUUUUAAUAAAACAUUUUGAUUUAUUAAAAUAAUGAUUUUGGUCUACAAAAUUCGAGAAAACGGGCUCGGAAGUUGGUUAUGCACGAGGAAGGAUUAGCACCCUCGUAACGCCCAAAAAUUGGUACCUAAUUGAUUAAUUAAUGUCUCAAAGUCGAAUGUCGAAAAUUUGAAAAGUUUAGAAACGAUUCCCCUUUUUAUUAAUGCCAUAUUUUAAAACAAUGCUUGGAUAGAUUUGAACGAAUGUAAAAUGAUUUCUCAUCCCGAGGCAACAAGAUGUCGUAUCCCCUAAGUUAGGAUGCAACGUUUGAAUUCCCGAGCAUAAGUUAACCUUUUAAAAAUAUUUAUUGAAACCUUGUGCAUUUGAAAACUAAAAUGUUUAGUCAUUUUAGUUCAAUGAGAAAAUCGAAACCCCGUAAGUUAGAGCACGAUUUCUCAUCGUUCCAAAGACGACAUAUUGCAAACUUCAUUUUCCCUUUUUUACGAAAUUGGAUCAAAGCGAAGGUUUAAUGCAAUAUUAACAAUGAUAUAAAUUUGAUUUAUUCGAAAUGAAAAGAAAUGAAAUAAUCAAAUUUUGGCAAAUAAAUCGAAAAUUUUAACUAUGAUGUAAUGUUCUCAUUUAAUAAAUUGUUUAAAACAACUAAUAAAACACAAUAUAUAAAAAUAUUGAAGCAAAUGAAGUAUGAAGAAAAAUUAGAAUAUCCAUUAUAUAGAAAAAAAAAGUAAUAUUUAUAAUUCAAAAUAAAUAGUAUGUAUAUGGAUGAAGUUUAAAACAAUACAUGAAUUAAAACAAAUAAUAUAUAUGAAUGUACAAUUUAAUACCAAUAAUAUCUACAAUUUGAAAUGAAUUGGAUAAUUUACAAUAAAUAAUAUAUAAUAAAUUUGAAAUAAUAAUACAUAUAAAAUUUAAAAAUUUUAUGAUAAUUCUAGAAUAAUCAUACGUGAUAAAUCCAAAAUAAUAGUAUAUAAUAAAUUUAAAAAUAUUAAUGAUAAAUUUGAAAUAGAUAUACAUGAUAAAUUUAAAAUAAUGUUAACAAUGAAUUUAAAAUAAUAAUAUUGAUAAAUUACAAAUAAUAAAACAUGAUAAAUCUAAAAUAAUAAUAUACAGUACACUUAGAUAAUAUUAAUGAUUAAUUUAAUAAUAAUAAGCAUAAACAUUCAAAUAAUAUCAGAUUUAAUUUUUUUAAAAAAAUAGCAUAAUAAUCGAUACUUAAAUAAAUAAAACACAAGCAAAUUAAAUCAAACUAAUGAGGAUUAAAUUGAAUUUAAAGCAAAAUUAAAAGGAAUAAAUGAGAAUAAAACAAAACUGAGGGCCAAAAUAUGGAAAAAAAUAGAUAGUAUAAAAAAAUAAAUUGCAAUUGAUAAUAUAUGGAAAAAAAAUUAAAGCAAAUAAUCAAACAAUUUAAAAUGGACGAUUUAUAACAUGAGUUUUAAAAAAAUAACAUGUGUGACAUAAUAUUAAAAACAAAUAGAGUAUAUAAUUAAUGGAAAAAAAAUAAAAGAAUGAUAAGAAUGGUUAAAUGAAUGAACAAUAUAUAAAUAAGAAAGUUGAUGGAUAAAUAAACAAAUAAAAAUAAAAGAAUAAUUAAUGAUUAAACAAUUAAAUGGAUAAAUAAAAAGGUUAAAAAACGCUUAAGUCAGUUUAACUCUUACAAUAUGAAGAUUCAAAGAAAUUCCUCCAUCAAAAUCCAACUCAAAUGAAAGCAACUUAAAAAGAAACAAAGAUGAACGAAGAACAAGAUAAGAACAAGCCACAGAAAAUAAGAACGCAAGAGAGGGAGAAAUUUGAGUGAAUGCUUUUAAGAAUUAUUAUUGCUCCAAACUUCAGUGUUUUACAAUGAAGGGAGAGGCCUCUAUUUAUAGUUGAGCCUCCCCAAAUCUAACGAUAUAGAUCAAUUACAUCAACGGCUAAGAUUAAAGGGUAUCUACAAAUUAAAUCUCUAAGAUUACAAAAUCUUAUCUUCUAAGAGUGCAUAUCAUAUCUUAGAUUGCAUAUUCUGGACCUUCAACCCACUACACCAAAACAAGUCUUUAGCGGCGUUUUUUUAGGCCUUUAGCGGCAAACAUCGCUAACGUUUGCAGCGUUUACAAAAAAAACCGCCGCUAAAGAUCAUAUUCUUUAGCGGCGUUUUUUUUAAGCGCCGCUAAAGAACCUGCUCUUUAACGGCGCUUUGUAAAAAACGCCGCUAGAGAUCAUAAUUUUUAGCGGCGCUUUUUUUACAAACGCCGCGAAAAGAAAUGUUCUUUAGCGGCGCUUUUAUACAAAAACGCCACUAUUUUUGGGAUUUUUUUAUAUUAAAAUUUUCAUUUUUUUAGCCCUCCUGUAGCAACAAAUCAAAAGCAACCAGAUCUAAACCAGCCAAAAACAAUAAUUUUAUAUAAUAUUUCAAAUUAAAUGAAUAAAAUAAUAUUAAUAUCAAUAAAUAAAAGUAAAUUCAUAUUAUUUUUGCAAAAAUGUUAAAAGUUAAAAUGAUAGAAAUAUUUAUGCAAUACACUAUGACGGCAGAAGUUGCGACUGAAACAUCUUCAUCAUACUCUAAAGCUGCUGCUGGAGUUCGUCGUACUUUUUGCUUUGCUCUGCUUCUCUCGCUGCAGCCUCUGCUUUAAGUUGUAGCUGGAGUUCUUCAUAUUUUCUUUGAACCUCUGCUUCCCUCGCUGUCGCCUCUGCUUUAAGUUGUAGCUGGAGUUCUUCAUAUUUCCUUUGAACCUCAACUAUGGUCGCUUGCAUCUGAGUCAUCUGAUCUUUUAACCUCUGAACUUCAGCUUGAGCCUGACUCCUCGAAGCCAUGUAUUGCUGCGAGCUGGAUCCAAAAUAUUAGGUUGGGCUAACAAAAGAUCCUUGAAAUCGAACCCGACCAUACCUUUCAGGACCUAAAACUUCAGUAAUAAUCCGGUUAUCAAUGUCUUCAGGAUGAACAGAACUAUCACUAGAAGCAAUCGCUUCGUACUCCGCCUUUUUAUCCUUUAGUUUUUCCUAAUAAAUAAAUCACAUAGUUAGGAACGCAAUAUAUAUUAAAAAACAUAUGCAACAUAACAAUAGUCGCAUUACAAGCAAUGAAUUAAACCAUUAGAAAAUAAACACUAUAAAUAACUAAAAGAAGUCAAAUCGUAUUAAGUAAACGUACCAUUAUUUCACCAGCUUCAGGAGUCAUGGGAGAUCCAUCUUUCUUCCUAUGUGUAAUUUCAAAAAGUUGAAGGCAUCAAACUUUUUGACCGGACGACAGUUCCUACAAUAUAGUAGUAAAAAUAUUAUUUAAUGGAAAGUUAUACAUAUUUGACAAUAUUAAAAAAUUAAAAAUACCUCCGCCUCAGCUACACAUGCAAAACUUCUCGACCUGGCUGUGUGAGUGAAUUUUUGUUUCUGCCUACUGCUUUUUCCAACUCGUUCACGAUCCUACGUUAUGAAAUUUUUAGUACGUAAAUAGUAAAUACUAUAAACCAAAAUAAUUACAAUAGUUUGGAAGUACGUCAUACCUUGCCUUUCUUCGAAUGCCAAAAUCUAACCGCAUCUUCCCAUUGGUACCUCAACAUACCCGGCAGGACAUUUUGCAAUUUCUCAUCGAGGGUUAUUUUUGUCUUAUAAUAAUUUUUCUUCAAAGUACUUUUAUGGUCUCUCCAUCUUUUUCCCAAUGCCUUCUUUACAUAAGCAUCCGAGACCUCCAAAGCAAACCUCGCCUACAAAAAACACAAGUUAAUAAAGUAAAUAUAAAUGAAACUAUUUCCCAAGCAUUACAGAUGACAUUAACAUUUUGUUACCUUAAUAUUAUCGAGGGCUUGGUUUUUGUUGCUAUCGGGCAUUUGAUGCCAUGACUUAUAGUUGAUAGGCAACAUAUUCGCAUUUUGUGCUAAAAUGCCCAUGUAUCCUGCUAAAAGUUGAGCUUCUGGUCCAACAGGCUGACCAAAACUAUUUCGUCCAACCUUGACACGCUCGACUGGAUCUAACUCGUAUAACUCUCUAAGCAGCGUACGUCCUCGACCUCUGCACGUCCCACCAUUUUCAGCUACAAAUGGUAUAUUAUAAUAUAAGAAUUUGAAAAAUAAAUCAAUUAUAAGUCAACACGCAUGUAAAUUAAAUGUAAAAUUACUUUGAACUUCUGUAGGAUCCUCAGAUGUAAUCGGAACAUUCGAAGAUCCAAUUGCUGUCUGUUGUUCAAUACUAUUUGUUUCUGUCGAGUUUGGAUUAUUUUGAACCAUGCUUCCCCUUAGAAUUUUUCUUCUAGGCAUUUUAUCUGCAAUACACAUAAAAUAGUUGAAAACUUAAUAACUAAUUACAACAAUAACAACACAUAUAAAAUAAUUGAAAUAUAUAAUAAGACCAAGAUUUAAAUUAUUAUAUUACAUAUAAUUAAACAAUCGUAAAAUCUUACUCCAUCAUUAUUCGUAAAUAUCUUCAUCCGUAUCUUGACGAACCCAUUGAAAUUGUGCACUAGUACUAGGGAUAUUAUCGUUUAAGUUUUGUUUUGGAAAGGGCAAAGUUUCUGAUCUGUCGUCGAUGUUAUCUCUACUUCCACUGCCCAUGUCAAACAAGUCUCUAGGGAUGUUACGAAGUAUAACGUACUAACCCUCAUCAGUUGGAUAUUUUGAGUAAAAAACUUGUUUGACUUGAGAUGAGAAUACAUACGGCUCAUCUAUCACUUGUUGUCCUAUAUAAAUCAAUCGGGCGAAGUUCACCACUGUAAAACCAAAUUGAUCUUGCUUAAUUCCACGAGCAGUAUUAACAUCAGCCCAAUCACCUCGCAAUAAGACAACUUUCCAUUUGCCGUAGUUAUCCAACUCAAUUAUGUCAGUAAGAAGUCCGAAAUAUUCCACAUUUCCCUCAACAAGAUUAUUGUCCCUAGCACUAGCAUAACUUGUAAUUGAGGAAUUAACAACUAUUCCACAAUCUUGCUUUCUCCUCAACCUCUUGCGAUAUUUUGUAUGAAAUCUGAAUCCGUUGAUGAGGAACGCACUAUAUCUUUUAACCACUCGAUCUGGACCUUGGGAGAGCCAUUUAACUUCGUCGUUUACGUUCUUCCCACUCCGAACCUAUUGAAUGGAAAGUAAACCGAGUAAUUAAAAAUUAUUCAAUGUAGACAAUAUUUCAUAGCACACACCUCAAAAAUUUUCACAAACAAAAAGAAAAACAAUUAAAAAAAAGAAAAAGAAAACCCUGAACUACUAGAAUUAAAGAAACCUAUAGCAGGCAGAAAAAUGUAAAGCAACCUUCUUUGUAGCAGGCAUGGCCUCAAGUAUUAUAACCACAAAGAAUAUCUGACAACAAUUGCCUACACCAAACCAACAUGGACUUGUAAAACAAUUCCCACAAGAAGUUGGGUUAAUUUUAUAUGAAAUAGUUUCCCCGCAAAAAUCUAGCUUUUUGGACUUGUAAAACAACAAAUCCAAGUGAAAUGACUUUAGUUUAAAAUUUAAAUUACGGCACUCUCCGCCAUUCAGCCAAUAGUGCUUUUUAAAGAUAUACAAGUAAAGAAAAACAAACUGAAUGAACAAGAUAGGGAAUGACAAGGCCCAUGAGGAAAAUAAUGAAAAAAAUAAAAAUUCAGAUAAUAGUUGAAACAGAACUAACGGUUCUAGGAGAAACUUGGACAAGCCCAGAUACAGAUUUAUACACUUAAGGUAGCCAAAAUUUUCAAUGGCAGCAAAAAUGAAAAAAAAAUGUAUAUAUAUACAGAAAAAGGAACUGAAAUCUUGUAGAAAGAGAAGAGGUGGCUCACUUCUCGGACGUGGAUAAGCAGACGGAGAAACAACGAAAAUGAAGCACAGAUUCAAAAGAGAUGAUUUAAGAGAAAAAGUUUUAUAUUUAUUUAUUCAUUUGCCUUACUAAUAAUAUCAAAUUCCAAGCAGGAAAGAAAGGUUGAAUUCCAAGCAUUGAUUUUAAAUGUCAAAGGAACGAUGACACCUUCGCCGAAGAUCUCCGGUGUGUCAACAUCGUCGACUUCCAUGGCUGAACCUUGGUCGUCUGGGUCCGUCACGAAUUCCAUCGGCUUCUAAGCUUCUAGGGAUUUCUUUCCCCCUUUUUCUUUAGGCUUCUAGGGAUUUCUUUCGUUGUUUUAAUUUUAAUUAUUUCUGUUGAAAUAUCUUUCCCCUCUUUUCCUUACAAUAAAUUAUGGAUUUUGUGGCGUUUUUAGAAAAAACGAAGCUAAAAAAAUUAAAUUUUUGUAGUGAAACGGCACGUUUUGGAAAAAUUUAAUAAAUAUUUGCGGCGUUUUUUGUCCAAACGCCGCUAUUGCUUACCUUUUGCGGCGUUUUUCUCAUAAAUGCCGCUAAUGGUUGAUUUUUUUUAUAAUUUUGUAUUUAAUUAUUAUAUAAUUCAUAAUCCAUAAUUCCUAAUUAUUUAAAUUAUUUAAAAAAAAAGAAAAUCAAGAAUUGUAGAUUUAAUGUUGAUAUUAUAAAUUACUGGUAAAUUCAAAUAAAAAUCUAUCUUAUCUAAACAUUUUAAAUAUAUAUAUAUUUUCAAAUUGUUAAAUUUCAGUCCUAUAUAAAUGAAUCACCAUCCUGUUUCAACAUUCGGCUUUCGAAAUUUCAAUGGAAUUUACAGAAAAUAUUUUGUUAUUUUAUUUAAUAAUUAGGUGUUUUGUGAGAUAAUAAGUAAGAAAUUUAAUUGACAUAUUAUCUUAAUAUGUUAUAAAAAUACUGUUAUUAUCUUAAUUAUAUUACUUACAUUCUAAUGAUUUAUCGGACCUAUUCCAUACACGUGUCAAAUCAGAAAAAUAAUACAACAAUUCUGUAAAAAAAAAUUCGGUGUUUACUUCAAAUAAAUAAGGAAAAUAAUAAUUUGAAUGUUUCAAAAUUCAAUUUUAAACCGAAAAAUCAAAAUUUAGAGGCAAAAAAGGAUCUUUUUCGACGAAAACUGCGGCAAACUGCCUUCGGCAAUUUGUCAGGGCGUAGAUCUCGAAAAGUUAUUCGAGAUAAAAAAAAUGGCCUCAAUUGGACAACCGAGCCAAAAGUUAUGGCCUUUCAAAAUUUUCCAAGCUAAAAAACAUAAACUGUUCAUGAAUUAUUACUUCAAAACUCACCGUUUCGUUUCCAUUGAUUUCAUCGUGCACCAUUUCAAUUGAUUUCACAAAUCCCGCCUCUAAUCCUCCCAAAAUUUGACAUCCCUCCAACUCUACACAACGAUUCAAAAUGCUUUCUUUUUCAGGCAAAAUACCAAAAAAGCCCUAUAUUUUUAAAAUUUAUCGAAAUGGGCCCGGUAUUUUAUUAUUUACCGAAAUGGGCCAUUUUUCCCGAAAUCGCGUCCACGUCAGCGCGAUACCAGGGGACGUGUUGAAACUCUAAACCCCAAAUCCCUAACCUAAUUAUUGAAACCUUAAACCCCAAAUCCCUAAACCCUAACCCCUAAAUCCCAUAACCCAUAAAUCUCUCUAACCUCUAAAGCAUAACACUGAACCCCUAAACCUUAAUUCACAAACCCAAAAUCCAUACCUCGGCCUACUCCUUAAACUCUAAACCAUAUAAUAUAGUGAUAAUUAAUUCAAUAUUUUUAAAUUAAUACUAUCUCUUUUACGAUUAUAUAAGAAAUUAUUUAAUAUAUAAGCUAAAAAAAUCAGUAAUGUAUCCAAAAAGCUUUAAAAUUAUUUUAAAUAAUAGUAUUUUAAUUUUUCCAUUUUUAACAAAUAUUUUAAAUUAUUUUAAAUCCCUGAGCAUUAGCGGCGCUUUUGUAAAAACGCUGCUAAAUCCCCGAAAGCUCAGAAAACGGCAUCGUUGGGUUUAGGUUUUUUUGCGGCGCUUUCCCAAAAACGCCGCUAAAGCCCUGAGCAUUAGCGGCGCUUUCUUAAAAACGCCGCUAAAUCCUCAAAAGCUUAGAAAACGGCGUCGUUGGGUUUAGCUUUCCCAAAAACGCCGCUAAAGCCCUAAGCAUUAGCUGCCCUUUCUUAAAAAUGCCGCUAAAUCCCCGAAAGCUCAGAAAACGACGCCGUUGGGCUUAGUUUUUUUUACGGCUUUUUCCCAAAAACACCGCUAAAGCCCUGAGCAUUAGCGGCGCUUUCUUAAAAACGCCGCUAAAUCCACGAAAGCUCAGAAAACGACGCCGUUGGGCUUAGUUUUUUUUGCGGCGCUUUCCCAGAAACGCCGCUAAUGCCCUGAGCAUUAGCGGCGCUUUCUUAAAAACGCCGCUAAAUCCACGAAAGCUCAGAAAACGGCGUUGUUGGGCUUAGUUUUUUUUUGCGGCGCUUUCCCAAAAAUGCCGCUAAUCCCCGAAAGCUCAGAAAACGGUGUCGUUGGGCUUAGGUUUAUUUGUGGCUUUUGAGCAAAAACGCAAGUAAAGUCCUGGGUAUUAGCGGCGCUUCUCGAAAAACACUGCUAAAUCCUCGAAAGCUCAGAAAACGACGUCGUUGGACUUAGAUUUUUUUGUGGGGCUUUAGCAAAAAUGCCGCUAAAGUCCUGGGUAUUAGCGGCGCCUCCCGAAAAACGCCGCUAAAUCCCCGAAAGCUCAGAAAACGGCGUCGUUAGGCUUUGGUUUUUUGUGGCGCUUCGGCAAAAACGCUGCUAAAUCCGCUAAAGCUCAAAAAAUGGCGUCGUUGGUCUUAGGGUUUUUUGUGGCGCUUUGUCAAAAACGCCGCUAAUGCCCCGAAAGCUCAGAAAACGACGUCGUUGGGAUUAAGUAUUUUGUGGCGCUUUCGCAAAAUCGCCGCUAAUGCUUAUUUCAUCGGCGUUUUCCAUGGAACGCUGCUAAUGGUCGAUCUUUAGCGGCGUUUUUUAUCCAACCGCCGCUAAAAACGCCGCUAAAAGUCUGUUUUGGUGUAGUGACCUUUUCAAGUAAUGAGUCAUUCCGAUCGGACCAAAUGAUAUAAUUUUGGACUGGAGUUAGACUUUAUUUUAUUAUUUUAAGUUUUUUUGUAAACUCGGGCUAAAUUGACCUAUUACAUUCAUAAAUAAAAUUUAUAUUUAAAUCAUUUUUGUAAAUAAUCAAAUUUAAAACCCACAUUUUACAGUGUUGUGCUUCUGGAUUCAUCGUAGGCCUAAGAGUUGGCAAGAUCAUGAGUGACAUAGUGGGUAGUUGUUGUGUAAUGUCAAUCUACAGAAGACACGUAAUUAGAAAGUGACAAAAUUAUUGUCCUUCAGUUGUAGGACAUCCCAUGCAUUUACACUUUGAAAAAUAAUGCAAAGAGCUGACGCGUAAGGACAGCAAUUAAUGGUACGGUAUUCAUCUGUCUCAUAAUUAAUUAAUAUGGCCACAACCACAAGGCUUGUGCCAAAUCACCCCCUACUUCAUUUGACCCCAAUCUGAACUGAAAACCAUGCCUCCAACUUCUUUGCUCCUUAGCUGGGACUGAAUUAUGUUAUUUUACAUUUCCUAUUUGCUUUAAUAUUAUAGAUGUAUAUUUAUUUUAUUUACCCUAUACAAAUUUACAUUAUCCUCUAUCAUUUUAUUAAAUAUAUAUAUAAUAACACCCUUAAACAAUUAAAUUAGGAUUCAACUUUUUAUGGGUUACUUAUUUAAUGAUUUAACCUUUCAAAAUGGUCACAUGAGCGUUACUUUUAUAUACGUAUUUAAAUAAGAGUUUUUCAUACGCUUCAAUUAAGUUCAUAUUAAAAAUUAGUUAAAUGAUAAUAUGUUUAGAAUAAAAUAAAUAACAACUAAAUAAAAUAUUAUUUAAAAAGAAAAGAAAAGAAUAAUAACAUAAUUUGAAACCCAAUAUACGAUAUCUAAGAAGCCAUUAUUUUUGUAGUUUUGAAAUGGUUUGGCUAUUAUUUAAGCACUUUCGAAAAGGUUCGGCCAUUGUUUGAACAUUUUGAAAAGUUUAGCCUUCUUUUGAGCACUUUUGUAAAGAUUAGGCCUUAUAUGACAAUUUUGAAAGAUUUGAUCCUUAUACGAGCUACCCUAAAAGGUUAGACCUCAAAUUGAGCAUUUUUAGCUUUUGAUUUAUUAUUAUUAUUGUUAUAACAUUAAUGUUAUAUAAAAUGUUGAAUAAUACAAUGAGUGUGAUUCACACUAUAAGGGGGUGUGAAGAGCCUCUAGAAUGGGGCAAUUUACACCAUAGAUGAUGCGAUUGGAUUUUAAGUUGUAACACCUUGAAUAAUUUAAGUCUGUUUUUGUGAAAUUUAGGGUCUGUCUGAUUGCCAGUAAAAUGUUUUCCGUAAAAUAAUUUUUGGAAAAUGUUUUACUUUUCUAUAAAAUGAUUUACUGGAAAAUAUUUUUUGGUGUUUGAUUGAAUCCGUGUAAAAUAUUUUCUGCUGUUUGGCAGAUUUCCUGAAAAUAUUUUUCGAAAAAGUUAUUUUUACAUAUAUUAAUAUAUAUUAAUAAAUUUUUAUAUUUUAUUGCAAUGAUUUAUUUAUAAUAAUACUCAAUUAUUAAGCUACAAUAUUAAUCGUUAAAUUAAAAAAAACUAAAUUAAAUAUAUAAUAAUACUCAAUUAUUAAAAUAUAAAAGCAUUGCAAACUACUUCCGAAAUUUACUAAUUAGUAGUGAAUCAAUUGUAGUGAUCUCCUGAUGAAAUUACGCUCAGCAUAAAAGCAAUUUUUUUGUUGUCUUACAAACAACACAGAUAGCAUCAUUAUCAAAUUUCAGCCACUCUCAAGUAUAACCAAUUCCUUAGCCAACCAAUCUACAUUGUAACACAAAGCUAACUCCUAUAAAAAUUAUCCCAAUGCACACAUUUACAGAAAUAAAUAUGUAUAUAUGUAUGCAUUCAACAAAUACAUAACCAUAUGCAUGCAAUCAGCUAUGUUCUUUGAAAGCUACUACUAGAUCAAGCAUUGCCCCAAUACCAUAGGUUGCCAUCCAAUAGAGAGGAAAAAAUACAAGCAAAGAACCCAACUUUUUACUUAGACAUAUGGCGAAACGUGCUCAUGCAACUGGUAAGAAAAAAUCACUCAUGGCCCAAAAAAGAAUUUCAUAAAACUGAUAGUAAAAUCAAAAUGAAUGAUACAUACAAUCAAAAUUUUCAACUGACACCUAUUGAUUUAAUACAACCAGGUAAAGAGGCCGACAACCAUCUGAUAUCUAUGAAGCAAAUGAACUAGCAAUAUACUAGAAAUAUCAGCAAUUGCAAUCAACAAAGGCAACAGGCUCCAUUGAAGUCCCCAAUUUAAAUCUAUUGAUUUAAUACAUGCUCUCAUUGAAGUCCCCAACUCUAGGAAUAUUGUUCUGCCAGAAGCUAGUCAGUUAAGCAAAAUCAAUAAAAAUUCAAGAAACAUAAACCCAAACCUAGAUAAACUACUGCAUUUAUCUUACGGUGCUUGCCAAUUACGUUGCCAUGAUUUCCAAUUAUAACAGAAAUGGAGUUCUGAAAAAGACCGACCCGUACCCGGGGUUCUCUUAACAACUCUUUGUCAGCAGAAAAUUUGAAAGCCUGGAAUGAUUUGAAAUGGAAAAGCACUUAUAACUGCCUUCUACAAUAUACUUGUAUUGAAAUGACAAAAAUUGAGGCACAAGGUGAUAAGAGCUAGAAAGGGGUGCAAGUGAUAAUAGACAUUAACAUGUCCUUACCUUCCAAUAAAUUUAAAAUGGCAUAUCCAUCGCAAGAAUUUUUAUGAUUUGUACCCUCGACAACAUUGGUGAAGAACAACACAACCUAUAAAAUUGUUAUAAGUAUCCUAAAUUGAGAUCUACCUUGAUCAUUAGAGACAAGAUUAGUGCUUUGUUGUAGCACAAUUUAAAAUAAUUGUUUAUGAAAGCAAGACAAUGUGCAAGUACACAAGCAUGAGAGCAACGGAGCUUUCAAUUUUAUCUAUUAAUGGUUUUCACAUGUCUUGAGAGAGAAUAUGAUUGCUAGAUAUUACAAAAGGUUAAACAAAAAAGGUAGGCUAUAUUCUGUACUAGCUCUACAAGUUCAGAGUACAAAAACCACAAGCACUUCUAAUAAAUCAAAUUCUACAGGUCUCUAAUGGUCAGAACCAUUACUCAUUUAUCUUCAGAAAACAGGAGUGGCGAGUUGCAAAAAUCUAUACCUCAUCAACUUCCAUUGAGAGAUCAUUCACACUUUGCCUAAGUAAUCCUUUCAAUCUUCCUUUCUUGAAAUCUGAAAGCUCAGCACCAAUGUUGUUUUCAAAAAGUGAAUCAACAUCUUUAGGACUACAAUCCAUAGACUCUUUAUCAUUGACCACCAUAUACUUCCCUUGAGACAACUCAGAUGCAUUGGAAUUGGACAGAGUAUUUUUAUCUUCUGACAACAGGUCAGCUAUUUGACAAGCAUAGAAGCUAAAGAAAUCAGGUCCAGCUUUACAUUGCUUACUCGAACCAUCUGAAUUUCUCGGCAUCUCUGACAUGAUAGAAGUACUACUACUCUGCAUACGACAACUACAUAGAUAUGAAUCAGUCCAGACUCCAGAUAAAUAACUGAAGCAAAAGAGGAAGAAGCACCAUUAUAUAUACUAUACAAAUUUCUCUCUAAAGCUAUAUUUAGAAACAUGAAUUUGAACAUUUGGAUUUAAUUUCAUUUGUUAUAAAAAUCUACGGAUAAAUAAAUAUUGAUGAGCUAAGAUGAUGGAUCUCUAUAUCAAUGAAUCGUUAUAAUGCAGUAAUGUUGGAUAAAUAAAUAGGCACUUGAAGAUCAAACUCAUGUUUUGAAGAGAGGGCUUUAGCUGAUUCAGGUGGAACAAUAGUUUCAAGUGUUGUUCCGCAAUUCAGCCUUAGAAGCAAUCGGCUGACUUCCUGUUAAUAAACCAUAACAAAAUUCCAAAAGAUUGUUACUUUCACCAGCAAUAAGAUCAGUAGAUUUUGACUUUUAAUAGGCAAAACAUGUUACUUGUUAAUGAGAUAAACUGUUUACAAAUUCUAGGAUCGUCUGCAAUGAUUAUUUCAGUGGCAAAAACUGACUAAAAUGACAAUAACCAAUCAAUUCAUAAUAGACAAUAUGAAAUGGGUUUCCUUUUUCAUGAUCAAAUUUGCUUUUACAAUAUAUAUAUAUAUAUAUAUAUAUAAGCAAGAAAAAUAACAGGAAAGACAAAUAAAUUACAACCCGGAAAGUGGGAAAAAAGAAAAAGAAAAGACCUGGUAGAGUUGAGGCUUGAGAUUUGCGCUCAAGAGGUGGUGAAGCGAAUUAUACCCACAAAUUGAUCCAUAUUUGAAACUUUCUUUUUCUUCUGUGCUUCCAUUUUCUUUCCCAAUUCCAUCAGUUUUUUCAUUUUCUGAUUCCCUCAAUUAUUGCUCCGAAAUCAAAACAUAGAAAAAAGGUUGAUGAACGCCGGUGUCUAGUGUUAAGAAUCGAUGUUGGUUGAUGGCAAGCAGAAGAUCAGGUGUCAAGGAUAGGAGAAAGGGAAGGGCAAGGGAAAGGGAAAGGGAAAGGGAAGAUCGAUGUCUAAAAUUUUCUUGAAAAUGUCUUAUCGAAUUAGAAACGGUAAGAUAUUUUCCAAAAUUAAAGGCUUCUUUUUCCCGUAUUUGUAAUUGAUUUUACGUGAAGAAAAUAUUUUCAGCCAAACAAACACUGGAAAAGGCUGAAAACCUUUUCCGGAAAAUGUUUUACUACAAUCAAACAGAGCCUUAACAUAAAAUGUGUAUUUGCUUCAGUGGUUAAGUGUUCUGGGUGUGUGUAUGAGGUUUUGGGUUCAAGUCUUUAUUUUGGAAUUUUUUUUUAUUUUUUUAUCCAAGCCUUAUCUCUAUUAGGUGGGCUUAUGUUUUAUCUUUAGUAAACCCAAAUCAGAAUGAGCCUGUUGGUUCGAGCAAUAACGAGUUAGCUUGCUGAAGGUCCUGUGUUCGAUUCCCUGUGUGAGCGUGGAUGAUAUUUUUGUUUUAGUUGUGAGAUAGAGGUUAGGUGAAAGUAAAAUUCUAAGGUGGUGGAGAGUUAGUCGGUUAGUUAGUGGAAUAAUGGAAAGUUGAGAUAUUAGGGGUUUCAAAUUUUAUUUUAAUUUUUUUUCUUCUCAAAGUUUUUGACGUCAGUUUUAUUUUAUUUUUCCCUCUUUUAACAUUUUUACCUUCUCGGUAAAAUCCUUUUCAUUUCUCUUUGAUUCUAUUCGUGAAUCCCUCGUUCAAAUCAUUGCUACUGUGAUUUUUGGGUUCUUUAAUCGGUUGGUAAGUAGAACUUCGUAUCUCUUUAACAAUUGGUUUGAGAUAUUGGCAAUGUUAAGUUGUAGCGAUUAAUUAGUAGAUUCUGUGUUUAGGAGAAGAUUGUGAAGCAGAAAAUUCACUCCGACAGCCUAAUCCGUGUUAGUGGUGGUUUUCAUUAACGAUAAGUUUGUGAUCGUUGUUGAAUUUUUGUCACGAAUUUGUAAAUUGGUUGCUAAUCGGGGUUAGAGAUACUAUUUACAGGUUUUUAUGGUCUCGGGAUUGAUUAUACUACAAAAAUAAACCAGGUGUGUAACCCUAACGUGAGAAAAUGAGAUUCGACGAAAGUUAAAAUUUAGGUUUGUCGACGCCACACUAGCGUGUGCCCGGUCGUGUGCAAGACAUGGUCGUGUGACUUAUAAGGGUAUGGCCCUGCGUAAGACACGACCGUGUAACAGUGUUAGUGUGGCUGUGUGGACUUCACGGGCUGGGCGAGAUUGGCCGAAUGGGCCCAUACGGGCAAGCCACAUCGACGUGUGGGCCCAUAAUUCUAAAAUUUUCCCUAGGAUCUCACUGGUCGUUUUGAUUGAAUGUGAACCUAUUAUAGGGUCGGUAAGGGCUAAUCAAACUCUAAUUCAUGUGAUCUGAUAUUCUGAUAGUCUGAUUUGAGUAGGACAUUGAUAUGUAUGUAUGACUGUUCUGUUUGAGUAUAUAUAUAUGUGUUAUCUAUAUACGAACAUGUGUUAAUUAUGUUAAUUUUGUAUUAUGUAUUGUGUUUAGGGUGGGAUUUGUAUAUAUGGAGGAAGUGAUCUGUACGGUGACCUUUCGCCUAUAUUCUGGUAGCUUGGCUGCGUAUUAUCUAUUAUGUGUCGCAUCAAAACUCUAUGGUGUCUAGGGAUGGGUGGGUGUUUUUAACCCCCACAUGGUGUGAUGGGAUGGACGGAGAUGGUGUGUAGAGGAUGGGGGUAGGAUUUUGUAUAUUCGUUCUAUUUAUCUGAUAUGAUUUCUGUAACUGUUGUGGACUUAGGUUCGAAUCUGUUUCUGACUGUAUAUGAAACUUUGUGUAUGCUGCAUGUCUGUCUCUGUUGGGUUACACACUGAGUUUAUAUAAACUCACAUUUGUUUGACUUUUUUGUUCAGGUAACCUAUAGACAUAGGCGGGUCAGUGCGACGGAGGCUCAGCGGUGACCACUCGAUAGAAAACUGUUUCCAUUUAUUAUUUCAUGGUUUUUAUUUAAAUUUCUAAUUUUCGUGAGAGUUUUGUAAUUUUUGGACUCUCCAAACUUUUUGAACUGUUUGGUUUCAAUUUUUGGUUUGGUUGGGUUAUGAUUUCUAAACUACGACAAUUCGACAAAAUAUUGAUUUUACGUGAUCAAAUGUCAUCGAGCCUGGUUUCUAUUUAAACGACUUUUCAAACUUCCGCUGCUAAAUGAUUUGGUUAACCUUAAGGGAUAACAUGUAACUGUUUCAUUAAUAAAUAUAUAAGUGAAUACGUUUUACAAAACUUGGACGUUUUAUUGAAAUAUUAUUGGUUUUAAAACCUUUCUUCGUAACACUCCUGAAUUCGGCCAUAACGUCUAGGUCGAGUUUGGGAUAUUACAUUUAGUGGUAUCAGAGCCAGGUUGUAAAACUCGGGUUAUGAAUUUUGGAUUCCAAAAUUUUGUCUUGAAAAAAGACUAGUUUUUAAAUAAUUUAGAUCAUUCCUGAGUAAGUAUGUGAUACACCAAGUCUUCGGUGUCGAUUUUAUAAGUAUCUCUAAAUUUUGAAAAUACAAUAGAUAGUACUUUAUGAAAUUGUAAUAAGUUAGUUAAAGACUAAAACCUCUGAAAUACUUCUGAACUUUUGAUAUUUUAAGCAUAAAAUAUUUGUUAAUAAAAAUUGAAACUGAGGCAUAAAAUUUUAUAAUGUAAAUAAAAUUAAAAAUACGAUGAGUACUCAUGAAACUCAUGGUCAUAGUAAUCGUGGACGUGGCGGGCGCCGUAGUAGGGCUUGAGUUGAGUUUUCCUCUCUAGGCAGUAUGCCAAAUUUAGAUACGAGUGAGGCACCGGUUUUACUUACUACAAAGACUGGGUUUGAAAGCCGUUCGUCUGGGGACGAUGCACUGUCCUAAUCUAUGUUGAGAGUGUUGGAGAGGGUUGCUAGACCCUAUUCGGGAUCUGGAGGUCGUAGGUCGAUAACAAAAUGACUUCGAUCCAAUAGAGUUGAGUUGUUUAGAGGUGUCACUAGAGUCACCUUUACUGUGGACGAGUAUUGGUUAGAGGCCAAUAAGAGGAUUAUGAAUGACAUCUACUGCACUCCUGAGUAGAAAUUAAAAGGUGCAAUCUCUUUGUUUCACGACGAAGCUUAUCAGUAGUGGUUGUCAGUUGAGGAGGGUAUUCAACCGGAUCAUCUGAACUGAGACUACUUUAAGACCGCUUUCUAGGGAAAAUAUGUGGGUGCAAGCUCUGUGGAUGCUUGUAGGCGUGAGUUCACGAAUCUCACGCAAGGUGAUAAGUCUGUGGUCGAGUAUGAGGUCAAAUUUCUGAGACUGAGUCGCUACGCUCAAGGCAUUGUGGCAUCUGAGUAUGAGAAAUAUGUUUGUUUUAAGGACGGCUUGAGGGAUAGUCUGAGGGUAUUAAUUGCUUCACAGAGAGCGAGAGUUUGCUGUUCUUGUGGAUAAGGCGAAGAUCGCCGAGGAGGUUAAGGACGUAGAGUGCUAGAACAGAUAUCGUGAGAGAGGCAAGAAUAAGAAGGAUUCAGAGCCCUCUAGUUCUAUUCAGAGGCCUAAGAAAUUGCCCAGACCUGAUGGGCCUGUUAGGGUGGGAGUUAUUAUUGCUCUUACUAGGAUUCAGCCUUGUGGUGACUGUGGUAGGCUUCAUCUGGGUAAGUGUUGGAGGAGAUCGGGGCUUAUUUGCGGUAUGGGUCUUUAGAGUACCAGAUUAAAGAAUAUCCACAUCGUACCAAUUAGAUGCAAGCUACGGGACCAGGUUUUGUUCAGCCUCAGAGGACAGUACAACAGCCACCUAAGGGUCGUGGAUUGGCUAGGAGUGGUAAUGGUAUGAGUCAUGGACAGAGAGUACCAGACAAAGGUGUUAAUCAGACUGAGGCGAGACAACCUGCACUGGUUUAUACUGCUCGACGCCGAGAGGAUAGAGACGCUCCUGAUGUGAUCACGGAUACGUUUUUAAUUUUUGAUAUUUCAUAUAUUACUUUGAUAGACUUAGGUUCUACACACUCCUAUGUAGCUAGUGUUGCUUCUGAAAACUUGAGAAUUUCUAUUGAGUGUACUUGUGGUGAGAUUAUUGUACUGAGUCUGUUGGGACAGUCUGUUUGGGUAAAUAGACUUUAUAGGAAUGUUUCGUUGGAAGUAUAAUGGGUUAUCUUUUCGGUAAAUCUGAUGGAGCUAUCGUUUGGGGAGUUUGACUUAAUUCUAGGUAUGGACUGAUUAGUUGAACACCGAGUUAGUUUGGAUUGCGUAACUAAGAGGGUCAUUUUGAGGACCAAAGAUGAUAAGGAGGUGGUUGUGAUUGGUGAGUGUCGAGAUUACUAGUCUAAUAUAAUCUCCGCUCCAGUAGCUGAGAAAUUAGUUUGAAAAUUGUGAGGCGUAUUUAGCCUACGUCAAUAUUUCAGUUUAUGGGGACUCUGCUGUCGGGGAUAUCAGAACAGUGAGGGAAUUUUUGGAUGUUUUUCUUGAGGAAUUGCUGGGUUUACCUCUGAAUCAAAAAGUUGAGUUUGACAUUAAGCUUCUACCGGGUACAAAAUUGGUAUUUAUAGUUCUUUACUGUAUGGCACUGAAGGAGCUUACAGAGCUUAAGGUUUAACUUUAAGAGCUUCUGGUUUCAUCCAUUCUAACGUGUCUCCGUGGAGGGCACCAGUUCUAUUUGUGAAGAAAAAUGAUGGUACCAUAAGGAUGUGCAUCGAUUACUAGCAGUUGAAUAAACUGACUGUGAAGAAUAAGUACCUACUUUCGAGGAUCGAUGAUCUGUUUGAUCAAUUUUGAGGGGCUUCAGUAUUCUCAAAAAUAGAUAUCUGUUUUGGGUAUCAUCAACUUAGAGUUAAGGAAGCCGAUAUUUAUAAGACGGCUUUUAGGACUCGUUAUGGGCACUACGAGUUCCUAGUUAUGCCCUUUGGUUUGACAAAGGCUCCAACUGGAUUCGUAGAUCUGGUGAACCAAGUUUUUGGUGUACUCUAAGAUUGAGGAUAAGCAUGACGAUCAUCUUAGGGUAGUGCUUCAGAUACUUCGAGAGAAACAACUUUACGCUAAGUUGAGAAAAUAUGAAUUCUAGUUAUGAGAAAUAACAUUUUUGGGGCACGUGGUUUCUACUGAGGAGAUCCGAGUUGAUUCUAGAAAGAUUGAGGUUAUGCUUGACUGGAAACAACCUAAGAACGUAUCUGAGAUCCGUAGUUUUCUAGGACUUACAUGUUAUUAUUGGAGGUUUAUUGAGGGGUUCUCGUUGAUUGCAGCUCCUUUAACUAAGCUUCUGUGCAAGAGUGUUCCUUUCUUCUAGACUGAUGCGCAAUAAUCGAGCUUUGAGAAGCUCAAGUCUAUUUUGACUCAAGCUCUUAUUUUGAUAUAGCCUGAAUCUGGUAGGGAGUUUGUGGUGUACAGUGAUGCGUCGCACGUUGAUUUGGGAUGUGUACUGAUACAAGAUAGUAAGGUUAUGGCUUAUGCGUCUCAAUAGCUCAAGUCACGCGAGGGAAAUUAUCUGAUGCAUGAUCUCUAGUUGGCUACGGUAGUGUUUGUACUAAAGAUUUGUAGGCCCUAUCUGUAUAGUGAGAGGUGUAUUAUCUACACCGAUCACCAGAGCCUCAAGUACCUCCUUACUCAGAAGGAAAUCUUAGGCAACAUCGAUGGAUUGAGCUGCUAAAAGAUUAUAACUGCACAAUGGAGUAUCAUCCCAGUAAGACUAAUGUGGUGGCUGAUGCUCUCAGUUGUAAAGCGAUGACUGAUUUGAUAGUAGUGUUCGCUCUUCUUAGUCUGUUGGAUGAUGGAGGUCUGUUAGCCGAGUUGCAAGUUAAGCUGACUUGGAUUGGGCAGAUUUGGGAAAGGGGAUGAGUCACUGGUUCUGCGGUUUGUCAGGUUGGGAGUGGCUAUACUUUUGAUUUUAGACUGAAUAAGGAUGGAGUUCUGUGUUUUUGAGGACGGGUUUGUGUAUCAAAUGAUUUUGAUCUGUUCUGAGGGAAGCGUAUAGUAGUCCUUAUGCUAUACAUCCUAGUGGUAAUGGAUUUUCGUGAGCUGUACUAGUGGCCGAGGUUGAAACGAGAGGUAAUAGAUUUUUUUAUUCAUUGUCUGAUAUGCCAGCAAAUUAAAGUUGAGCAUUAGUUUCCUUCAAGUUUUCUCCAACCCGUUAGGAUUCUUUUAUAGAAAUGAAAACGAGUGAUGAUGGACUUCGUUAGUGGGUUGUCCUUGACACUCAUUAAGAAUAAUUUUGUUUGGGUCAUCAUGCAUCGAUUGACCAAAUCUGCCCAUUUGAUUCUGGUCCAGACGAACUUCUUUCUACAAAAGUUAGAGAAGCUCUAUAUCUCCGAGAUUGUAAGACUGCAUGGGGUUUCAGUUUCGAUAAUUUUUGAUAGGGAUCCUUGCUUCACUUCUCGUUUCUGGAUGAAACUUUAGGAAGCCCUAGGUUCGAGAUUGGACUUCAGUACUGCGUUUCAUCCUCAGACCAAUGGUCCAUCAGAGAGGGUGAUUCAGAUACUGGAGGAUAUGCUUCGGAGUUGUGUGAUUGAUUUUUGAGGUAAUUGAGAGGAUUUUCUGUUGUUAGCUGAAUUCACCUGUAAUAAUAGUUUCUAUUCUAGCAUUCAUAUGGCACCUUACGAGGCUUCGUAUGAUCAUAAGUGUCGUACUUCACUAUGUUAGACUAGUUAGGUGAGUGAUAGAUUUUGGGUCUUAAGUUGGUUUUCUAGACUGAAAAUAAGGUUAGAUUGAUUCGGGAUUGUCUGAAGGCGACUUUUGAUAGACAGAAGUCCUAUGCAGAUCUAAAAAGGAGGGAUAUUGAGUACUCUGUGGGUGAUUCUGUAUUCUUUAGGGUAUCACCGUGGAAGAAGGUUCUACGAUUCGAUCGUAAUGGCAAGUUAAGCCUUAUUCAUUGGGUCGUACCAGAUUCUGAAGCAUGUGGGACUGGUUACUUAUCAGUUAGAGUUACUUCUAGAGUUGGACUAUAUCCAUGAUGUGUUACACGUCUCGAUGUUGAGGCGGUACUAGUCUGAUCCAUCUCACGUUGUCUUUGUUGAGGAGAUCGAUGUUAGACCAGAUUUAACUUUUGAGGAGGAACCGGUUCAGAUUUUGGAUCGAGAUAUUAAGGUUUUGAGGAGGAAGUCCAUAUCGUUAGUGAAGGUUCUGUAGUGGAAUCAUGGCAUUGAGGAAGCCACGUGAGAACUUGAGGACUUGAUGCGUCAGCAGUAUCCUCAUCUGUUCGGAUCAGGUAAAUUUCGAGCCAAAAUUUCUUUUAGAGGGUAGAGUUGUAACGCCCUGAAUAAUUUAAGUAUGUUUUUAUUAAAUUUGACAUAAAAUGUGUAUCUGCUUCAGUGGUUAAGUGUUCUGGGUGUGUGUAUGAGGUCUUGGGUUCAAGUCUCCCUUUUAGCAAACUUUGUUAUUUUGAUCCAAGCCUUAUCUCUGUUAAGUGGGCUUAUGUUUUAUCUUUAGUAAACUUAUAUUAGAAUAAGCUUACGGGUUCGAGUUAUAAGGAGUUAGCUUGCUAGAAGUCCUGUGUUCGAUUCCCUGUGUGAGCGUGGAUGAUAUUUUUGUUUCGGAUGUGAGAUAGAGGUUGGGUGGAAGUAAAAUUCUGAGGUGGUGGGGAGUUAGUGGGUUAGUUAGUGAGAUAAUGGGAAGUUGAGAUAUUAGGGGUUUCAAAUUUUAUUUUAAUUUUAAUUUUAAUUCUUUGUCUUCUCAAAGUUUCUGACGUCAAUUUUUUUCUCUUUUUUCCCUCUUUCGACAUUGUUCCCUUCUCGGUAAAAUUCCUUUUCUUUUUUCUUUGAUUCUAUUUGUGAAUCCCUUGUUCAAAUCGUUGCUACUAUGAUUUUCGAGUUCUUUAAUCGGUUGGUAAGUAGAACUUCGCAUCUUUUUAACAAUUGGUUUGGGAUAUUGGCGAUGUUAAGCUAUAGCGAUUAAUUAGUGGAAUCUGUAUUUAGGAGAAGAUUGUAAAGUAGAAAAUUCACUCCGACGGCCUAAUCCGUGUUAGUGGUGGUUUUCAUCGACGGUAAGUUUGUGAGCGUUGUUGAAUUUUUGUUAUGAAUUUGUAAAUUUGUUGCUAAGCAGGGCUAGGGUUACUAUUUACAGGUUUCGGUGAUCUCGGGAUUGGUUAUACUACAAAAACGAAUCAGGUGUGUACCCUUAACGUGAGAAAAUGAGAUUCGAUGAAAGCUGAAAUUAGAGUCUGUUUAUGCCACACGGGUGUGUGCCUGACUGUGUGGCACGACACGACCGUGUGACUGACGAGGGUGUGGCCAUGCGCAAGACACGGCUGUGUGAUAGUGUGAUAGGAGUUUGGUUGAGUGUGGGUCUUAGCUUAUUUGGUACCUUAGUUUUUUUUGUUCAAUUUAAUUCCUGAACUUAAUAUUUUUUUCUUAAUUUAGUACUUAAGCUUCUUUUUUUUCCAAUUUGGUAUCUAACUUGUUAAAGGUUUUACAAAUUUCUCCAAUAUAAUAACAAUUUUAUUUUUAUAAGGUGCGAAAAUAAUCAAUGUAUGAUUAACGUAUGACAGAUGACAUGAGAUUGAUUUUUUGUAUUUUAAUGGUUAAAUUACUUUUAAUUAAUUAUUUUAUUUUACCUUUUUAAUUUAAUAAUGAAUUUCUUUUUAUUUUUGGGUUUUAAAACUUUUUUUUCAAUAUUCAUUCAUUAAGCGUAGCUCAAAGUACAAUCUUUUAACAUAAUUUUCCUCUAAUACUGACAAUAUUUUUGUGGGAUUUGAUGGCUUUAUGAAAACUAGGUCAUGCUUUAAGCAUGUGGUUCCUCUUGUAACAUUCUUGCCAUUAACUGUCAAAGUAAUCUUAGCCUUGAUGAAAUGUAAAUUUUGAACAUGUUGUUUAGAAAAAUAGAGAAAACUUUAAAUAAAUGUAAUCAUCCCUGUCAUUAAAUUCCAUAUCAUUGGUCACAUGACAACCAUACGUUAGCUACCUCAUAAAAAAAAUGAAGAUCAUUAGUGUUUUGAGGUAAUUUGUAUAAUAUUUAAAAGGUUUAAGUGUCAAAUUAAAUAAAAAAUGAUUAAGUAUCAAAUUAUAAGAAAAAUGUCAAAAUUAAGUACCAAAUGUUAAAUAAUUAUAACAAUAUAUUAUUAGUCGGCUUACAGUUUGAUUUCCUCUUUCCCAGUUGAUUGGAACAGUUUGUGGACAAAGGGUUUGAUAUUAGAGGCAGGAUUUAGGGUUUAACAUUUAAAAAUUUAUGGUUAAAAGUUUAUAAGGUUUAAAAUUUAGGAUUUGUGUUUUGUAAAAAUAAAAAUAGAAGUAUAUAUUUAUUUUACAAAGUCACAAAUUUGUAAAAAAAAAAAUUAAAUUAAAUUAGUUUCUAGAAUUACAUUAAGAAUAAACUUUCAACAUUCACUCAUUUUCUUCUAAGAUUUUAAGAUAAUGGAUUUAUCAUGCGAAGACUUGAACCCCACAAUAUACGAUAUAUGAAGAUAAUGGAUUUAUUUAACCCCACCAUGCAACAUAUAAGGAUAUAUGGUUAGGUAAACUCAUAUUUUCUUUUAUAAAGUUUUACAAUUAAUAAAGAUUAUUUUUUAGUAAAAUAUAAAUUCAAACUCACACACAAAUAAAUUUAUGAUUUCGACCCUAAUUUCAAAUAUAAAUGAACUUUUAAAUUAUGGGUAUCGUAUUAUGAAACGAUAAACUUGCCACAUUGAAAUUUUUUAUAUGGAGUGAAUCUCAUAAUUUUUGUUUUCUUAAUUUUGUUUUAAAGCAAUGAAAUAUAGAUCACGUGAAUGUUGAUAUAAAAUGGGAAAUGGAGACGAGUGAUAUUAAUUUGUAGAUAAAGUUAAUAUUACGUAGUCGCAUAAAGCGGCAUAGUACACAACCCACAACUCUGGAAUUUUAACAUCCAUAUUUAUUCUGUAGCUAUCGUUAUUUUGGCUUCCACUAGCUGGUGAACUUUCCAUGCCAAAACUUCACUUGACGCUGCAAAUGAAACAACAAAAAACACAACAUUAAAUGUUGAGCAAGUAAUAAGCAUAAGCAAUGAAACAACUCAUACGAACCUGUUGCAGUCAGUGCUAGGGCUGAUCUUGUAAGGGAUGUUGACACCGCACUUGCCUGGGAGUCCGCUUGCAAUACCAUAGUUGAUGCCAGAAAUGCCGGCGGCCGCACUUUUGAUGCAUUUGCAAGCUGCUUGCCGGUCUGGUGUUGUUUGGGCGGCGGAGUUGAGAGAUUUUAUGCCGCCGCAGCAACCUGGGGGAACGCCACCAGCACCAUUCCCUGUCAAGUAACCAAUGCAGGGUGCGAGGGAGCUUGUGACUUGACCACAGGUUACGGCCCCUUGAGCCAGGGGUGCACCCACCACCAUGCACAACACCGCCACACAUGCAAGCUUAAGGGACAUUGAGCUAGCCAUAUCGAUUAAUCACAAGAAAAACAAACUUGUAAGGAAAAUGCUUGCUUGGAGUAGUAGUACUAUUGCUGAUUGUCGUGGUUAGGGCUUGAGGGUAGGAGGGUUUUUAUAGCCAAAAGUAGUAGCGGGUGAUGUCUGAAUUUUACUUUCCUAGCUAUUAGGUAAGUUGAGAUUAUCCGAUCCAAACAUUAACACACCACAUUAAAAGUUGAGACCAUUCAAUUAGGUUCAACUGCCAACCUACGUGAUUAUUGUUUUCUUUCAAUACAAUUAAAACCAGCGUCCAUUUGAUUUCACUCAAUCAUGCCUCCACAGCUAGGACUCAAAUAUUGGUUUAACUUUUUUCUAGGUGUUUUCUUAUAAACAUGAGAUUUACAUUUGAUGUAUUUAUAAAUGCAUUUAUUGUCAGAAUGAUACCAUUUUAUUAAAAGUAAUUUGAUUUAUAAUUGUUUGUAUAUAUACUUUUAUAUAUUAAGUCUUUAAUUGAAUUGGUAUUACGAUUCACCCAAGCAUCUAUUUAAUUGAAAAUUUGUUAAAAUAUUCAUAUAACAAAUAUUAAUAUUAAUAUAAAUGUAUUUUUAUUUUUAUUAUAAAUAAAACUAUAAUAAGAUUUAAACUUAUGACUCAUAAAUUUUACUCUUUUUAACUUAACUAUUUCAACUAAAAUUUCAUUUAGUUUUAAUAUAAAUUUUUAUAAAUAUAUUAUUUACAUGAAUUUUCCUUUUCCAGGCGGUAUGCCAUGGAACUAAUAUAAAAUAUAAACAAAUGGUUAUUUUGUUAUUUUCAAUGGAAAAAAAAAACUUCACAAGAUUAGGACACAUGCAUGGUUUUUUUAAUAUAUAUAUAUAUAUAUCAUGCAACAUUCUAAAUCUAUUUAUAGAUUAUUUUGUUGAUUGAAUUUUUAUUUUUUUUUAUUUUGGUAAUUAUAUAAAACUAAAUAUUUUCUUCGCGCAAUGUUAAGAGCAGUUUGAAAUUUAAAAGAAGUGUGGAUUCUAAUAAUAAAUUUAGUUAUCUAAUGUUUACAUAUUUUAUUAAUUUGGUCUUAAAUAUAAAAAUUAAAUUCAACAAAAUUAGCCCUCAAUGUUUACAAAAUUUUUCAUUUUAAUUCAAAUUCUAAAAUAAUCCAAUAAAUUUAGCUCUCAACAUUUACAAAAUGAAAGGAUUUGAUUUUUAAAAUUUUAAUUUUUUUUUUUAAAAACCCAAAACACAAACCUAAAUAAACUGAAAAAGAAGAAGGAAUAAUUAUCAUCACCACGAUCUAAUCUCUCAACUUUAAAAUAAGACUUCAACUUCGGUUUAACCCCAAGACAAGGCGAAACAUUGAAAGUAAGUGCAGCGGAUGCCAUUGAUUCUCCUACCUUUUGGCUAAACACAUAAAUUUGAACAACUUCAUACAUAACUAGCAGCAGUACUAAAAAAUCAUUAAUACUAUAUUUUCAAGUACAAGAAAUUGAAAAAAGAAUCACGGGUAGAGUACAAAAAUGAAAUUUGGUGUGAACCUAGAUUAACAAAACAAGGUUCACGGUUUCUCAAAAACACAAUACUAAAUUUUUAGAAUUUCUUGUGAAGAUCAAGCAAUGAGACAAAUACUGAAAUUGGCAAUGCCUUAAUAGCAAAUAAUAAUUCAAACCAAUGUAGAAAAAAGAUGAAGAAGAAGAAGAUAGGAAAAGAAUUUUUAGUUUACAUUAAAAGCCUUGAAAAGGUAGACCGAUAGGAUUGAUUGUUUUGAAUAUUACUCAACUUUCUCAUUAAUUCUUGUACUAUUAUGGCUAAGUGUGUUUUUAGAUGGUAAUGAAUUUUUUUAAUUGUUAAUAAUUUUUACAAUUAUUACACUUGAUUUGGCAGUUGUUUUUCUUUUUAAUUUACAAAAUUUUAAAAAAUUAAAAAUUUCUAUUUUGUAAAUGCUAAGAGCUAAAUUUAUUAUUAUUUAUUUUAGAAUCUAAACUAAAGUGACAAAUUUUGUAAAUAUUUGGUGUUAAAUUUAUUGGAUUUUUAUAUUUAAAAUCAAAUUGAUAGAAUGUGUAAAGAAAGUUAAUUUUUUUAUUAGACAAAUAAAAAAUAACCCAUUUCAACACUUCCGAAAAAUUUUCAAACGGCCGUUAACAUUUAGUGAUGAAAAUAUUUGAUUUCAUAUAGUUUAAUAAUUAAAAUAAAAAUAAUUAAAAAUUUAGUAAUCAAAGUAAAACACAAGUGAUAUUAUUCUAGUGAUCAUUUCUGUACUUGACCCUAAUUUUUUUUUCAAAACACUGUUAAAAAACGAUUAAUUUCUCGUUUUGGCCGGAGUUAAAAUUUUUAAUAUAUUUGUUUUUAUUAAAUUUAAAAAUUAUAAUUUUACAUAAUAUAUUUUUGAUAGAAUACAUAUGAUAUAAUUUUAAUCAGUGACACCUGUUAAAGCUUGUUAGAUCUCCUGUAUCUCUUUCAAUCUGGUGGUAAAUGAAGCAAUCAAUGAGUAUUACAACCAGCCACAUGUCAUUCAAUUCACAUUAUAUCAAUCUUUUCCCUUUUCUCUCAUUUUGGUAGUUAAUUCCUUUUUUUGUCAUCGAAAUUAUAUUUUUUUCUCAAAUUGAUAAUUUCCUUAAUCCGUUAAGUUUGUUAAAAGAAACCUUAAUCUUAUUUAAAUUAUAUCUUUUUUUUUUUAUUUUGAUACUUAAACAUUUUUGUCACAUGUGGUAUGUAAUUUAUUUUUUCUUAAGUUGUUAGUUUAAUUAUUACUCAAAUAGUUAAGUCUAUUUAAAAAAAGAUAACUAUUUAAAAAUUACCAUAUUCGAACUAGCUAGGCCAUUAGUUCCUGGUUUAAUCAGUUUAUCUAGUUUGAUGAAAUCAAUUAUUAAAAAUUCAUAAAAAUAAAAAUGUUAAAAAAUAGAGAAAACUAGCUCAACUAGUUUUUUUUUUAAGCUCGACUCAAUCAAUCUGUAUCAGUUUGUAGGUUAAUCGGUUCAAGCCCUAUCUCCAAACUAGUAUCCCAGUUGGUUCCUAGUAUUAAGGGUGAGCAAAAUUUGAAUCGACUCGAAAAAAUUUAAAAAAGUUCAAAUUUUGAAUUAUUUGAAUCGAGUUAAUCGAAUCAACUCGAUUUUUUUUUAAUUUCAAGUUCGAGUCGAGUUGAGUUUUUGAAUUCAAAUGACUCGAAUAAUUCGAUUAAGCCGAAUACCAAACUAUAAUAUUUUACAUUUUACCUCAAACCCCAAACCCUUUUACUUUUCCCCCAAAACUUUACUCAUUCCUCCUUGUCUGCCCCUGUAACGCCCCAAAUUUUGAAUUGUUACUGUUAGUUUCUAUUUAUAAGUAAGUAUUUGCUUCAGUGGUUAAGUGUUAUGUGUUGGUGUUUGGAUCGGGGGUUCAAGUUACACUUUUAGAGAAUUUUAUUAUUCUUUUGUUUCAACUCUUAUCCUUGAAUGCUUGAAUUAAGUUUGUAUCUGCAUUAAUUUGUGUCAAGAAUGAGUCUUCUAGUUUAAUGGUUAAGUUUUGUAUUACCUAUGGUCUCGUGUUCGAGUCUCUGCGUAGGCAAUAAAGAAAUAUUUUGGCAUGCUAUCGGGAAAUCAGUUUUAUUUUAAUAAUUAUUUUUAUUUAAAACUUAUUUUUAGUUUUUUUUAUUUUGGUUCUUCUCCUUCCUUACUGUUCAUUUCCUUCUUCUUUUUUCUCCUUUUGUAACACCCCUAACUCGAAUCCGUCGCUGGAACAGGGUUAGGAGUAUUAUUGAAGUUUACAAUUUAAACAGGCAGAAAAAUUAAACAUUUCAUAACAUAUAGCAUUCAUGUUAGAAACCAAUCAUAAUUAUGCAUAUUGUCCCUAAUACGAGCCCUCGAGGCCCAAAAUACACCUUAGAAAUAAUUCGGGACUAAAUUGAAAAUUCGGAGCAUUUUUUAGAAACUUAUAAAAUUUUUAAAACUACAGGGGUCACAUGGCCGUGUGGCUAGGUUGUGUGACUCAUAUGGCCAACAGACACGCCCAUGUCUUAGACCGUGCGGGUAUUCGAAAUAGGGACACACGGUCGUGUCCCAGCCAGUGUCCAUGCCCGUGUAACUCACUAACUUGGGCCACACGGUCAAGCCAUACGCCCGUGUGCCAGGCAUUGUGAGCAUACUAACUUGCAUUCUUUAAAAGAUACAGGGGACACACGGCCAUGUCACCUGACCGUGUGUGACACACGCCCGUGUCUCUGCCCGUGUGGACAAAAAUAGGCUAUUUUUCAAGUCAUAAAUAUUCAUGUAUUCUUUAAAAGAUACAGGGGACACACGCCCGUGUCUCUGCCCGUGUCUCUGCCCAAUUUGGUACCAACCUAAACACAACAAUUUGCAUAUAACCAAGUCAUAAAUAGGCAUCCAAAACCAGCCAAAAUCAAGCUUAAAACAUGUAAUAUCAUCACAUACAACCAAUAUGCCCUUAGGCACCUCAAAUGACAACUUAUAAUAUUAAUAUUCAUGUAUUCAAUAUAGCCAAAUGUAUAACUCACUUAUAUGCAUAUUUUCAUCCAAAGUUUAUUAAGCAAAUUUACAUCAUUUCUUACCAAAUUACUUACCUUCCAAAACAUAUUAUUUGGUGCUAAAAUGUAUUUAACAUACUAACAUAUUUAACUUAUAUGCCUUACAUAUCCAGACACCAAUUCAUGAUCAAUUCUUCACAUUCCAAAACACAUAUAUGAAAUGCACAUUAGGUUACCUUUUUACCACUCUUUAUUCAAUCAUGAACCAAACUACAUGUCAACCAUAAUAAGCAAAAUAUGCACAUAUCCAAAAUUCCAUAACACAAACAAAACAAAUGGCUAAUCUCAACAAAACACAUAUAAGCCAACAUUGGCCAAACUAAUCUAUACAUGCCAUUAUAACCGAAAUUAAACAACCGAAUGUACCAAAAGAGCCAAUGGAUAGUGUGAUAUAGCUCCGACAAGCUUUCAACCAGAACGAGCUUUCGAAUCACUAAAAACACAGAAAAUAACACAGAGUAAGCAUUCAAGCUUAGUAAGUUCAUAUAGCAUAUAAUUUAACUUACCAUUUAGUCACAUUUAAGGUAAGCAUACAAAACAUAUCCAAACUCAAUUAGGAUAAAAGCCUCAACACAUAUCCUCAUCAACCAUGUUAGUCAUGUAAUUCAUAUAAAUAUCAAGAAACAUGUAUGAGCUCAACAAUAAUCAAACUUGCAUGUACAUAUAAUUUCCACAUCAUGUAUUUACAUAUCAUGUACAAAUCAUUUUCAUAUAUCUCAUGUAAAUACAUGUAGUAGUUUGUAUUGAACUCAUGUAAUAUCAUAACAGAACAGUGCCCGUUGAACCAUUUAGAUUAUUGUUGGAUACGCGGAUAGUACACAUGAGGUGUACUGAACUGUAAUUCAUCAAUUCAUGUACAUGUAUGCUCAUAUGAGCUAUAAACAGUAAGCUCCUCUGAGAUGAAUAACAAUAAGCUUGUACGAGCUGAAUAUCGGUAAGCUCAUAUGAGCUGAGUAUCGGUAAGCUCAUAAGAGCUGAAAUCGAUAACCCUAAUGACAUGUUUACCAAGCCAUGACAUUCCACUAACACAUUUAACCUUUAAAAUUAUUUCAAUUUACAAGUUUAAGAAAGAACAUAAAAGAUGAUACUUGGCUUUAUUUUACUAAAUUUUGUUAUUUACUUAAUUACUUAUUUAACCUUUAAAAUCAUUUCAAUUUACAAGUUUACUAAGCCAUGACAUUCCACUAACACAUUUAAGGGUUAUUUACCAUAUAAGGACCUCUACUUUAAAUUUUUAUAGCUAUUUAAUACCUUUAGCUAUUAGAACUUUACUUUUACACUUUACGCGAUUUAGUCAUUUUUAUCAAAUUGAACAUGUAAACGGUAAAAUUUCUUAACGAAAUUUUCAUAUGGUAAUAUUAUCAUGUUUUCGACCAUAAAAUAAUAAUAAAAUAAAAUUUUUUACUUCAUAUUUGUGGUCCCAAAACUACUAUUCUGAUUUCACUGAAAAUGGGUUGUUACACCUUUCUUGCUUGAUUGCUUCCGUAAGUUUGCUAUCGUGCUUAAUUGGGCAUUCUGUGUGGUUUCUUACAUUGAUUGCAAGGAUAUUGCGUAAGUUAUGUUGUUGUUUUUUACCUAUUUUUUCUAGACUUCGUCUGUUUCGUCGAGGUUAGAUAUUACUGUUAAUGGUUGUAAAAUCUCGUUAAUAGUUCCAAUGGAUCUUCUUUUAGGAAAAGGUUUCAAAAGUAACAUUUCCCUGUGAGAUUAGGUCCGAAUUGUUGUUGCUUGCUUGUCAGUAAUUGAAAAUUUCUAUUUUGGAUAGCUGCGUCGAAGUUUUCGACGAACGUUAGUUUUGAGUGCUAAUUUUGGCAUUUUGAGUUGAUUUAGUCAUUUAAUUCGUCAAUUAAUUGUCGUUUUAGGUUUCAGAUUCUUGUGUGUUGCUUCUACAUCGAAACUACAUCAAGUGUGUAACGAAAACUCAUUUUUCUAUGAUUUACGAAUGCUAGAAAACAUGGCUGUUAAUCACACGACCGUGUGUUAGGCCAUGUAACUUACUGUUUAUGUAUUAAAGUCACCGAGCCAAGGACGUGGGCGUGUGUCCUAGUCGUGUAACUUACUAUUUGUGGAUUGGAGUCACACAGGCUAGGGACACGUUUGUGUGUCCAGACUGUGUGAAGGAAAUUUUAUGAAUUGAGUCACACAAGCGUGUGCUUGACUAUGUCAUAGACCGUGUAACUCACUUUUUUGAGCCACACGAUCGUGUGCCAGGCCGUGUGAUAGAUCGUGUGCUACACGGGCCAGCCUUCCGGGACAUGUGAAUCCACACAAGUGUGUGGGUCAAAAUUUCAAAUUUUUUAUUAGGGCCGUAAACAUCAUUCCAGUCAAACGUAGGCCUACUGUAGGGUCUGGAUGAUCUGAUUUGGGUUAUAAAACCCAUUGACUAGUUAUCUGUUUCUGUAUAAACUGUUAUUUUAUAUACAUCAUAGAAUUGUAAACUAGAGAGUAGUUGUAUUCUGUAUUAAUUGAGUAUAACCUGAAAUUUGUAACAUCGUAUGCUUAUAUCUGUAUCUGUAACAUUGCAUCUGCAUUGGGGUUGGGAUUGAAUAAGGAGGAAGUUAUGGCAGUUAAAUAAUCUGCUAAGACUGGUGGCUAAGACACGUAAAUGUAUCUAAUUUUGGUGACUUUCGCAUUCUGUCCUAGCAAUUAGUCUGCAACCUUUUGAACGUGACAUAUGGUCACUAUGUGGUGUGUAGGGACGAUACCCUUUUUGGUGUGUAGGGUUGGAUGCAGAUGGUGUGUAAUUGACAUAUUCUACUCUAUUUCCGUAUAUAAUUCUGAGAACUGUUCUAACUUUAAGAAAUUGAAGAUCUAUUUUGUUGUUUCACUUAAUAAUAAUAUAAGUUAUACGCUAUGUAUAACACCCUUUACCCGAGACCGUGGUCGGAGUCGAGCAUGAGGUGUUACUUGACUUAACUUAAAAGUUCAGGGCAUAAAAAUUUACUUUCAAAAUUAAUUUCACCAUUCACAAUAAAGUUGUCCACCUGAGCAGCAGUCACUAAAUUAAUUAUAACUCAAGCUAAGAAACUCGAAAUUUAGAUUCGUAAAUUUUCCCUGAAACUAGACUCAUAUAUCUAUUCACAAAAAUUUUUCAGAAUUUUUUAUUUGACCAAUUAGUACAGUUUAUUAGUUGAAGUCUCCCCAGUUUCACUAAUCGACUAUCCUGACCUCUCGUCACUAAAAUUCAAUUAUCUCAUUAUACAGACUUGACAUGCUGAUUCCACUUAUUUAUACUUAAAAUAUACUCAUUAAGGAAUUUAAAAAUAUAAUUUAUAACUCAUAAUUCUAUUUGUACAAUUUUUAAUGAAUUUCUAAAGUCAGAACAGGGGACUUCAGAAUCAUUCUGACUCUGUCUCACUAAAAUUAAAAUAUCUAAAAGUAUAUAACUCUUUUGCUUACUCUAUUGCUUUCAUGUGAAAGUAGACUCAUUCAGAUUUAAUUUCAUCUCUCGCUAAACAUAUAAUUCUAUUUCUACAAUUUUUGGUAAUUUUUCAAAGUUACAUCAAUGCUGCUGCCCAAAAAUAGUUCCAUUGAAAUUUUUAAAAAAAAAUUCAAUAUAACCCCUUUAUAAUUAUCUAACCUUCCCUGCAAAUUUCAAAUCACAACCAAUUUCAGUAUUUCAACUACUUCACUUAAAUACUAAUGAAGUUCAACUAAUCAACCAUUUCAAACUAAAAACAUGUAUAGUUCAAUGUUUAACACAACCAUCACAUUCAAAUUUAUUCAUUCUAUUACUUUUUACUUCAAUUCCCUAUACAUGUCAUAUAAAUCCAAAAAGUUGUUUAACAAAAUCUACAGGAGUAAAUCUGGAUAGUGUGAUUCUUGGUGUAGAUCUGAUCCUCCGAAUGUAUAAAUACGUCAAUCUACAAGAAUCAAUAAACACACAAUUAAGCGUAUAGAAAGCUUAGUAAGUUCAUAGGCACCAAACAUAAAUCUUACCAAACAUUUAUACACUUAUACAUUAUACACCAUUACUAAGUUUACCUGUCAACCACAAUCUUUGGUGAGUUCCUUGGUAUAAACUCACUACUACUUAUUCUUUUACCAUAAUUCCUUUGGGCCCAUUUGUCACUUACCAUCCUUGAUCAAAAUUAAGGAACGGUUACGGAAAAUUGAGUACUUCACUUUCACUUUGCCAUAGUAUAACUAUGGUCUUACGUAUGAUCAAACAUCACUUGUCCUUGAUAAGAUAAGUGUAGCUAGGCAACCACUUAUCACUUUGUCACUUGAUCAGAUAAGUGCAGCUAAAGCUACCAUUUAUCACUUUAUCACCACUUAUCACUUGUUCUUGAUUAGAUAAGUGUAGCUAAAGUUACCACUUAUCACUUUGUCACCACUUAUCACUUGUUCCUAAUCAGAUAAGUGUAGCUAAAACUACCACUUAUCACUUUGUCACUUGAUCAGAUAAGUGUAGCUAAGCUAUCACUUAUCACUUUGUCACUUGAUCAGAAGUACUCAAAUCCGGUGUUCUGCUCAAUUUGAUCAUUUAUUCAGUUUUCACAUUUUUAUUUUAUUCUCAUUUCAUCAAUAAAUAUAUAUAUUUCAUCAUACAUUAUAUAAUUCAUGAAAUUAACAUUUAAUCAUUAAAUUUUAGCCAUAUGAACUUACCUGGGUUGAUUUGCUGAAUUUGUAAAAGUUUAGGGACUAAUCAGCUACUUUUUUUUUCCUCGACUUGUUUCGGGUUCUCAAUAUGAUUCAAAUAUAUGAAAAACCAACUUGGAGGGACUCUUCAAUGGUGUUUUUUGCUAAAAAAUAUGAGGAAUUGCCUAGAAACACUUUUAGUUAAGAUUUUUAUUUGUUAUUUUUUACAAAAUUUCCAAUUUUGCCCUUAUUACAUCACUUUUUCAAAUUUUUCUUCUCUUAUGUCGUCUCAACUAUUCCAUAUUGGCAUAUUUAUGCCUUAAGUCCCUCCUUAUUUACCACUUAAGCUAUUUAAUCACUUUUAACAAAUUUUACAUUAUUUUCAGUUUAAUCCUUUUUAAUUAAUUAACCACCCAAACGUUAGAAUUUUCUAACGAAAAUUUAAUACCAACUCAAUGACACUCCAUAAAUGUUUCUAAAAAUAUUUAUGGCUCGAUUUAUGAGGUUGAGGUUUCAAUACCUCAUUUUCGAUUCUAAUUAUUUUAAUAUUUAUUCUUAGUACAUUAUUCACUAUUUCAAAAAUUUUCCUAACUUCGCAUUUAACUUAUACUCACUAAAUUAAUAAUAUUUUCUACUCAUUUGUCAAAUUUAAUGAUCUCGAAUUACCAUUCCGACACCACUGAAAAUUCAGGCCAUUACAACUCUCCCCCCAUUUUGGAAAUUUCAUCACCGAAAUUUCGUACCUGAAAAUAAAUUCGGAUACUGAAAUCUCAGCAAUUCCUCUGUUUCCCAGGUUGCCUCCUCAGAUCCAUGUCGAUUCCAUAACACCUUAACUAGUGGUACAUGUUUAUUCCUCAACUCUUUAACCUUCUGAGCUAAAAUUUUCACCGGUUCCUCUGAAUAAGUCAUGUCAGGUUGAAGCUCUAUUUCCGUAUGAGGAAUUACAUGUGAUGGAUCUGAUCUGUACCGUCUCAACAUAGACACAUGAAACACAUUAUGAAUCUUUUCAAGUUCCGGGGGCAAAGCUAAUCUAUAGGUUACCGGACCGAUUCUUUCAAUGAUUUCAUACGGCCCGAUAAAUCGUGGGCUGAGUUUCCCCUUUUUGCUGAACCGCAAAACUUUCUUCCACGGUGACACUUUCAAAAAUACACGAUCACCCACAUUAAACUCUAUAUCCCUUCUCUUCAAAUUUGCAUAUGAUUUUUGCCGAUCGGAGGUAGCUUUUAAACAAUCUCGAAUAAUACGAACUUUUUCUUCAGUUUCCUGAGUCAAUUCCACUCCCACUAGUUUCGAUUCACUUAAUUCAGACCAAUAUAAUGGAGUUCUACACUUUCUUCCAUACAAAGCUUCAAACGGUGCCAUUUUAAUGCUAGUUUGAUAACUAUUAUUAUAAGCAAAUUCGGCUAAAGGUAAAUACCUUUCCCAGCUACCGCCGAACUCAAGUAUACAACACCUUAACAUAUCUUCUAAAAUCUGAAUCACUCGCUCUGACUGCCCAUCUGUCUAGGGAUGAAAAGCUGUGUUGAAAUUUAAUUUGGUGCCUAAAGCUUCCUGUAAUUUACUCUAAAAUCUCGAGGUAAAUCUCGGAUCUUGAUCUGAAAUAAUAGAUGUCGGUACCCCAUGUAACCUCACUAUCUCAGACACAUAUAACUCCGCUAACUUUUCAAGCUGAUAAUCUGCUCUGACUGGAAUAAAAUGUGCUGACUUAGUUAACCGAUCAACAAUCACCCAUAUUGAAUGUUUCUUCUUCAGAGUUACUAGUAAUCCAGAUACAAAAUCCAUCGUAACAUGUUCCCAUUUCCAAUCUGGAAUCAUAAUGGGCUGUAACAACCCUGUCGGCACUUGAUGCUCAGCUUUCACCUGUUGACAGAUCAAACAUCUUGCUACAUACUCAAAGAUUUCCCGUUUCAUUCCGGGCCACCAAUACAUUUUCUUCAAAUCACAAUACAUUUUUGUACUACCCGGGUAAAUAGAACACAUACUACUGUGAGCCUCUGAUAAAAUAUCAUUUUUCAAGUUUAAAUUAUUCGGAAUACAUAUUCUAUUACGAUAAUAUAACAUACCAUUUUCAUCAAUGGAGUAUUCUGAGCUUAACUUAUCUUGAACCAUCUGUCGCUUUAUCAUCAAUUUUGGGUCAUCAUCCUAUAACUCCCGAAUCCGUUGAAAGAACACGGGUUUAGCCUUUAAUUCUGCUAGUACAGAACCAUCCUCAUUAAUAGAUAAAUGAGCAUUCAAUGCCCGUAGUGCAAAUAAUGAUGAUUUCCGACUAAGCGCAUCUGCUGCGGCAUUUGCUUUCCCUGGGUGAUAGUCAAUGACAAGAUCAUAAUCUUUCAGCAACCCCAACCAUCGUCUCUGUGUCAAAUUUAACUCUUUCUGAGUCAUUAAAUACUUCAAGCUUUUAUGAUCAGUAUACACGUAACAUUUCUCACCAUAUAAGUACUCUCCAUAUCUUCAAAGCAAACACGAUCGCUGCCAAUUCCAAAUCAUGUGUAGGAUAAUUCUUGUCGUGCGGUUUCAGUUGCCAAGAAGCAUAUGCCACCACUUUGCCUGACUGAAUAAGUACACAGCCCAACCCAUUUACAGAUGCAUCACUAUAUACUACAAACGGUACACCCGAUUCUGGUUGAGUCAACACUGGAGCCUCUGUCAACAUCUUUUUCAACUGAUCGAAACUCCGCUGACAUUCAUCUAACCAUAUAAAUUCAACAUUCUUUUGUAGCAAUCGAGUUAACGGUAAGGUAAUCAUUGAGAAAUCUUUGACAAAUCGACGAUAAUAACCUGCCAAUCGUAGAAAACUCUGCACUUCAGUCACAUUCUUCGGAACUUUCCAAUUUAUCACUGCCGCUACCUUACUUGGAUCCACUCUUAUUCCAUCAGCUGAUACAAUAUGACCCAAAAAUGCAACUUCAUGGAGCCAAAAUUCACAUUUGCUGAAUUUGGCAUACAAUUGUUUCUCCCACAAAGUCUGUAAUACAAUCAUUAGAUGUUGUGCAUGUUCGGACUCUGUCUUUGAAUAAAUCAAUAUAUCGUCAAUGAACACAACCACAAAUCUAUCCAAAUAUGACUGAAAAAUUCUAUUCAUCAAAUCCAUAAAAGCAGCAGGGGCAUUGGUUAAACCAAAUGGCAUCACCAAAAAUUCAAAAUGACCAUAUCGAGUUCGAAAGGCAGUUUUCGGCACUUCACACUCUUUAACUUUCAACUGAUAAUACUCGGAUCGAAGAUCUAUCAUGGAAAAUACUGUAGCACCUUUCAACUGAUCAAACAAAUCAUCAAUAUGAGGCAAAGGAUUUUUAUUCUUUACUGUUACCUUAUUCAACUGUCUGUAAUCUAUACACAGUCUUAAAAAACCGUCCUUCAUUUUCACAAACAAGACAGGUGUACCCCAGGGCGACAUACUCGGUCUGAUGAACCCUUUAUCUAAUAACUCCUGCAGCUGCGCCUUCCGUUCUUUUAACUCGACUGGAGCCAUUCUGUAUGGUGUCAUUGAGAUAGGAGUUGUUCCGGGGAUCACAUCAAUUACAAAUUCAACUUCUCUAUCAGGUGGUAGACCGGGUAACUCUUCAGGGAACAUAUCAGGGAAUUCAUUCACCAUUGGCACUUGUUCGAGCUUCAAACCAGAACCCUGAGUAUCCAGGAUAUAGGCCAAGAAUGCUUCGUUGCCUUUGUGUAAUAACCUCUGAGCAGAGAGAGCUAAAAUAAUUCUGACUGUAUCACCCAGAUUUUCAGACCCAACUGAGAUUAUAUCUCCCGUUUGACAUUUCAAACUGAUUUGUUUAUCACGAUAAUUCACUACCGCAUCAUGUCUCAUUAACCAGUCCAUCCCCAGAAUAAUGUCAAAUUCCCGAAAAGGUAACAACAUCAAAUCAGCGAGGAAUUCAUAGCCUUUCACUUUCAGUGGACAAUUACGACAUAUCAAAUUAACCAUCACACUUUGACCUAAUGGGUUUGUGACUUGUAUAUCAAAUUCAGUGGACUCAACAGAUAAUUUCUUUUUAGAUGCUAACAUAGUGCAAAUAUAUGAAUGAGUAGAUCCAGGGUCUAUCAAUGCAUAAACAAUAACAUCAUAAAGAUAGAAAGUACCAGCAAUUACAUCAGGAGCCGUAGCCUCUUUCCUUGCUCGAAUGGCGUAGGUACGUGCUGGUGCUCUAUUCUCUGAUCGACCAACUGAUUCCCUCGUACCCGAACGGGUAGUCCCUGUAGCACUGCUCUGGCCCGAACGUCUACUUUUUUGGGGAAUGGUUCUCUGUAUUUCUUUCUGUUCCACUUCAUCUUUUUACAGUCGGGAACAAUCUCGAAUAAGAUGAUUAGUACCCUCACAUUUUUAACAAGCCCCUAUCUUGGUCCUGCAUUCUCUGAAAUGAUAUCUUCCACAAUAUUGACACUUAGGCCGGGGAGCAUUCUGAACACUGCUCACACUUGCUGGAGGUCUAUCGAAUACCCUGAAAUCAGAUUGUCUUGGUCUAUCUCUACCCGAUCUUCUCGACAGUGAUGUAGUUCGACUAAUUUCUUCUCUAGAUUUGUUCACUGGUAAAUCUAAAAAUGACUUAGAAGCACCUCUUUUGAAUGGCUCUUUACUUUUUCGAUCCCGCUACAUUUUUCUGUUGUAUACUUCUUCGAGCUUUUGAGCACGGUCUGACAGAACAGGGAACUCUCGUAUUUCAUUACCCCCAAUCAUCAUUCUAAUUUCAUCAUUUAACCCUUCUUCAAACCUGAUACACAUUUCUUCUUUAAUAAGUACAAUGUCUCGGGCAUAUUUGCUGAGGUAGACAAAUUCUCUUUCGUAUUCAGCCACUGAUUUAUCUCCCUGGCGUAGGUCGAGAAAUUCCCUUUUAUUUUUAUCCAAAUACCGUCUGCCCACAUAUUUCUUCUUAAAUUCAUUUUGGAAAAAUUCCCAAUAAAUUUUCUCUGUCGGAACCACAUCCUCAAUCGUCUCCCACCAACUAUAAGCUUCUUCUUUCAAUAGAGACACAACACAACUCAAAUAAUCAUCUAGUGAGCAAACCAUUUCUUUAAAAAUUCUUAUUAAACUCUGUAACCAAUAUUCAGCUUUGACGGGAUCUUUAUCAGUCCUUCCCCGAAAUUCUUCGGCUCCAAGUUUUUUAAGCCUUUCCAAUGGAGAACGCUUUCUGGAUUCAGUCGUUGUAAAAGGUGGAGGAGCAACCGGGUGUGCCACCGAUGGAGCAGUAGGGGGAGGAGGUGGUUCAGCCUGAUUUCUUUCUUGCCUCAUUUCAGUAUAUCAUUGAUUCAUAAUCCCAUAAAUCAUAUUCUUUAACUCUUGCUCUCGCAUUUGGGAGAUCGGAACAUCACUGCUUGUUCUUUGUUUAGAAUUAUGUAUUCUACUAUUAACUUCUUCUUUCUCAGUACGUUUAGGUAUAUCUGACAUCUCCAUAACCGGAGAAUAUCUACUAUUAACUUCUUCUUACUGGAUUCAGUCGUUGUAAGAGGUGGAGAAGCAACCGGGGGUACCACCGAUGGAGCAGUAGGCAGAGGAGGUGGUUCAGCCUGAUUUCUUUCUUGCCUCAUUUCAGUAUACCACUGAUUCAUAAUCCCAUAAAUCAUAUUCUUUAACUCUUGCUCCCGUAUUUGGGAGAUCAGAACACCACUGCUUGUUCUUUGUUCAGAAUUAUGUAUUCUACUAUUAACUUCUUCUUGCUCAGUACGUUCAGGUAUAUCUGACAUCUCUAUAACCGGAGAAUAUCUAUAAAAAUAACAAAGAUUAGAUCGCAUCAUACGCAUUACACUAUCACAGAUUUAUAUGGCAUGUAUUUCUAAACACUUUACACUUUACACAUAUUCCGAGAACCGGCUAAACCUGGAUCUGAUACCAAUAAAAUGUAACACCCUUUACCUGAGACCGUUUCCAGAGUCGAGCAUGAGGCGUUACUUGACUUAACUUAAAAGUUCAGGGCAUAAAAAAUUACUUUCAAAAUUAAUUUCACCAUUCACAAUAAAGCUGUCCACCCACGCAGCAAUCUCUAAAUUAAUUAUAACUCAAGAUGCGAAACUCGAAAUUUAGAUCUGUAUAUUUUACCUAAAACUAGACUCAUAUAUCUAUUCACUACAAAAUUUUCAGACUUUUUGGUUUGGCAAAUUAGUACAGUUUAUUAAUUGAAGUCUCCCCUGUUUCACUAAUAGACUAUCCUGACCUCUCGUCACUAAAAUUCAAUUAUCUCAUUAUACAAACUUGACUUGGUGCUUUCAAUUAUUUUUACUUAAAAUAGACUCAUUAAGGAAUUUAAACAUAUAAUUUAUAACUCAUAAUUCAUUUUGUACAAUUUUUAAUGAAUUUCUAAAGUCAAAAUAGGGGACUUCAAAAUCAUUCUGACUCUGUCUCACUAAAAUUCAAAUAUCUAAAAGUAUAUAACUCUUUUGCUUACUCUAUUGCUUUAAUGUGAAAGUAGGCUCAUUCAGCUUUAAUUUCAUCUCUCACUCAACUUAUAAUUCUAAGUCCACAUUUUUGGUGAUUUUUCAAAGUUACAUCAAUACUGCUGUCCAAAAACUGUUCCAUUGAAAUUUUUUUAAAAAAUUUCAAUAUAACCCUUUUAUAAUUAUCUAACCUUCCCUGCAAAUUUUAAAUCACAACCAAUUUCAGUAUUUCAACCACUUCACUUAAAUACUAAUGAAGUUCAACCAAUCAACCAUUUCAAACUAAAAACAUGCAUAGUUCAAUGUCUAACACAACCAUCACAUUCAAAUUUACUUUGCAUAUUUAGAUAUUCAUUCUUUUACUUUUUACUUCAAUUCCCUAUACAUGUCAUAUAAAUCCAAAAAGUUGUUUAACAAAAUCUACCGGAGUAAAUCUUGAUAGUGUGAUUCUUGGUGUAGAUCCGAUCCUCUGAAUGUAUAAAUACGUCAAUCUACAAGAAUCAAUAAACGCACAAGUAGGCUUAAUAAACACACAAGUAAGCUUAUAGAAAGCUUAGUAAGUUCAUAGGCACCAAACAUAAAACUUACCAAACAUUUAUACACUUAUACAUUAUACACCAUUACUAAGUUUACCUGUCAACCACAUUCUUUGGUGAGUUCCUUGGUAUAAACUCACUAAUACUUAUUCUUUUACCAUAAUUCCUUUGGGCCCAUUUGUCACUUACCAUCCUUGAUCAAAAUUAAGGAACGGUUACGGAAAAUUGAGUACUUCACUUUCACUUUGCCAUAGUAUAAAUAUGGUCUUACGUAUGAUCACUUAUCACUUGUCCUUGAUCAGGUUAGUGUAGCUAGGCUACCACUUAUCACUUGUUCCUGAUCAGAUAAGUGUAGCUAAGCUAUCACUUGUCACUUUGUCACUUGAUCAAAAGUACUCAAAUCCGGUGUUCCGCUCAAUUUGAUCACUUAUUCAGUUUGCGCAUUUUUAUUUUAUUCUCAUUUCAUCAAUAAAUAUAUAUAUAUAUUUCACCAUACAUUAUAUAAUUCAUGAAAUUAACAUUUAAUCAUUAAAUUUCAUCCAUAUGAACUUACCUAGGUCGAUUUUCUGAAUUUGUAAAAGUUCAAGGACUAAUCAGCUACUUUUUCUUUUCCUCGACUUGUUUCGGGUUCUCGAUAUGAUUCAAAUAUAUGAAAAACUAGCUUGGAGGGACUCUUCAAUGGCGUUUUUUGCUGAGAAAUAUGAUGAAUUGCCUAGAAACUCUUUUAGUUAAGAUUUUUAUUUGUUAACUUUUACAAAAUUUCUAAUUUUGCCCUUAUUACAUCACUUUUUCAGAUUUUUCUUCUCUUAUGCCGUCUCAACUAUUCCAUAUUAGCAUAUUUAUGCCUUAAGUCCCUCCUUAUUUACCACUUAAGCUGUUUAAUCACUUUUAACAAAUUUUACAUUAUUUUCAGUUUAGUCAUUUUUAAUUAAUUAACCACCAAAACGUUAGAAUUUUCUAACGAAACUUUAAUACCAACUCAAUGACACUCUAUAAAUGUUUCUAAAAAUAUUUAUGGCUCGAUUGAUGAGUUUGAGGUUUCGAUACCUCAUUUUCGACUCUAAUUAUUUUAAUAUUUAUUCUUAGUACACUAUUCACUAUUUCAAAAAUUUUCCUAACUUCGCAUUUAACUUAUACUCACUAAAUUAAUAAUAUUUUCUACUCAUUUGUCAAAUUUAAUGAUCUCGAAUUACCAUUCCGACACCACUGAAAAUUCAGGCCAUUACAACUCUCCCCCCAUUUUGGAAAUUUCGUCCCCGAAAUUUCGUACCUGAAAAUAAAUUCGAAUACUGAAAUCUCAUCAAUUCCUCUGUUUCCCAGGUUGCCUCCUCAGAUCCAUGUCGAUUCCAUAACACCUUAACUAGUGGUACAUGUUUAUUCCUCAACUCUUUAACAUCCCAAGCUAAAAUUUUCACCGGUUCCUCUGAAUAAGUCAUGUCAGGUUGAAGCUCUAUUUCCGUAUGAGGAAUUACAUGUGAUGGAUCUGAUUUGUACCGUCUCAACAUAGACACAUGAAACACAUUAUGAAUCUUUGCAAGUUCCGGGGGCAAAGCUAAUCUAUAGGUUACCAGACCGAUUCUUUCAAUGAUUUCAUACGGCCCGAUAAAUCGUGGGCUGAGUUUUCCCUUUUUGCUGAACCGCAAAACUUUCUUCCACGGUGACAGUUUCAAAAAUACACGAUCACCCACAUUAAACUCUCUAUCCCUUCUCUUCAAAUCUGCAUAUGAUUUUUGCUGAUCGGAGGCAGCUUUUAAGCAAUCUCGAAUAAUACGAACUUUUUCUUCAGUUUCCUGAGUCAAUUCCACUUCCACCAGUUUCAAUUCACUUAAUUUAGACCAAUAUAAUGAAGUUCUACACUUUCUUCCAUACAAAGCUUCAAACGGUGCCAUUUUAAUGCUAGUUUGAUAACUAUUAUUAUAAGCAAAUUCGGCUAAAGGUAAAUACCUUUCCCAGCUACCGCCGAACUCAAGUAUACAACACCUUAACAUAUCUUCUAAAAUCUGAAUCACUCGCUCUGACUGCCCAUCUGUCUGGGGAUGAAAAGCUGUGUUGAAAUUUAAUUUGGUGCCUAAAGCUUCCUGUAAUUUACUCUAAAAUCUCGAGGUAAAUCUCGGAUCUCGAUCUGAAAUAAUAGAUGUCGGUACCCCAUGUAACCUCACUAUCUCAGACACAUAUAACUCCGCUAACUUUUCAAGCUGAUAAUCUGCUCUGACUGGAAUAAAAUGUGCUGAUUUAGUUAACCGAUCAACAAUCACCCAUAUCGAAUCUUUCUUCUUCGAAGUUACUGGUAAUCCGGAUACAAAAUCCAUCGCAACAUGUUCCUAUUUCCACUCUGGAAUCAUAAUGGGCUGUAACAACCCUGUCGGCACUUGAUGCUCAGCUUUCACCUGUUGGCAGAUCAAACAUCUUGCUACAUACUCACAGAUUUCCCAUUUAAUUCCGGGCCACCAAUACAUUUUCUUCAAAUCACAAUACAUUUUUGUACUAACCCGGUGAAUAGAACACAUACUACUGUGAGCCUCUGAUAAAAUAUCAUUUUUCAAGUUUAAAUUAUUCGGAAUACAUAUUCUAUUACGAUAAUAUAACAUACCAUUUUCAUCAAUGGAGUAUUCUGAGCUUAACUUAUCUUGAACCAUCUGUCGUUUUAUCAUCAAUUUUGGGUCAUCAUCCUGUAACUCUUGAAUCCAUUGAAAGAACACGGGUUUAGCCUUUAAUUCUGCUAGUACAGAACCAUCCUCAUUAAUAGAUAAAUGAGCAUUCAAUGCCCGUAGUGCAAAUAAUGAUGAUUUCUGACUAAGUGCAUCUGCUGCGGCAUUUGCUUUCCCUGGGUGAUAGUCAAUGACAAGAUAAUAAUCUUUCUGCAACUCUAACCAUCGUCUCUAUCUCAAAUUUAACUCUUUCUGAGUCAUUAAAUACUUUAAGCUUUUAUGAUCAGUAUACACGUAACAUUUCUCACCAUAUAAGUAGUGUCUCCUUAUCUUCAAAGCAAACACGAUCGCUGCCAAUUCAAAAUCAUGUGUAGGAUAAUUCUUGUCGUGCGGUUUCAGUUGCCGAGAAGCAUAUGCCACCACUUUGCCUGACUGAAUAAGUACACAGCCCAACCCAUUUACAGAUGCAUCACUAUAUACUACAAAUGGUACACCCGAUUCUGGUUGAGUCAACAUUGGAGCCUCUGUCAACAUCUUUUUCAACUGAUCAAAACUCCGCUGACAUUUAUCUGACCAUAUAAAUUCAACAUUCUUUUGUAGAAAUCGAGUCAACUGUAAGGUAAUCAUUGAGAAAUCUUUGAUAAAUCGACAAUAAUAACAUGCCAAUCGUAGAAAACUCCACACUUCAAUAACAUUCUUCGGAACUUUCCAAUUUACCAUUGCCGCUACCUUACUUGGAUCGACUCUUAUUCCAUCAGCUGAUACAAUAUGACCCAAAAAUGCAACUUCAUGGAGCCAAAAUUCUCAUUUGCUAAAUUUGGCAUACAAUUGUUUCUCUCACAAAGUCUGUAAUACAAUCCUUAGAUGUUGUGCAUGUUCGGACUCUGUCUUUGAAUAAAUCAAUAUAUCGUCAAUGAACAACCACAAAUCUAUCCAAUUAUGACUGAAAAAUUCUAUUCAUCAAAUCCAUAAAAGCAGCAAGGGCAUUGGUUAAACCAAAUGGCAUCACCAAAAAUUCAUAAUGACCAUAUCGAGUUUGGAAGGCAGUUUUCGGCACAUCACACUCUUUAACUUUCAACUGAUAAUACCCAGAUUGAAGAUCUAUCUUGGAAAAUAUUGCAGCACCUUUCAACUGAUCAAAUAAAUCAUCAAUAUGAGGCAAAGGAUAUUUAUUCUUUACUGUUACCUUAUUCAACUGCCUGUAAUCUAUACACAGUCUUAGAGAACCGUCCUUUUUUUUCACAAACAAGACAGGUGCACCCCAGGGCGACAUACUCAGUCUGAUGAACCAUUUCUCUAAUAACUCCUGUAACUGCGCCUUCAACUCUUUUAACUCGGCUGGAGCCAUUCUGUACGGUGUCAUUGAGAUAGGAGUUGUUCCGGCGAUCACAUCAAUUACAAAUUCAACUUCUUUAUCAGGUGGUAGACCGGGUAACUCUUCAGGGAACACAUUAGGGAAUUCAUUCACUACUGGCACUUGUUUGAGCUUCAAACCAGAACCCUGAGUAUCCAUGAUAUAGGCCAAGAAUGCUUCGUUGCCUUUGCGUAAUAACCUCUGAGCAGGGAGAGCUGAAAUAAUUCUGACUGUAUCACCCAUAUUUUCAGACCCAACUGAGAUUAUAUCUCCCGUUUGACAUUUCAAAUUGAUCUGUUUAUCACGACAAUUCACUACCGCAUCAUGUCUCACUAACCAGACCAUCCCAAGAAUAAUGUCAAAUUCUCGAAAAGGUAACAACAUCAAAUCAGCGGGGAAUUCAUAGCCUUUCACUUUUAAUGGACAAUUACGACAUAUCAAAUUAACCAUCACACUUUGACCUAAUGGGUUUGUGACUUGUAUAUCAAAUUCAAUGGACUUAACAAAUAAUUUCUUUUCAGAUGCUAACAUAGUGCAAAUAUAUGAAUGAGUAGAUCUAGGGUCUAUCAAUGCAUAAACAAUAACAUCAUAAAGAUAGAAAGUACCAACAAUUACAUCAGGAGCCGUAGCCUCUUCCCUUGCUCGAAUGGCGUAGGUACGUGCUGGUGCUCUAUUCUUUGAUCGACCAACUGAUUCCCUCGUACCCGAACGGGUAGUCCCUGUAGCACUGCUCUGGCCCGAAUGUCUACUUCUUUGGGGAAUGGUUCUCUGUAUCUCUUUCUGUUCCACUUCAUCUUUUUACAGUCGGGGACAAUCUCGAAUAAGAUGAUUAGUAGCCCUACAUUUUUAACAAGCCCCCAUCUUGGUCCUGCAUUCUCCGAAAUGAUAUCUUCCACAAUAUUGACACUUAGGCCGGGGAGCAUUCUGAACACCGCUCACACUUGCUGCAGGUCUAUCGAAUACCCUGAAAUCAGAUUGUCUUGGUCUAUCUCUACCCGAUCUUCCCAACAUUAAUGUAGUUCGACUAAUUUCUUCUCUAGAUUUCUUCACUGGCAAAUCUAAAAAUGACUUAGAAGCACCUCUUUUGAAUGGCUCUUUACUUUUUCGAUCCCGCUGCAUUUUUCUGUUGUAUACUUCUUCGAGCUUUUGAGCACGGUCUGACAGAACAACGAACUCUCGUAUUUCAUUACCCCCAAUCAUCAUUCUAAUUUCAUCAUUUAACCCUUCUUCAAACCUGAUACACAUUUCUUCUUUAGUAGGUACAAUGUCUCGGGCAUAUUUGCUGAGGUAAACAAAUUCUCUUUCGUAUUCAGCCACUGAUUUAUUUCCCUGGCGUAGGUCGAGAAAUUCCCUUUUAUUUUUAUCCAAAUACCGUCUGCCCACAUAUUUCUUCUUAAAUUCAUUUUGGAAAAAUUCCCAAUAAAUUUUCUCUGCUGGAACCACAGCCUCAAUCGUCUCCCACCAACUAUAAGCUUCUUCUUUCAAUAGGGACACAGCACAUCUCAAAUAAUCAUCUGGUGAGCAAACCAUUUCUUUAAAAAUUCUUAUCAAACUUUGUAACCAAUAUUCAGCUUUGACGGGAUCUUCAUUAGUCCUUCCUGAAAUUCUUCGGCUCCAAGUUUUUUAAGCUUUUCCAAUAGAGAACGCUUACUAGAUUCAGUCGUUGUAGGAGGUGGAGGAGUAACCGGGGGUACCAUCGAUGGAGCAGUAGGGGGAGGAGGUGGUUCAGCAUGAUUUCUUUCUUGCCUCAUUUCAAUAUACCACUGAUUCAUAAUCUCAUAAAUCAUAUUCUUUAAUUCUUGCUCUCGCAUUUGGGAGAUCGGAACAUCACUGCUUGUUCUUUGUUCAGAAUUAUGUAUUCUACUAUUAACUUAUUCUUACUUAGUUCGUUCAGGUAUAUCUGACAUCUUUAUAACUGGAGAAUAUCUAUAAAAAUAACAAAGAUUAGAUCGGAUCAUACGCAUCACACUAUCACAGAUUUAUAUGGCAUGUAUUUCUAAACACUUUACACUUCACACAUAUUCCGAGAACCGGCUAAACCGGGAUCUGAUACCAAUAAAAUAUAACACCCUUUACCCAAGACCGUUGCCCGAGUCGAGCAUGAGGCGUUACUUGACUUAACUUAAAAGUUCAGGGCAUAAAAAUUUACUUUCAAAAUUAAUUUCACCAUUCACAAUAAAGCUGUCCACCUGCGCAGGAGUCACUAAAUCAAUUAUAACUCAAGCUACGAAACUCAAAAUUUAGAUCCGUAAAUUUUCCCUAAAACUAGACUCAUAUAAAUAUUCACCAUAAAUUUUUAAGAAUUUUUAGUUUAUCCAAUUAGUAUAGUUUAUUAGUUUAAGUCUCCCUUGUUUCACUAAUAGACUACCCUGACCUCUCGUCACUAAAAUUCAAUUAUCUCCUUAUACAGACUUGACAUGGUGCUUCCAAUUAUUUUUACUUAAAAUAUACUCAUUAAGGAAUUUAAAAAUAUAAUUUAUAACUCAUAAUUACUUUUUUACAAUUUUUAUUGAAUUUCUAAAUUCAGAACAGGGGACUUCAAAAUCAUUCUGACCCUGUCUCACUAAAAUUCAAAUAUCUAAAAGUAUAUAACUCUUUUGCUUACUCUAUUGCUUUCAUGUGAAAGUAUACUCAUUCAGAUUUAAUUUCAUAUCUCACUUAACUUAUAAUUCUAUUUCCACUAUUUUUGGUGAUUUUUCACAGUUACAUCAAUGCUGCUGUCCAAAAACUGUUCCAUUGAAAUUUUUAAAAAAAAUUCAAUAUAACCCCUUUAUAAUUAUCUAACCUUCCCUGCAAAUUUCAAAUCACAACCAAUUUCAGUAUUUCACCUACUUCACUUAAAUACUAAUGAAGUUCAACCAAUCAACCAUUUCAAACUAAAAACAUGUAUAGUUCAAUGUCUAACACAACCAUCAUAUUCAAAUUUACUUUGCAUACUUAGUCAUUCAUUCUAUUACUUUUUACUUCAAUUCCCUAUACAUGCCAUAUAAAUCCAAAAAGUUGUUUAACAAAAUCUACCAGAGUAAAUCUAGAUAGUGUGAUUCUUGGUGUAGAUCCGAUCCUCCGAAUGUAUAAAUACGUCAAUCUACAAGAAUCAAUAAACACAUAAUUAAGCUUAUAGAAAGCUUAGUAAGUUCAUAGGCACCAAACAUAAAUCUUACCAAACAUUUAUACACUUAUACAUUAUACACCAUUACUAAGUUUACCUGUCAACCACAAUCUUUGGUGAGUUCCUUGUUAUAAACUCACUACUACUUAUUCUUUUACCAUAAUUCCUUUGGGCCCAUUUGUCACUUACCAUCCUUGAUCAAAAUUAAGGAACGGUUACGGAAAAUUGAGUACUUCACUUUCACUUUGCCAUAGUAUAACUAUGGUCUUACAUAUGAUCACUUAUCACUUGUCCUUGAUAAGAUAAGUGUAGCUAGGCUACCACUUAUCACUUUGUCACUUGAUCAGAUAAUUGUAGCUAAAGCUACCACUUAUCACUUUAUCACCACUUAUCACUUGUUCCUGAUCAGAUAAGUGUAGCUAAAACUACCACUUAUCACUUUGUCACCACUUAUCACUUGUUCCUGAUCAGAUAAGUGUAGCUAAAGCUACCACUUAUCACUUUGUCACUUGAUCAGAUAAGUGUAGCUAAGCUAUCACUUAUCACUUUGUCACUUGAUCAGAAGUACUCAAAUUCGGUGUUCCGCUCAAUUUGAUCAUUUAUUCAGUUUUCACAUUUUUAUUUUAUUCUCAUUUCAUCAAUAAAUAUAUAUAUUUCAGCAUACAUUAUAUAAUUCAUGAAAUUAACAUUUAAUCAUUAAAUUUCAGCCAUAUGAACUUACCUGGGUCGAUUUAUUGAAUUUGUAAAAGUUCAGGGACUAAUCAGCUACUUUUUCUUUUCCUCGACUUGUUUCGGGUUCUCAAUAUGAUUCAAAUAUAUGAAAAACCAGCUUGGAUGGACUCUUCAAUGGCGUUUUUUGCUGAGAAAUAUGAUGAAUUGCCUAGAAACUCUUUUAGUUAAGAUUUUUAUUUGUUAACUUUUACAAAAUUUCCAAUUUUGCCCUUAUUACAUCACUUUUUCAGAUUUUUCUUCUCUUAUGCCGUCUCAACUAUUCCAUAUUAGCAUAUUUAUGCCUUAAGUCCCUCCUUAUUUGCCACUUAAGCUGUUUAAUCACUUUUAACAAAUUUUACAUUAUUUUCAGUUUAGUCCUUUUUAAUUAAUUAACCACCCAAACGUUAGAAUUUUCUAACGAAACUUUAAUAUCAAUUCAAUGACACUCUAUAAAUGUUUCUAAAAAUAUUUAUGGCUCGAUUGAUGAGUUUGAGGUUUCGAUACCUCAUUUUUUAUUCUAAUUAUUUUAAUAUUUAUUCUUAGUAUACUAUUCACUAUUUUAAAAAUUUUCCUAACUUCGCAUUUAACUUAUACUCACUAAAUUAAUAAUAUUUUCUACUCAUUUGUCAGAUUUAGUGAUCUAGAAUUACCAUUCCGACACCACCGAAAAUUCAGGCCAUUACAUUAUGUUUAUUGACUCAUUUUUUCUGUUGACUGAAUUUCAGGUAACUCAUCGACUUAGGCGGGUCGGCAUGGCGAGAGCUCGGUCAUCCUUAUUUAGUAAUUUUCUGUUUAAAUUAAACUUAUGCUAUAGUUGUUUUAUCUUGAAUUACAGAUUGCAAAUUUAUAUUUCUACACUAGUUCAACUAUUUAAACAUUUUCUGACAAUUAAACUUUAAUUAGUUAAAAGUGAGAAUUUCUUAAAUGAUUUGUUGUAGCUUUCCAAGCUUGGUCCUAACAUCUAGGUCGGGUUUGGGGUGUUACAACCCAAAACCCCCAAACUUUCCCCUCAAAACUUUUACUCCCCCACCCUUUCUCUUUCUCGCUCACCCUCCCAAACCCUUUUACUUUUCCCCCAAAACUUUUACUUCCCACUUUUACCCCCAAAUCAAAAAUCAAAAUCCUCCCAAAAAAAUCCUUAAACCUAAAUAGUAAUAAUUUUAUUUAUGGCCACUAUUUAUAUUAUAAAUUAAAUUUCACAUUUUCUAUUAUUUAUAUUAUUAAAUUGUUUAAUCAUUUUGAAUCUUUAUCAAUUUCUGUUAAAACUGUAUCAUUGAUGAUGUCAUACAUUAUUUGUGUUAAAAAUUUCUAUUGGUAUCAAUUUCACAUUUUAUCUUUAAAAUAAAUUUUAUUAAAAAAAUUACUUUUUUACAUUUAAUAUAUUUUUUAAUUUCAAAAUAUAUGGUGACAAGAAUUAGAAGAUAAUUGAAGCAACUAAGCAAGUAAAAAAGCUAACAUGUAUAUAAAAGAUUAAAUAAAUUAUGAAGGGAUGAAAGUUAAUAACACAUUUGAUUACGGUGGACAAAUUUGAUAAUGAUGGGUGACAGUGGCUACAAGGAUCCAAAGUAAUUUUUUCAAUUAACUGGAAACAAAUAUAUUCGAUUCGAUUCGAUAAAAUUUGAAAUCAUUUUAGGAUGAUAAAAUAAGAUUCGUCAACUCGAUUAACUCGAAGUUUUUUCAUUUGAUUCGAUUAGACGCUCACCCCUACAAAGUAUGACCGAUUGGUCUGAUUCUGAAAAAAAUUGGUUUUGAUCAAUGAAAGAACUUUUACGAUGGCGACAGGUCUAACAAACAGGUGAUAUUUUGAAAAGAAAAUUAAUCUCCAUAGUCUCAACCUUAGGAGGGUGAAUUUUGAGCAUUGCAUUUGUUGUCAUUGUUAGACAUUAUAAAGGAAGAAAAAAGAAAGAAAAAAGUUAAAAUGAGGGAAAUUAUUGAAAAAAAGAGAGAAGAGAAUAAUUAAUUUUUUUUAAAAUUUUACAUGUCAAUCUAUUAUUGAUUAGAUUUUUUUAAUGAGUGUAACAUUUUGGUGUUAAAUGGAUAAUAAAAAAAUAUUUUAAGUAUCAUUUAUGAUAAAAAUAUUUAGGUAUCAAUUUGAAAAAAAUAUGUAGCUUAGAUACUAAUUGAUGGGUUAAUUUUUUUAGCUUAAUAAUUUGAUUAAACCGAAAUACCAACUGAAAAAAAGUUUACUCGCCGCUUAUGAAAAAAAAUAAGUAUGAAUUUGUAAGUUAAAUCUCCCUAAAAGAAAAAAUAUAUCACAUUCAAUACGGGGUGAAUGAAGCAAUGAAUGCAAUGGGGUAUUACAACCAGCCACAUGUCAUUCAAUUCAUGUUAUAUCUACCUUGUUGGCCCCACAGGCGGUCUUUUCCAUUAUUUUCGAAGUGAACGACAUGAGUCGGACCUAUAUCGGCCCCAACAAACAACCUCAACCACUUGUUUUGUUAGGUUGUUGACUAAUUUGAAUAUGUCGGCUCAAAGCUUUUUGAAAAUUAAAUUAUUUUUUAUAUUAAUAUCAUAUAGGUAUAAAAAUUUAACGUUUUGUAAAAAAAAUAAAUUUAGUGUUAAAUUUAAAUAAUUAUAAAAAAUUAUACAAAAUACAAAGACAACUUAGAGUCAAUAAAAAAAAUAUGGAAAAUCAAUUCAUACAUGAAAUGGCAUAAAAAUAUUAUGAACACUAUACAAAUAUAUGAAUGUUUUUAUAUCUAUAUAAAAUAAGUUAUUAACGCUUAAAUUUCAACCAAUUAAAUAUUAAUUUAACUAUAAACUAUAAAAAAUUAAAAUUUCAUUUACCCUAAACAAUUAUUCUAAUUUCGCCCCUGUAUAAAAUAGUUGUAAUAUUAAAAAAAAAGUUAUACGAAUAUGGAGUGUUAAAAAAAAAGGCUUUCAACUUUUAAUAUUCCAAACAAAUAAAAGAAAUAAUAAUAACAGUUUACAAGUGCAAUAAAAGUAAUACAUAUUUGAUGAAUUAAAAAUAGAAUAAAUAUAACUAACUAUAACAGAAAUAUAUUUAGAUUUAAACCAAAUUUUUUUGAAGAUGAAAUUUGAACUCACAAAUAAUAUUUAUAAAUGAUGAUAUGUUUUAGAACAUGUAUAUUUUAAUUUCAUUUGAUAUUUAAAUUAAAUGAAUGAAAUGAGUAUAUUAGCAUAAAUAUAUUGAAUUUCUAGAUUUAUUAAAAAUCCAACUAAAUAGAGUAGAUCCAUAAAUUUAAAAAAUGAUUAUGGAUUUUGAAAUAUAAAUCUAAAAUUUAAAAUCUGAAACCCUCCUAAAUGUUUUCCAAAGUAAGGCGGGGAUAAAUGGUAUAGGGAAGACGGUGGGUAGAUAGAUGUACGGUUUAUUUAUAACUUCGUUUUUAUUAGUCGGCUUACAGUUUCAUAAAAAGCAUCCGUGCAAGGCAUGUUCAAAUGCUGCACUAGCAUACCACUACUAUAAAAAAAACACAUACAAGAGCACCACAAAUUUAUCCCAAAAUACAUUAAAUAAAUGACUCCUAAGGGUGCCAGAUUUAACUAGUGUGUCUGGGAUUGUAUUAGCCUCUCUGAGGCCAUGUGAAAAAAUUUAAUGUUAUUGUUAUAUUUCCAUCUCGAUACGUUGCAAGACAUGAAGCAAUCUGUAAACAACUCUCUUUUGGAAGCAGUUUGCAUACGACUCUUCGCUAAGAACCAUUUGUUGUGAUCUUUCGCUUAGGAUUGCUCACAAAUGACCCCCAUGCACCCUAUCUCUCUCCCUCCUUAACUCAUCAUCUUGAACUCUCAUCCUAUUAUAGGUGAAUCGAGACUCUUCUCCUCCACCCUUUCCUCGUUGGUUACUUGUAGCAAAAAAAAUUAAUUUCACCGAAAAUGUUGGAGAGAUCCCAUGGUCUAAGUGUGUUGUUAGAGCAAAGCUCGAUGGCAAAUUUGGAGUCAAAUUUUAGAAUCAACCCUUUAAAAUCCAUUACACCGUAAAGGAAAAUUUUUACAAUUACAUUAACAAUAAAUAUUCAAAAUUUACUCAUCUAUCUAUACUUAUAUUAAGCCUUAUUUGAGUUGGAGUCAAGAGUCAACUAGGUACUAACUCAGUUGAGAAUUUACUAAAUAAUUUUAAUAUAAAGUAAAAAAAAUAUUAAUACGAGGGUGUUUUUAUCUUUUCAUAUUUUUAAAUAAAAAUACUAUAAUAAGAUUUAAACUUAAGUUUAAAAUUUCAAUCAAAACAUCACUUAAAUUUAAAAUAACAUUUUUAUAUAAAAUGUGUUUAGAUUCUAAGAUAAUGAAAUUUAUGAUGAGGUAUUCAAAAUGUGUUUGAAUAUGCUAAUGAGAUAUUCAAAUUGGUAUGCACAUUCCUAAUCAGGGAGCAUUAAUGAUAAUUUAGUAAAAUAAAUUAUCUCAUUAGCAUAUAGUUUAUUAUAAAAUUAUUGUGUAAAAUAAACAAUUCACAAACUUAAGAAUUUAUAACACAAAAAUUAUACAUCAAUGUUGUUAGAAUUGUAUUAUAUCCAUCGGUUGAAUUUAAAUUUAAAAAUUUAAUCAGCGAUAAUAAUUAAAAUCGUUUCAAACUAGUAAAAUAUUGAAAAUUAAGAACUAAUAAAAUAGAUUCUAAUUAUUUUUAUUUAAAAAAUGUUACCUUCUUAUUCAGGUUACAUUAAGACAAACCCAUCUUAAUUAUAAGUAUCAUAUUGUGAAUGGUAAACUUCUUACACAACAUCCACCAUUUGUCCAAAUAUGUUAAAUUAGGUGCAACAUAGAAAUUUUAUUGUAAGGAGUGAAUCUCAUUGUUUUUAUUUUCAUCAAACAUACGUCUAACUUUAUUAUUACGGGAUUAGAACUUAAAUUUGAUAAAUUGUGUGGUUUUAGGUGAUUUCUUUUCGUUAAAUUUAUCUAAAUCAACCUAACACUCGAAAAGUGAGAAUUCUCCUAAAAAUUCUUUAUGUUAGCAAAAAAUAUAGUGGAAGUAACUUGAAACGAAAGAGCAAUGAGAGAAUUGAAAAGACACAAGAAAAUAAUGCAUACAAGGUGUUUGAGUAAAUGCUCUCAAUAAAUUCUUUAACUCAAGAAGGAAUGAAGUACAACCAGUAUCUAGCCCCCCUAAAAUAGAAAAUUUUCCAUUUAUAUACCUUUAUAAUUUAUAAAAUUUAAAAUUUUACUUUCCCAUAAAAUGAUAAAAAAUUGAUUUAUUUCUUUAAAAAUUAUAAAGAUGACUAUUAAAAUAGUAAAAUUGUAUUUUUAUUAUUGUAAAAAUAUACAAUUUAAUUCUGUCUCCCAAAUUUUUUUUUUUUGGUUUCAUCCCUAAGUACAAUGAUCGUUGUAGCAGGAUACAUAGGCAUUCUAGCACAGAAUGCAAAUAUGUUGCCAAUUAACUUCGAGUCAUGGCAUAAAGUGCCCGAGAGUAACAAGAACCAAGCUCUCGAUAACAUUAAGGUAACAAAAUGUGUAUAUCAUUUAUAAUACUUGAGUUUAAGUUUCGUUUACAUUUACUUUCUGAAGUUGUGUUUUUUGUAGGGGAGAUUUGCUCUAGAGGUCUCCGAUGCUUAUGUAAAGAAGGCAUUGGGAAAAAGAUGGAGAGACCAUAAGAGCACUUUAAAGAAAGACUAUUUUAAGACAAAAACAACACUCGACGAGAGAUUACAAAAUGUCACGCCGGGAAUGCUGAGGUACCAGUGGGAAGAAGUCGUUAGAUUUUGGACUUCGAAGAAAGGAGAGGUAUGUGUUACUACAAAAAUCUUGUAAUUAUUUUGGUUUAUAGUAUUUACUAAUUAACGUACUAAUAAUUUCAUAACGUAGGAUCGUGAACGAGUUGGAACAAGUAGUAGGCAGAAACAAAAAUUCACGCACACAGCUGGGUCGAGAAGUUUUGCGUGUGUAGCUCAGGCCGAGGUAUUUUGAAUUUUUUAAUACUGGCAGAUAUUUAUUACUUUCUAUCAAAUAAUAUUUUUACUAUUGUAUUGUAGGAAGUGUUGUCGGGUCAAAAAGUUGGACGCCUUCAACUUUUUGACAUUACACAUAGGAAGAAAGAUGGAAACCCUAUGACUCCUGAAGCUGCAGAAAUUAUGGUACGUUUGCUUAAUACAAUUUGACUUGUUUUAAUUAUUUAUGCUGUUUAUUUUCUAAUGUUUUUUAUUACAUUUCUUGUAAUGCAAAUAUUGUUAAGUUAUGUUGCAUUUGUUUUGUUAAUAUAUGUUGCGUUCUUAACUAUGUGAUUUAUUUUUUAGGAAAAACUGAAGGAUAAAAAGGCGGAGUACGAAGCGAUUGCUUCCAGUGAUAGUUCUGUUCAUAUUGACGACAUUGAUAACCGGAUUAUCACUGAAGUUUUGGGUCCUGAAAGGUAUGGUCGGGUUCGAUUUCAAGGAUCUUUUGUUAACCCAUCCCAAUAUUUUGGAUCCAGCUCGCAACAAUACAUGCAUUCGGGGAGUCAGGCUCAAGCUGAAGUUCAGAGGUUAAGAGACCAGAUAGCUCAGAUGCAAGCGGCAACGAGUGAGCAAAUUACACAACUUAAAGCGGAGGCAACAUCGAGAGAAGCUGAGGUUCAAAAAAGAUAUGAAGAACUCCAGCUACAACUUAAAGCAGAUGCGGCAGCGAGAGAAGCAGAGGUAGCAGCGAGAGAAGCUGAGGUUCAACGAAAGUAUGAGCAACUGCAGCAGCAGCUUAAAGAAGAUGCGGCAACGAGAGAAGCAGCGGCUGCAGCGAGGGAAGUAGAGGCUGCAGUGAGGGAAUCAGAACAGCAUAAAAAGUUCGAUGAACUCCAGCAGCAGCUUCAGAAUAUGAUGAAGAUGUUUCAGCAGUCGCAACCGCCGUCAUCUUAGACUAUCGUUUAAAUAUACUUCAAUUUUGACUUUGGUAUUAUUAUUUUAACUUUUACAAUUUCUGUCAGAAUAAUACGAAUUUUAUUUUAUUUAUUGACAUUUAUUUUAAAUAUUAUAUAGAUUUGGUUAGAUUUGGUUGGUUGGAUUUGGUUUCUUCUGAUUUGUUUUUAUAGGAGGGGGCUGAAAUUUUUUUUUUCAAAUCUGCAAAAAUUAGCGGCGUUUUUUUGGAUAAGCGCCGCUAAAGACCAUCGUCUAUAGUGGAAUUUUUUGGCUAAGCGCCGCUAAAGACCAUGGUCUAUAGUGGCAUUUUUCGGCUAAGCACCGCUAAAGACCAUGGUCUAUAGUGGCGUUUUUUGUCUAAGCGCCGCUAAAGACCAUGGUGUAUAGUGGCAUUUUAUGGCUAAGCGCCGCUAAAGACCAUGGUGUAUAGUGGCGUUUUUUGGCUAAGCGCCGCUAAAGACCAUGGUCUAUAGUGGCGUUUUUUGUCUAAGCCCCGCUGAAAACCAUGGUCUAUAGUGGCGUUUUUUGGCUAAGCGUCGCUAAAGACCAUGGUCUAUAGUGGCGUUUUGUGGCUAAGCGCCGCUAAAGACCAUGAUCUAUAGUGGCAUUUUUCGGCUAAGCGCCGCUAAAGACCAUGGUCUAUAGUGGUGUUUUUUAGGCUAAGCGCCGCUAAAGACCAUGGUCUAUAGCGGCGUUGCAAAGAAAACGCCGCUAAAGACCAUGGUCUAUAGUGGCGUUUUUUAGGCUAAGCGCCGCUAAAGACCAUGGUCUAUAGCGGCGUUGCAAAGAAAAUGCUGCGAAAGGUCUUGAUCUUUAGCGGUGUUUAUUAUAAAAAGCGCCGCUAAAGUUACCGACGCUGUCAUUAGCGGCGAUCCUUGCGGCGCUUCGUAAAGCGCCGCUAAAAGUAUUUGCGGCGCUAAAAAAUGCCGCUAUAGACCUAAAAAAGCGCCGCUAAAACCCUGUUUUGGUGUAGUGUGAGAUGAUUACAAAUGAAGGGGGAGAUCUCUAUUUAUAGUUGAGCUCCCCUAGAUCCAAUAGUAUAGAUUGAAUUACAUCAACGAUUGAGAUUAGUACUUAUCUACAAGAUGAGUCUUAAGGAUUUUAAACUCUAUACAUCUUUAUCCCUUAGGAUUUACAUUAAUUACUCUGGUAACUCUAGUUUUACUGGAGAGUUUCACUGAACCACCAAAGGUUUAAGUAGAUGAGCUUCUCCAUAUGUUCCACGAGUUGGACAAGUUCAAGCGGAUCAAAUGAGCCCAAUUUAAUUAGUUAAUCUCAAUAAAACGUUCUAUGCACAAUGAUCAUGAACUUUGAUCCACAUCUCAAAAUGAUCAGAUGAAUAAUCUCUCUUAAUUAUAUUUUUAUAAAACUUGAUAUUUUCAUUUAAAAAGAAACACAAUCACAUAUAAUAAUGUCUCCAAAAGAGUCGUCCACUUCAAAGAUUUAAAGUAAUGUAAGAAUGAACCCAACAUUUUUCAAUUAAAAAUAUGUCGAUAGAUAUAGCAAGUUGUAUAACCUUUCAAUUACAAAACAGAUUUCAAUGGGGAUUGCAUCCGGUACAUGCAACUAAAGAACAGAACCGGUGCAUAAAUUGAUUUAAUUAAACUUUGGGUUGAGUAAUCAUGAUUUUCAUUAUUAUUAGACUACGUGAAUGUUGAUAUAAAAUGCUUGAGAGAAGGGUAUAGAAGAAACACAAAAUAAUGAGUGAUAUUAAUUUGUAGAUAAAGAUAAUAUUACAUAGUCGCAAAAAGCGACCUAGUACACAACGCACAACUCUAAAUUAGGAUAACUCCUCUGCUAUCCCUAUGGAUGGAUUUUAACAUCCAUAUUUAUUCUGUAGCUAUCGUUAUUUUGGCUUCCACUAGCUGGUGAACUUUCCAUGCCAAAACUUCACUUAACCCUGCAAAUGAAACAACAAAAAACACAACAUUAAAUGUUGAGCAAUUAAUAAGCAUAAGCAAUGAAACAACUCAUACGAACCUGCUGCAGUCAGUGCUAGGGCUGAUCUUGUAAGGGAUGUUGACACCGCACUUGCCUGGGAGUCCGCUUGCAAUACCAUAGUUGAUGCCAGGAAUGCCGGCGGCCGCACUUUUGAUGCAUUUGCAAGCUGCUUGCCGGUCUGGUGUUGUUUGGGCGGCGGAGUUGAGAGAUUUGAUGCCGCUGCAGCAACCUUGGGGAACGGCACCAGCACCAUUCCCUCUCAAGUAAUUAAUGCAGGGUGCGAGGGAGCCUGUGACUUGACCACAGGUUACGGUCCCUUGAGCCAGGGGUGCACCCACCACCAUGCACAACACCACCACACAUGCAAGCUUAAGGGACAUUGAGCUAGCCAUAUCGAUUAAUUACAAGAAAAACAAACUUGUAAGGAAAAUGCUUGCUUGGAGUAGUAGUAGUAUUGCUGAUUGUUGCGUGGUUAGGGCCCGAGGGUAGGAGGGUUUUUAUAGCCAAAAGUUUUGUGAAGGGAUAUGGAACGAACUGAGAAACACGUACGAAUAGAAUAUGGUUAGGCGUUGGUAGUUGUCCCAAUUCAAUGCCAAGGUUUCUUUUUUUCUUUUUCAUGUUUCAGCUUAUGGUUGAGUGUGUUUAAUGCUUUGAAAAAGGUUUGUAUCUACCACUUUCAUCUUCAUCACUAAUGCUGAAUUACUCCGUUGAUUAAUGCAUCAUAUUAGCCUUGUCCUAGUGUUACCGGUUUUCUGAUAUUAGUAGCUUUACCAAUAAAAGAUGCUAUCAAAUAUAGUUUUCAGGAUGAUAUUAAAAAUUAAGGUUUUUUAGUUACAAAUAAAAUUGUCACAUUAUCAAAUUUUAAAGAUAUGAAAUUAUUAUUAUAAACUCAUCUAUAGAGAAAUUAUUUUAUGAGCCCUUUCCACCACAUUAUUCACAGUCCAUUUUCAAUUAUUUAAUAAUAUUUCAACAAUAUUUUUCAUGUCAUUGACACAUAAUUUUAAUAAAUUUUUUACCCUGAACCUUGAGUCUAGAAUCCCAAACCCUAAAUAAAAAACUUAAAACCCCAAACUAUAACCCCAAACACUUGCAUCAUAAACUCGAACCGCGAACCUCAAACUCAUAAUCUGUAACCUUGAACCCAAACUUGUAAUCUCGAACCCUUGAACCCUUGAACCCUGAACCUAAACCUUGAACCCUGAACUCAAAGCCCAAAACCAAAACUGAACCCUGAACCUUAAAUCUCAAACCCAAACCUUAAACCUCGAGGUUUGGGUUCAAGGUUCAAGGUUCAGGGUUUGAGUUCAAGGUUCGAGGUUUAGGAUAAAAUAAUUACCAAAAUUUGUAACAGAAUAAAAGAGUUCGUUUAUAAUUUAAAAAGCAAUUAUUUUAAGUAAUUUAAUUAAAGUGAAAUUAAGUUAGAGAAAAUAUUAGAUAUAGAUGAGUGUAUAAUAAUACUUUAUUGUCUUUAAAAUUUAAUGACGUGGUACUAUUUUAUUGGUGCCUCAAACUAUACUUUUUAGAAUAAUCCUAAUACAAUUUAUUCCCAUAUUAAAUACGUAUGCUUUCUAUAUUUUUUCGAAAAAAUAAAUUUUAUUCAUAAACUUUCUAUAUAUAAAUAUAUGUUUUAUUUAAAAUUUAUAAAUACAGAAAAAUUAAAAUAUAAAUAUAUGUCAAAGUAGCUAUUAAGUGUAGAAUUAAACAAUUAUAACAUAUAAAUAGAUUAAAAAUUAGGACAAAAAAUCAAUCUAUUACAUAAAAUAUAAAUUAUGAAUGAAAACAAUCUAAAUUAUAGUCUGGCUAAUCAAACUAAAACUUACAUAUAACCAUAUGACUUUAAGGGUCUUGAAUAUGGUUACUUAAAAGCUUAUAGUUCAGCUUUUACCCACUACGUCAAGGCUUCAUUUACGUUUUUUUUAACCAUAUAUUUUUCAUAUAAUUAUAUAUAUAUAUUUUGCAUAAAAAAUCCCCAAGACGUUAAUUACUUCUAUAUAAUGUAGCGAUUAAGUCCUCAAACAAAAAUUGCUCAACAUCAAUGCAUGUAUAGAUCAAUUUUAUAUAUCAAAGACCAAUACUAUCUUUUUCUUAAAAAAAAAAAAAAACCAAUAUGUUGUGAUUGCUUAGCUAUUGUUCCUAAGUCUUCCUGAAAAAGGUUUCACAGCGAGAGGAGAAAAAAAAAAGUUGAACUUGUCUUGGUUUGCCCCAUAAUGAUUGAAGCAUAGACAAGAUUAUAAAUGUUAAUUUAGUAUACGACAUAAUAAUAUAAUAUAAUAUAUUUAAAUGUAUAUCUCCUCACCUCCUAGACGCUGUCAGUUAUUUUAUUUUUUGGGAUUCUUUUAACAAAAGGUUGAGCUUUUUAUUAGGUUUUAUUUGAUUUUUCAUUUAUUAAUAUAAUUUUUUUAUUUUUAUAUAUUUUAGUUAUUAUUAAUUUUUGUUGGAAAUUUGUACGGUCUUGUUCUAACAACAAUUACAACAAGCUUUUUGGAACAAUCAAAAGUUUUGGGUGUUGGCAUGUUUGACUUUUAAUGGCUUAUGUUUUAAUAUUAGUUAACAACAAAUGAUAAGAGAAUUUCAUGGUAAAUUAGAAUAUAAUUAUCAUCCAUUUGAUUAGUCUUGAAGAGGAAGGAGAGGAGUUUUAACUUUGGUGGACACCCAUCCUUAUCCUUGUCUUUUAGAGUGUUUGAAGCUAUUGGAGAACUUGGUUUUAAAGAUUUUAUUUGAUAAAUAUUCAAAAUAAUUAAUUUGAUAAUUUCAACUUUUAAAGGAGAGUUUAAAACUUAUCAAAAUAUUAUUUGAUAAACACUUGUAGAGGCGUAUAAAUAGGCAACAGUGUGGUGUAACUUUGUUUGUUGUUUUGGAGUGUCUUAAACUUUUAUUUUUUUGCUAUUCCAUUGGGUAACUUUAUGACACUCUCUUUUUAGGUAUUAUUUGGAGAUGUUUAGUAAUUGUAUUGUGAGGAAUUUGAGUGAGUGAUUGCAUUGAAGAAAUGCGACCUAAAUGUAUAUGUUAAACUCUUAUCUAGGACAUAAAUUCCAUGAACAAGGUACCCAUGUUAAUAACAUGUCACCACUUCGCAUCUUUAUGGUAUUGACCCUAUGUAGUUAGACCCUAUAUGACGUAAACAACACUUAUAGUGUGCACGAUAUCGUAGGCUUGAACGUUGAUUGAAUGCAACCUAUAUUUUGGUGCCUUUGUCGGAAAUGAUGUAUGCAUCGGGUUGCGGUACAAAUGCCUUCUCAGGUUAGUUAAGAAGAAAUCCCAUUCAUCAUUGGAUUCUUCAGGAGUUAUUACAAAAGCUAUUGGCAGGAUUUUUAGGUUACCAUCUUAUGCAACAACUACUAACAACCGAUGGUCGCAUAUUCUAUACAGGAAUGUGCCGUUAAUUUGGAAAAGUGGCUUACAGUACCAAAAUGUAGUUCUGCAUUGCUUAAAAGUCCAAAAGCAACGGUGGAAAACUCCUUUUCCAGGGACCAAGCAAUCGUCAUAAUACGCAGGCUCCAUUUUUAACUUGGUUACAGAACCUAGUAUGUACCACUCUAGUAUCUAACACCAUUGCCACAAUUUAUAGUAGGAUUUCUCCCACCCUCUAUUCAUUUUCUCCAAUGCCUUCUAUUUUUGCAACUAUGUCUUAUGCUAGGACAUGGUGUAAUCGGAUUCUCUACAGAUGUGUGCGAUCAAAAUUGGGACCAGAAUCGUAGGACUUGCUUUUGCCAUGGGUAAUAGAAUUUUAGAUAUCAUGUCUAAAUCUAAUUUUGGAUGAUCAUUCGAUAUGCUUGAAAAACAAGAAAUCAAGUCACUAUGUGUAAUAGAAUGUAAAAAAAGGCUAGGAUUCGAGUCGAUGUUGUUAGCCAUAUUACAUACCAGCUACAACACAUGUAUGUGGCACGAUAAAUUUCCUACGUUUAAAAUGCCAACUUCUUCGUCAUAAAUGCCAUGAUUUUCCAUAGACAUCUUGUUGCACGCAUUGUGCGCAUCGCCUUAUAUUUCUCGGAUUGAGAGCAUGUAAUAGUGAAGUUGACACCAAGUUGUAUGCUAUACUACUUGAUUGUAGCUACAAAAGCAUAUUUGGAGUCAAAUUCCAUCCCAACCUCUAAGUGGUCGAAAUUUGUUGAUGAAGUCGCAUACCUUAGUCUUCUACGGGGGAGGUCUGGGAAUUCUAAAACCACUUUCACUAGUAAGACUGAGAGUACGCAUAUGGGGUGGGGGUUUGUAUUUCGUGAAACUUAGGUCAUCCCCUCGAGCGAUGUCUAAAGCUUGACCAUUAGAUCCAUCGUCUUCUAGUUCAGUAGGAAUGGGAUCUAGUUCUAAAAUUACUACAAUUUCGCACCAUCCAGUCCAACCACCUCUCCUGGGUCAUUAUCUGAUUUAGACCCCUCUUUGACCACUUUGUUCUCUUGUCCCUCUUUGUUAUCAACCCUGGUUGUAAGUCCAGGGUUGGAUGUACCCUCUCUGGUCAAAGUUGUCAAGAGUAGAUCAUUCAUUCUUGUAAAUCCGAUGUCAAUCCCAAAAUCAAUUCUGUUUGGCCUACCCAGUAACUUGAUGGUGUACCAUAUGAGUGUUAUCGAGGUUGAACAUAGGUGUGUCAAAGUUGAAACCAAAGGCACUGAUAGAAUGUUGUGCGGCUGUGUUGUAGGCCUGGUGACCGAAUACGUCUAACUAUCCCCCGAAGUUGAAAUCGAGGGAUGAAAUCGAUGAAUGCCUCACCAUUGAUGAUGUUAAUAAUGUGUCUUUGUAUAAGCUUUGUAGAAAUGAUCUGAAUCCACAACAAAACCGUGUGGCCAGACUUUUUGCUUCUUGAUUUGGCUAGAAAUUUGGCGGACACGGUAUAAUCGAGCUUGGGCCACCUUUUUCCUCUUCAGCAAAGACUGUAUAUUCUCACUAGAGUAAUGAGUUUCGAUCACUGUCUUCAAACCGUUGUCCCCUGUGAUCUGAAAAAUGGAAUAUCUAACGGGGUUAAAUGAUGUUAGAUAUCUACAUUUCAGGCUCAAAAUUCUUCUUCAGAUCCCUACUUUAUGCCUAAACCUUGUUCAAAGCUCUUUUAACGUUAUGCUCUAGUUGAAUGUCAGAUCUUUAGAUUGGGUUGAUACAAAAAUGGGCUCAAUUUCAGCCUCACAAUUUUGACCGUUGUAAUGGACAAUAGCUCUGGCUCGUCUCCUCAUCUUGAACCAAAUAUUCUAUUCCACAUGUUUAAAAUCGAGAAAAUUGUAAAAAUAUAGUUCUCAUCACCCAAAUCCCUAAAUUUACACUUACUUUAAUGAAAUACCUUUGCUUCGACAAUAUUGUCAGUAUAAAAUUUUUGUUUUUUACUACAACAUCGAUAACUCCUAAUGCCAACAAUCUGCUUCAAACAUCUGUAUGGAAAAUCCAAGAAUUAUAUUGAGUUUUUUUAUAGAGCCUUUUCCUCGACGCACAUGAAACGAUUCUAGCAACAACACAUGUCAAGGCAUUAGUUGUUUUUGAGGUAUACACUAAAAAUUAAAAUUUGUGGGGGAGAAAACGUUCCCCGCAACGAUGUUUUUCAGCACCUAGACAUAGCAUUGAAAUUUAUCCUAGGAAUCCCGGGUUGUAGGGGCUUAGAGGUUGAAGCAAUCAAGUUGGCUUGGGUAUUGAAAGACCAUAAAGAAAAUGCCUAUUGCAGGAAGCAUUUCCACCUGACUUGGCAAUCAAAAUGCCUCCUGCAGGACGCGUUUUCCAGCCACAUCUCUGAUAUGUUAGUCGAAAACGCAUCUUGCAAGAGGCGUUUGUACUGCCAUGUUAGGUAAAAACACUUCCUGCAGGGAACAUUUUCUUUAUGGCCAUUUCAACACCCAGGCCAACUUAAUUGCUUCUGCCUCUGAGCCCUUACAACACGGGAUUCUCGGGAUAAAAAAAUUUCCCUUUUUACCCCACCCCAUCCCUUAUAUAAAUGCAUGUUCUCAUCCCCUACUCACCCAUAUCUCAGUCUCCUUUAAAUUAUUUUUUUCUUUUUCUUCCGUGUUGAAAUUUUCAAGUUUAAAGAUUUAUUUCUCUCACACUUUGAGGGGGAUGUAAUCAUAGUUUUAAGUUGUGUUUGAGUUCACAAUAAUGUCGUGGCGCUUGAUAACUUACAAAUUUCACUUGUCGUGUGAGUAUGGAGCCAUCACUUGAGAAAUCGAGAUCGCUUUGCAACUCGAGGUCCAAGUUGACGGUGUAAAUAAGGCUUCAAGUUUACAAAGGUUAUGCUAUUAAAAGGAUGGAGCAAAACCGGGACUGUAGUUGAUGAUGGUGAUGCAAGCACAAGAACUAGUUUUUCCUCAUUGGAAGAGCAUACUUUAUAAAAUCCAUAUACAAGUACGAGGGAGAAAAUCACAGGGGUCUUCCAGUAUAAUCAAGUAAUUCAUUUUAUCCUUUUCCAGCAAAGGCAAUGACCCUGUUACUAAAACCUAUUACAUCCCAAUUCUAUCAUAGGUAAUAGUAACGGUGUCACUGUCUUUGGUGGAGAUGGAUAAAAAAAUUUACUUAAUUAUACUGAGAUACCAUUGCAUUUUUCUUCCUCGUACUUGUGUAUGAGUUUUAUAAAGCAUCAUUUUCUAAUGAAAAAAGUUUUUUGUCGUGCCCGCAUAACCAUUGUAAAUUACAGCUCCAAUCAUACUCCGUCCUUUGAUAGCGUAACAUUUUGUAAACUUGAAGCUCUAGUUACACUUCAAUUUCAGACCGUAUAAUCACCCUUAACUGGGACCAUGAGUUGCAAUGCGAUCUGGCUUCUCGGGUGAUGGCUCCAUACUCACAUGACAAAUGAAAUUUGUAGGUCACCUAACUCCACGACACCACCAUAAAUUCAAACAUUCCUUAAAACUAUAACAGUGUCUAUCUCAAACAAGAAUGAAAAUAAAUGUUCAAACUUCUAAUUUCAAAUUGCAAGAAAAAAAAAAGAAAAAAAUAAAUUUUAGCAAAGUAAAAAUGGGUCCUACCGGCACAUUUUCAUUGCCACAUCAAUGAAAAUACACCUCGUACGACACGUUAUUCUUUCUUCGUAAACAAUGUAAAUCAAUAAAUUUAAAAAAAAAUUAUACAUUCUCAAAUAACUCUUUUUUUCAGCAUUUUUGUUAAAUUUAUCCCAUAAUACUGCUACUUCUUGUUUCCUGGGUUAUUUUUAUUACUGCUGGUUGUACCACCCUCCUACUGUGCGCCGGUUAUAGCAACUCACUCAAGAUUCUAAAUACUAAUAUAAACACCAUUUCUUUUAUUCUUAGUUUUUUUAGUGAUUAACGUGGUUUUAAUUAUCGUUAGAUCACGUGGGUGUUUAUAUGAAAUGCUUGAAAUCGUCACGCAGGACAAAAAAAAAAAAGAAAAAGAAAAGGAAAUGAAGAGUAUAUAUAUAGAGGAAACAACUAGUGAGAGUGAUAUUAAUAUUUAGAGUAGGUAAAGAUAGUAUUAUAUAGUCGCAUAUGCGACCUUGUACAUUACCACUAACUCUAAAACUAGGAUAACUCCAACAAUGAAUAGUACCGCUAUGGAUUUUUAACAUUCAUUUUUAUUCUGUCGACAUCACUAUUUCCCUUCCAUUAGCUGAUCCCAACUUCCAUGACCACACUUCACUUAAUGCUGCAAAUGCAACCACACCAAACAAAACAUUCAUAAAUUAAUAAAUCAAUUGCCAUAAGCGAUAAACUUUGGGUCAUUUUCUUUUUCCGUAAUUUCAAAGAAACCUAGUUUAAAUUAGAUACGAACCUUUUGCAGUCAGUGGAAGGGCUGAUCUUGUAAGGGAUGUUGAUACCGCACUUGCCUGGGAGUCCGGCUGCAGUGCUAUAGUUGAUGCCAGAAAUGCCGGUGGCCGCACUUUUGAUGCAGCUGCAAGCUGCUUGCCGGUCUGGUGUUGUUUUGGCGGCAGAGUUGAGAGAUCUGAUGCCGUUGCAGCAAGCUGGGGGAGCAGAACCAGCACCAUUCCCUUUCAAGUAAGCAAUGCAGGGUGCGAGGGCGCUUGUGAUUUGACCACAACUUAUGGCCCCUUGAGCCAGGGGUGCACCCACCACCAUGCAAAACACCACCACACAUGUAAGCUUAAGGGACAUUGAGCUAGCCAUAUCAAUUAGUCACAAGAAAACAAACUUGUAAGGAAAAUGCUCGCUUGGAGUAGUAGUACUAUUGCUGAUUGUUGCGUGGAUAAGGAUUGAAGGUAGGAGGGUUAUUAUAGCCAAAAGUCGAGUGAAGGGAUUUGGAAAGAACCGAGAAACACGUACGAAUAGAAUAUGGUUAGGCGCUGGUAGCUGGCCCAAUUUAAUGCCAAGGUUUCUUUCUUUCUUUUUCAUGUUUCAGCUUAUGGUUGAGUGUGUUUAAUGCUUUGGAAAAGGUUUGUAUCGACCACUUUCAUCUUCAUCACUAAUGCUGAAUUACUCCCUUGAUUAAUGCAUAAUAUUAGCAUUGUCUUAGUGUUUCCGGGUUUUUUCUUUUUUUAUAAUAGUAGUUUUUCCGGUUUUCUGAUAUUAGUAGCUUUACCAAUCAAAGAUGCUAUCAAAUAUAG
rnacentral:lncRNA from 1 species